rnacentral:lncRNA from 1 species
AACGUGGACAUUUUGAAUAGGCAAUAUUUGGAUCACAAUUCAGAGGGCAAGCUUUUGGGCCUUCCUUGGGGUCAAACUCUCCUUCACAAACAAAAGUCCCGUCAGCACUGUAGUAGUUACAACCCUUAUAACCUGAACAACAAUUGGUGCAUAUGGAUUCUUCUGCACUUUCUUCUGAACGUGGACAUAUCCCAUACGCAAAAUUACCACAAUUCUAGGGACAAGGUUUGGCAUCAACAUGUAGGAGAAAUAUUCCUACAAUAAAUAUAAGCUAUAUAUAAAUAUUAAGGAAAAACAUAACAUCACUUGUGUGUAUCACUACUACAAAAUCAAUACUUUCCUACUAAAAUUUCCCGCUGCAAAAUGUACUAGUGCUUAAAAUUAGGGAGCAUCUUAGUGUUUCAAUAAGAAUCUGUUUUUCACCAUAAGUUUUUUAGUAAUUCAAUAACGUGAAAAAUGGAUGGAAAAAUUAAAUAGAAAAAGGAGAAAGGAAAAAUCUUACCAAGAACAAGUAGGUAAGCAAGGAAACUAACUUCUUUGUGAACAGCCAUAUUAUGAAUUGAUGGUGAUUAUUUACCUUAGCUUGUUUUUGUUAUGGGUGAGGAAGUCUACCCGUCACCACCUAUUUAUAGCAAACAAAUAAAAGAUGUGGCUAACUAAAACUUUUAUUUCACAUUAAUAUAAGAUUGGAAAUCCGAAAUUAGGUACUUACGCUUGGUUCUUUACCUAUUUUUUUUUCUUUUUGGAAAAAUUACACAAUACAAUAAUUUAUUUUUACUAAACUAGAUAAAAUUUCUAUCCUUUUUAUUAAUUACAUAAACCCUUUUUUUCUUAAAAUAGUCGGAUACAUCCUCAAACUCAUAAAUUUUUGGAAUCAUAGUUUUAAUUAUAUAUCUCGAUCAAAUAGUUUCACAAGUACAUGUAUCUCAGCAAUUAAAAUUAUGUAUUCACAAAUCGUAAAAUAAAAAAUUAUUUAUAAUUUAGUAAAUAGUAGAGACUUGAAGUAAUUAGGGAGGAUAAACUUAUUCGAAUUUAUGUAAAUUUUACAUUUUUUUUUCCUAAUAGUUAUAUUCUUUCUCUAUCAAUUAAUCAAACUGCACUGACCCCGCCGUACUUGUUUUUGAAAUAUUUGUCAUCUAACAAUAAGUUUUUUCUUCACAUGAUAAAUUGGUAGCCAGUUGCACAUAUAUCGCUCUAAUUUUAGUGGAUAGAAUUACUUUUGCAAUCGAUAUUAUGUGAAUUAAACUGAUGGCCCAAUCAGAAAUACUUGCAGCCUAAACUGUACCAUCCGAAAUGAAGAGGAUUGAGAGUGAUCCAAACUACUUUCUCCGUUUAAAAAAGAAUAAUUUAUUUAUUUUAUUUUAUUUUUUAGAAAAUAAUUUUUUUUAAUAAUUUUUUAAUUUUAAUUUUUCAUAUGACAUAUUUAAAACUAAAAAAUUAAAAAAUAUUUUGAUAUAUUUAACAUAUCUUUAAUCUAAAAUUAUAAAAUCUAUGAAUCUUUUUUAUUUUUUAAAAUUUCGUAUUAAGUUAAAAUAAAUCAUUCCUUUUUAGAGAAAGGGAGUAAAAAAUAAAAAGAAAAUCUCUUUCCUACGGAAUAUUGUAUCAAGUUGAAGGAUAAUAAUGGCCAGUGUUGCUGACACAACUAAAACGUGCCGACGAUGUAUGGUGAUUGAUUGUUACUUCCUCUUUAAUUAGUUUAGAUUAAUUUAGUAUUUUAAAUUAUAAUUUUAAUAUUUAAAAAUUAUAUAAAUAGUAUUAUAAAUUACAUUUUUAUUAAUUUGAUUAAAAUAUAUUUUAAAAUAUUAAUUAAAAUUUAUAUUAUUUAACUCCGCAAAAGAAAAGAGUUAUGGUGAAUGAUAGUCUACUGUUAUGAUGUUGAUGUUGAUGUUGGUUAUGAAUUCAAGGAGUUAUUUCUUGUCAGUUUCCUUCCAUCGAGCCUGCGGGUAUUUGUACCCGAAAAAUAUAGUUGCGUGCCUAGAGCUUGUGUCAUGUUUUCACGAUAUUCGCAGUCAAGCCAUGUUCAGUAGAAUUUAGUCAGUCAUGUGACUCAGAAAAUCUCAGUAAUCUCAUGAACUCAGUAGUUAAUUAGAAUUCAGUAAUAUUCUGCCAGUCAACGAAACGCAGUGAUCUCAGUCCAGUUCAGUUUAGUAAUCCAUGUUCAAUGUCUAUUCAGAUGGGAGUAGAAAUUAGCACCGAGCGAACCUAAGGAUGGGAACUCACCUGCCAGUUUAGGGUGUGAUUCUUAGAAGUAAUCCUUGUGUUUCAGAACUACGUAGCCAGCGUAAGUUGAGACAUCUAACAUGUCAGUUUAGGGUUGAUGAGGUGGCUUAACCUGUCAGCUUAGAGUUUCCACCGUUCUCAUUUUGAGUACCUGCCAGUAUAGGGUCAUCACAGCUUGUCCUUACCAGUGGGGCGGUAUUGACACCCUUCCAAUCAGGGCAGAGAUUGGACCCCAACUUAGCCUUAUUGCUUAUUUGGGGCAUGUCGGUUAAAUGACUACUUCCCACAGUUUUAGUUACAGAUUUUAGGACUGUCAGAUACAGUCACUCAGUCUCAGUAAAAGGACUAAGAUAGUUCUUUAGAUUUCAGGACUGUCAGAUACAGUCACAACUCAGAUAGUUCCAUCAGAUUCAGGAUUGUCAGAUACAAUCACUCAUGUUAUCAGUACUCAGUUUCAGGACUGUCAGAUACAGUCAAUCAGACCAGUUCGUCAUAAUCAGAACUGUCAGAAACAAUCAUUCCUAUAUCAGUAAUAUAGUAUUAGUCUCCCAGUAUUCAGUAAUACAGUAUCAAUUCCUCACUUAUUAGUGAACUACAUAUCAAUAUCAGUAAACUCAGUCAUUCAGUACCUCAGUAUCAGUAAACUCAUGUUGUCAGUAUUCAGAAUCAGUAGUCAGUAUCUCCAUAAAGUCUGUGGCAGUUACUUAUGCAUAUAUGUAUUCUUAUGUUCAUAUCGGUCAGCAUUAUUCAUGCAUAUAAACCCUUUGCAUUUAGCCUACCUCACUCGUAUACUCAGUACAUUCAGUCGUACUGACGCAUUUGCGCUAUGAUGUUUACUUUACGCCAUAGGUUUAGAGGCACGAGUUCUAGAGUAGCAGUAGCAUUGCAGAUUUCAGUGUUUAGAGUUGCAGUGAGUCCUCUUCAUUCGAGGACGAUAUAAUUAUUACUUUAUUAUUUCAGUAUUUCAGUUUUUAGUAGAUAGAGUUAGUUAGAGAAUUAUAUCCCAUCUAUUCCUUAUUCAGACAGUUAGAGGCUUUCAGAUGACUAUAGUGUUUCAAAUUCAGACUUAAGUAUUUUUAGUUUUGUUUUGGUAUUGUGAUACCACAUUAUUCAGACGUUGAUUUUUCAGUUAUGCAAUUUUGAACCUUAUGGCUUUUUAGUACAUGUUUCCACAUUAUCAUGUUAUAUCAUGUAGUAUACAGGUACAUAUAUCAGUCAUGGGUUAGCUUGUGGUCCUUUGGGGUCAUAAGCACUGUGUAGCGUUUUGGGUACCAGAUUCGGGGCAUUAUAAUUUCAAAAUGAGAAGCAAGAAAAUAUUUUGUUUCUUUGACUCUUUCGAUAUCAGUUCCAAAGAUCAACAUGUCAUCUAUAUAAAGACAUCUUAUAACACCAGAAUUUUCUUGAAAUUUACUAAAUAUGCAGCUAUCUCCACCAUUGAUUAAGUAGCCAUUAGAAAUCAUAACUUUUCUAAAUUUCUCAUGCCAUUGCUUUAGAGCUUGUUUCAAUCCAUAAAGAGAUUUAAGAAGCUUACAAACGUUACGGUCUUGUCCAGGAAUAACAAAUUCUUCUGGCUGUUUCAUGUAAACUUCUUCGUCUAGAUCUCUAUUCAGGAAUGCAGUCUUCACAUCCAUCUGAUGAAUCACAAGGCCAUGAAUUGCUGCUAGAGUAAUCAAGAGAAGAAUAGAGGUCAUCCGAGCUACAGGUGCAAAAGUAUCAAAAUAAUCAUUAUCUUUCAAUUGAGUAAAGCCUUUACUACAAAUUAAGCAGGCUUUGUACUUAUCUAAAGUACUAUCGGAUUUCAUUUUCUUCCUAAAAAUCCAUCGACAAUCAAUUGAUUUACAUCUAGGAGGAAUAUCUGAUAAUAUCUAUGUAUUAUUAGACAGUAUAGAAUGCAUUUCAUCAUCAAUGGCUUCACCCCAAAAAGGAGCAUCAUGUGAAUACAUAGCUUCAGCAUAACUUUCAAGAUCCUUUUCAACCAAAUAAGCUUGAAAAUCAGGUCCAAAGUCUUUUGAUUUGGUUGAUCUUGAACUACAUCUUGGUUGACUUUUUUUCCAAUGGCUCAACUAUUUUCCUUUUAUGAGGAGAAAUAGAAGGGCUUGGAUCUUGUUCAAAAGAAUCUUUUUUCUUAGGAAAUAUAUGCUGAAAAAAGUUAGCAUAUAAAGUUUCAAUAAUUGUGUGAGGACUUGGGGUCUCAAGAUUUAAAAAUCUAUAAGCCUUACUGGUUUGUGAAUAACCAAUAAACACACAAUCUACUCCUCUAUAGCCAAUCUUGAUCAAAUAUUGAUCCGGUAAUCGAACAUGAGCCAAGCAACCUCAUACUUUAAAAUAAUUUAUAUUGGCUUUCGAUUAUUCCAAAGUUCAUAUGGAGAUGUAUCAUGAUUCCUGAGAGUAAUUCUAUUCAAAAUAUGACAUGCUGAAAAUAAGGCUUCAGUCCACAGAUUUUCAGAAAAACCAGAUCCAUAAAGCAUAGAAUUAACUAUUUCUAUAAAAUUUCUAUUUUUCCUUUCUGCUACACCAUUUUGUUGUGGUGUAUAGGACAUGGUCAAUUAUUUUUCAAUACCUUAUUUUUCACAAAAAUCAAUAAAAUUUUAUUUUUAAGUACUCUCCACCUCUAUCAUAACUAAUUGAUUUAAUUUUCAAACUCAAUUUAUUUUCAACCUCUGCUUUAUAUGUUUUGAAAGUCUCAAAUGUUUCAUCUUUUAUUUUUAAUGGAAAGACAUAAGUAUAUCUUGAGUAGUCAUCAAUAAAAGUGAUAAAGUACCUCUUUCCACAACUAGACAAACAAUCCAUCUCACAAAUAUCAGUGUGGAUUAAUUGCAAGAGUGUGAAAGUCCUAUCAACUGUCUUAAAAGGCUUCUUUGUAAUCUUGCAUUUACUACAAGUAAGACACUUAGUAGUAUGAUUCUUUCCACAAUCUUUGAUUAAUUCAUUAUUCACCAUAAGUUGAAUGGAUCUAAAAUUCACAUGUCCAAGAUGUUAGAGUGCGAGCCCUACCAGUUUUAAUAAUUUACUCUCUUUGUUAACUAUUUGUGGAACAAGUAGCUAAACAUGGUUCACAGAAGUAAAAGCUGAACAUAGUAAUUUUUACGUGGAAAACACCCGGCUCAAGAUAGGUGUAAAAAACCAUGACCUGUACCUCUACAGGGUUUAAACCCAACUCUACUAUAACUCUUGAGCUUCAACAAUCAACAAAAUUACAAGACUUUUUAUAACUAGGAAUUAAAACUUCUAACUCCUAUAACUACAAAAACACAAAUCUUUCUAAGAUAAGUGUUCCCAAGUCUUCGAGUUCCGAAACUUGAAGACACAACUCCUAACUCAGUUUAUAGAUCACUGUGACUAGAACAAUGACUCAUUACAAAUCAAAGGACCUACCUACUAUAAAUAGUCUAGAACUUGUUAAGUAAAGGAACGGGUUCUUCUUCAAAUUAGUGAAGUAUUUUGCUGAUUGUUGAUUGUCUUUUUAGAGCGUCAGUAAUGGAUUUGAAUCAUGUUUCUUGUAUUUAAGCCAUCCUGUGAUAAAGUUCUUUUUAAUCUACAGUUCUAUCUUCAGUAGGAGUCUAUUAAGUAACUUAUCUUCUUCUUGUUGCCGUCUCUCACUCUCUUAGAUUUAAUAGGACUCUUUUGCUUUAUCUUCUCUUCUUGCUGGACUCCUUGAUCAACCCAACUUCUGCACAAUUUCUUAUUUCUCUUCUUUUUGAAUAGGACUCUUUUGCAGGACUUCUUACUCAACCAUCUUCUUAUUUGGUAAACGUUUAUCCACUCCUAUUUGUACGCAAAGUUAUCUUAUUAGAAACUUGUCUGUAUCUCAGCUUCGUUCACUUGAAUGGACGAACUUUUGUAACAUGUUUCAUUCACAUGUCUAUCAUCAAAACUCUACAGUUACUAAUAAAUUUACCCUUUUUGAUGAUGACAAGCAUAGCAGCACAAUAUCAUAAGAACCUGAUAUAUUCAAUAAGGGAUUUGAAUAAAAGAAACACAGAAUGAAAUGAAACAGGUUAUCCAAUUGAGUUAUAACCAUUGCAUAGCCUACUCUUAGUUAUCCCAAGACUUAAUUUUGGAAAGUAAGGAGAACUAGCCGUGGAGAAACAAAUAGAUUUAGCCUAUCAGUAAGACAAUCAAAAUUUAAAAUAAGAGAUCAUGAAUGCAGUAUGAGAAAAAUAGAGGCAGAAUAACUUUAAAGCAACUAAGUCUAUUUCAUUCAUUACCAAAAUAUGACUACAAUUACUAGAAUCAAUCUAAGAAAGAACAAGACACCAGGAAGGGAACAAAAUGAGAUAGGCUUAGGGUAUUAGUACAGAGGCUAAGUGGAUGGAGAGGAGGGGAUAAUGGAAGUGAGCUUCCUAAUGACAUCAACAUUUUCAGCCCGCUCUUUUUCCAACAAGGUAAUGACAAAAGAAAUUUAAGCUUGAAGAACCUUUUUCUCAUCUUCAUGAGCAGCCUGUGCAUCCUCUAAAGAAGCUUGAGAAAUAUCUAAUUCACCCUAUUUUAUAGCUAGUGCAUUUCGCUAUCGUGCUAUUGGGUUAUCAUCACUCCUCAUAGAAAUAGGUAGAAUCAUAUGGUCCAUACUACCUACGAUAUCCUUAGUAGCCUGUGAAGACCACACUUGAACAAACACUCCAAAUCUCUCAAAAAUAGGGGUGAGCUAGAAUUCAUAAGGGAGGACAUGUCCAUUAACAUCCUUUAGGAGAACCCUUUGCAUGUGCUUUAGUAUAAGUCAAGGUAAAUCAAUUCUCACCUCAGUGUCCAACAGUUCCAUGAGUGUAAGAUCAAGAAAACUAGCCACAUACCUUCACUCCUUCCUAGGGAUAAUCAUCUUGUGUACUACAUCAAAAUAGAGCUGAUAAAGUGGGGAAAUCUCCCUCUUAAGGACCCUUCUAUGAUGGAGCAAGUGAGGAUUUCUAGAGAAAUUUCUACAUAUGUUAAGAGCAGAGGCAAGAUUGUCCAGAGGUGGCUAAGUGCCUUUAACAUAGUGACUCCACCCCCUAGUUGGGAUGUGGAAGAUCCUAACAAUGACAUCAAUAUAAAGAUUCAAUGUAGUCUUUCUAAUAGUAGUAGAGAACACUUCACCAAUACCCACCCUAUUUGUAUAGAACUCAUAUACUUCAGGCUUAGCAAAAGACCUUUGAAUAUCACCCUGAAGAAAUAACUAAGACCAUCCCUAAAACUCCAACUUUCCCAGUAAAGUCUGCAUAUCAACACCCCCAAAGCCGCUAAUAACUCUCCCUUUGGCUAAUUUUUGCUUUUGAAAAUAAAGAUGAUGAGCCUCAAGAGUGUCUUGAUGAGAGGAUGGAGCAGGAGACUCAAAAUCAAAAUCUAACUCUGCAGUAGCAUUCGGAUGGAAGUCAGAGUCAGAGGGAACAAGUUUACGAACCUAUUUCUUUGGACUAGUAAAAGACUUUGGAGGGGAAACUUUUGAGGAGAUGGAAACUUUGACAAAAAAAGGAGAUUUUGAAGAUGAGAAGGAUUUUUGAGUUAGUUUAGAAGAGGGUUUCCUAGUGAACGAGGGUUUUGGAACUUUGACCAUGACCGCCUUUGACUUUUUGACCAAUCUAAGAAGAAGAUCAGAGGAAGAAGCGCGAGAAGAGGUGGGAUCAGAUGUAGCCAUAAAUUUUGUUUUUGCUAGUGCGAAGAGCCUCAGCAAGGGAUGCAUUUUCUUAUGGUUUUAUUCCUUAAGUAUGAGAAGUACGGGAGAUGGAGACAUUUGGAGAGGAGUCUGUAGGGGUAAUGUCCUCAACAGUGAUGGAAGGAGUUUUUUUUGGUAGUUUGGACCUGGACCUUCUAGGGCUUAAGUCUGUGAUGGGAAAUUCAUAUCUAUCACUAGAAUUAUUUUCAUCUUCAACAAUUUAGAGUGGGAUAGGAGGAGGAAGAAGGUGUUUCGAGAAGGAUAACGAAGCUAAGGGAAUUUGGCUAAAAGGGUUUGGGAAGUUUCUGAAGGUUGCAAAAUCAGUAAAUUUCUGGGAGAUUUGUGGAGGAAUGAUAGAAGGUAAAGUAAUGCCUGGAUGAAGAAUAAUGGUGGUGAGGGGAUUUUUGACAUAGUCAAUGGAUGAGAAAGAUGAAGAGGAAUCCUUAUUUAGAAUAGGAGAUUUUUCUUGAUUGUGAGGAGGUAAUGGAAUUAAGAAACGUAUUUAAGGGAGAAACAAGUAGAAGUUGAAGAGGUAAAGAACUAUAUUUGGCAGAGGCGUAAUGAUUAAAGGUUCAGAACUGAUGGGAAAAUAGGUAGCAACUUUUUGAAAGGGAAGGGACUCUCUAAAUUUUUGGCGGUUUAAAUGGACCAGAAGGGAACCAGGUAAGCAACUUGUUUCUCUUUUAGCUACUUAUAAGUAAUAGUAAUCAUACCUGAAUUAAAAGAUAGACAAAAUUGCUUCUGUAAUCAAGGAUCUCUGCAAAAAUCAACACAUACAUAAGUCAACAUACUCUAAAAUCUUGGACUUAGGACACACAACUUAAUGUGUGAGACUGAAUUAACCAACAAUCACUUUUUGAGAACAACUUAUUCUAAUCAAGUAUUGAGGGAGACUUAUGCAAUUUUAAUCAUCCCCAAGGCUAACCUAUUUUUUUCAAAGUGUUCUCUACUGAAAGACUUCGUGAAAAUGUCAGUAAUUUGUUCCUCAGUAAAGCAAAACAUAAUUGAUAUAUGACCUUUUUCAAUAUUAUCUCUAAGAAAGUGAUGUCUAAUAUCAAUAUGCUUGGUUCUUUUAUAUUGAACAGGAUUUUUAUCUAUGUUCAUGGCACUUGUAUUAUCACAAAAAAUAGAAACACAACCAACAUCUAUACCAAAGUCCAUGAGUUGUUGCUUAAUCCAUAGCAAUUGAGAAAAACAGGAACCUGCAGCAACAUAUUCAACUUCAGUAGUAGACAAUGCUACUGAAUUUUGCUUCUUUGUGGAUCAGGUAAUCAAACAUGAUCCAAAGAAGUGUGCCAUUCUUGUAGUGCUUUUAUUGUCCACUAGGUAUCCUACAUAAUUAGCAUCUGAGUAUCCUACCAAAUUAAAGUUACUACCUUUGGGGUACCAUAAGCUAAGAUCAUAGGUUUUCUUCAAGUAUCUGAAGAUUCUUUUCACAGAUUUUAAAUGCGAUUCUUUGAGUUUUGCUUGAAACUUGGCACAUAGCCUUACACUGAACACAAUGUCAGGCCUACUUGCUGUAAGGUACAAUAAUAACCCUAUCAUACCUCUAUACAUCUUUUGUUCUACAUCUGAACCUAUUUCAUCUAAAUCCAGUUUUGUGGCAGUGGCAAUAGGAGUACUGAUCUCUUUUGGCUCUUCCAUGGAGAAUCUUUUGAGAAGCUCUUUUAUAUACUUGUGUUAAUAGAUCAUUGUCCCAGAUGAUGAUUGUUUUAUUUGCAUACCCAAGAAGUAAUUCAGCCCCCCAUCAUGCUCAUCUCAAAUUCACAACUCAUGAGCCUGGCAAACUCAUAAGUCAUAUUCAUAUUGGCUGAGCCAAAGAUGAUGUCAUCUACAUAUACCUACACAACUAAUAUAUCCUUUCCAUUAGUAUUUAAGAAAAGAGUAUUUUCAAUACCUCUUGUAUGUCCAUGCUCCAAUAAAAACUUUGACAAUCUGUCAUACUAAGCCCUUGGAGCUUGUUUCAACCCAUACAAGGCCUUAUCCAGUUUAUACAUAUGAUCAGGAAAUUCCUUGCUUUCGAAUCCUAGAGGUUGCUUGACAUAAACCUUCUCUUUGAGAAUGCCAUUCAAGAAUGCACUCUUCACAUCCAUCUGAUAAAGUAUGAACUCUAUAUAGGUAGCAAAAGCAACAAACAGUUUAAUAGCUUCAAGUCUGGCUACAAGAGCAAAGGUUUCAUCAAAGUCUAUUCUUUCUUCUUAGUUGUAUCCUUGGACCACCAAUCUUGCCUUAUUUCUUGUAACUAUUUCAUGCUCAUCAAUUUUAUUUUUGUACCCCCACUUAGUCCAAAUUACUGACCUAUCUUUUAGGAGAGGAACUAAGUGCUAUACUUUGCUUUUAUCUAACUAAUUUAAUUCUUCCUGCAUGGCUAUAAUCUAGUAAACAUCAAGUAGUGAUUAAGUUACCUUUUCUGGCUUAAUCUCUGAUAGGAAUGCCUUGCAGGCACAUAUACUUCUUAAUUCAGCCCUUGUAGUGAUCCCAGAGGUAAGAUCAGUGAGAACAUUUUCAAUAGGAUAUGAUCUUUGAUAUUUGUACCCUUUUGGGAUCAAACCUGUGAGCUGCUGGGAAUACUGCUGAUGUUUUAAGCUGGUGUAGUUGGUGGUUUAGUUCCCCCUGUCAUUGAGCCUUCAUCUCAGUUCCCCCUAUCGAGGUGCCUUUAUGAUUGGUAGCUCCAAUAAGCGAAAUGGGUAGUGUAACUUGUUGCUCAGUAUCACUUCCUUCCUGCAGGUUAGUCUUAACACAGAAUUCAUCAAAAAUCACAUGCAUGCUUUCUUCAAUACAAUUAGUUGUGUUGUUUAAACCCCUAUAAGCUUUACUAUAAAGUGAAUAACCUAAGAAGAUUCCCUCAUCACUUUAAGUAUCAAAUUUUCCCAGAUUAUCCUUUCUAUUAUUAUGUAUGAAACAUUUAUAAUCAAAGGUUCUAAAAUGAAAAAUGUUUGGCUUUCUUCUUUUUAGUAAUUCAUAGGGAGUCUUUUCUAGCAUAGGUCUGAUCAAGCAUCUAUUUAAGAUGUAUGCUACAGUACUUAUUGCCUCAGCCCAAAGGUUUUUAACAAUAUUUGCAGCAAGCAUCAUUGUUCUAGCCAUAUCUUCCAAGGUUCUAUUCUUCCUUUCCACCACUCCAUUUUGUUGUGGUAUUCUAGGAGCUGAGAAGUUGUGAGCUAUACCAUUUUAUGAACAAAAUUUUAAGAACUUUACAUUCUCAAAUUUUGUACCAUGGUCUGACCUUAUGGAAACUAAAGAGGUGCCCAGUUUCUUUUCAACUUUCUUAAUGAAAAUUUCAAAGGCAUCUUCUUUAGAUGCUAGAAACAAGGUUCAGGUAAACCUGGAAUAAUCAUCAAUAAUUACAAAAACAUACCUUUUUCCUCCUUUUCUUUGAAGUAUCAUUGGUCCACAGAAGUCGAUAUAAAUCAGGUCAAGACACUUGGUAGUGCUAACAUGGUUCUUUGACUUAAAAGCAGAUCUUACUAACUUCCCCUUUACACAUGUACUACAUAACUUUUCUUUCUUAAAAUUGGUCUUGGGUAGUCCCAAUACUAUGUCUUUAGAGGAAAGUAUGUUCAGUUGUUUAAGACUUGCAUGUCUAAGUCUCCUGUGUGAAAGGAGGGGAUCAUUUUCUAUUGCACUUAGAUAGGUUAACUCAGGUCCUUUGUCACAUAAUUGUGAGAUGCUAAACAGGUUAUGCUUCAGUCCUUCUACAAGAUAGACAUCUUCCAAUGCUUUUUACUGAGAUGAUCCAAUCUUUCCAACUCCAGUAAUGAUUCCAUUCUUUCCAUCACCAAAGAAUACUUUUUCUCUAUCUAUUUUGGAGAGAGAAAAGAACUUUUUCUUAUCACCAGUCAUAUGUCUUGAGCAUUCACUGUCUAAGUACCAGUGCCUUUUUUUUCCUUUCACCUUCUCCUGUAAAAGAAAUCAAAGGUUAAAUUUAGGAACCCUGACAAGCUUGGGUCUUGUUUUGUUAGUAAAUGGAUGAAUUAAAUUCCCUCUAGUCCAUGCAGGCAACGUGUAAGAUGACCUGUUACUCUGACCAGUAUUAGUACUCAUUUUCUUUGUGUGAGAGAAGUUAUUUUCCAGAUUCUGAAUUCUAGAUCUGCUUUUGGUAGCCACAGGACAUUCAGUAGUUGGAUGUCCAAGAUUACCACAGAUGUAGCACAAGUCUUGAGGAUUAUCAACCUUUUAAUAGAAAUCUAAGCCAUCUUUUACAGUAUGGUUUCUUUCACCUAACUGAUGAACAAUUCUUGAAGAAUAUGUCCACCUGUUUGCCCUUUCUAGAUCCAAUUUCAAUCUGGAGACUUCUUGACUCAGAUUAUUCAUUUUUUCAAUCAGGUCAUGGCAUUCCUAUUUUUGCUUAGAUAUCUCAAGUUCAACUUUUUCUUGUUCCUCACUCAUGGCCUUUUUUCCAUUUUUAGUAAGAGUUAAUUUAAGGACUUCUGACUUAAGUUCAUAGUUUGAGGACUCAAGUUCUGCUACAUGUUUCUUGAGAAUGCAGUUUUCCUUGUCAACUAUGUCUGUGUAAGCUUUUAAAUCAAUGAGGUCAAAUUUUAAACUUACAAGACUGUUGAACAGUUUAUCCCUAUCAGAAUUUAAUUCUUAGAAAUCAUCAAUUAGUUCACUCAUCAAUGAAACAAGUUUUGGUUUUGAAAACAAUUGUAGUUUUUCUUUAAGUUUAAGAGUACUUACCUCAGAAUCAUCAUUUUCUUCCUCUAAAUCUGAGUCUCCAAGAGCCAUGAAUGCAGUUUCAUCAAUUUCGUCUGCAUCUGAAUCAGAUCCCCAAGCUGCUAUCAUUGCAUGUUCUUCCUUCCUUUUAGCCUUUUCUUUCAGCUCUUUUUCAGCCAUUUCCUUCUUCCAUUGAAUUUCCCAAACUAAAAAGUCCCUGAUCUGAUGAUUAGUCUUGUCAUACUUGUAGUACCCAUUGGGAUUGUCAUUGAAACGUUUCUUAUUACAUGUUCUCUUCUUCUUCUUAAAAAAUUUGCUAAAAUUCUUAGUUAUGAAAGCAACUUGUUCCCUAUCAAGUUCAAAUUCCUCAUCACUAUUAGAAGCUUUUAAUGCUAGAAUUUUUUUAGAAGAAGUUUUCUCUUUGAUUCUAUCAACUUCCAUUUCAUAUGUUCUUAGGUUCCCCAUCAAUUUAUCCAGGUUCAUACUUGCAAGAUUCUUAUUUGCCUGUUUGAUAGCAGUCACUUUAACAUUCUAUUUUGAUUUUGGUAGUACCCUUAGUACCUUUUCAACUUGUUCUUCCUCAGAAAUAACCUUUCCUAAGGAAGUUAACUCAUUUGUUAAGGUAUUCAUCCUUGUCAUUAUCUCAUGCAAUGUCUCAUUUUCCUUCAUCUUAAAUGCCUCAUACUUCGUGAAAAGAAGAGAAAUUCUAAAUUUUCUCACUUGAGAGGUACCUUUAUGAGCAUUCACCAGUGCAUCCUAAAUUUGUUUGGCAGUUGUGCAGGUUGAUACCCUGUUGUAUUCAGUAGGUCCUAAUCCACAAACCAAGAUGUUUUUGGCCUUAGCAUUUUUCUUUAACGCCACUAAGUCAUAAGGAGUAAAUUCACUUCUUACCUUCUUAACUUGUUCACCAUCAACCAUCUUCAUAGGAAUAGUGGGACCAUCAGUAAUCCUAUCCCAUAAUUCAUAAUAAUCUCCUUGGAUGAACACCUCCAUCCUUUCUUUACACCAGAUGAAAUGGAUGACAUCAAAGAGUGGGGGUUUACUAGUUGAUUGACCUUCACAGUGACCAGUAGGAGGUGUGGAAUUUAUCAUAUUGAUUUUUUUAGGUACAAACAUUAUUUAAGACAGCCUCGACUUUGAUAACACUUGUUAGAGUGCCAUCCCAACCAGUUUAAUAUUUUACUCUCUUUGUUAACUAUCUGUGGAACAAGUAGCUAAACAUGGUUCACAGAAGUAAAAGCUGAACACAAUAAUUUUUAUGUGGAAAACAUCCGGAUCAAGAAAGGUGUAAAAAAACCACGACCUAUACCUCUACAAGAUUUAAACCCAACUCCAUUAUAUCUCUUGAGCCUCAACAAUCAACAAAAUUACAAGACUUUUUAUAACUAGGAAUUAAAACUUCUAACUCCUAUAACUAUAAAAACACAAAUCUUCCUAAGAUAAAUGUUCCCAAGUCUUCGAGUUGCCCAACUUGAAGAAACAACUCCUAACUCAGUUUAUAGAUCACUGAGAGUAGAACAAAGAUUCAUUACAACUCAAAGAACCUACCUACUACAAAUAGUCUAGGACUUGCUAAGUAAAGGACCGGGUUCUUCUUCAAAUUAGUAAAGUAUUUUGCUGAUUGUUGAUUGUCUUUUCAGUGCGUGAGUAAUGGCUUUGAAUCAUAUUUAUUGUAUUUAAGCCAUCCUGUGAUAAAGUCCUUUUUCAUCUGUACUUCUAUCUUCAGUGGACUCUAUUAAGUAACUUAUCUUUUUGUUGUUGCCGCCUCUCACUCUCUUAGAUUUGAUAGGACUCUUUUGCUUUAUUUUCUCUUCUUGCUGGACUACUUGAUCUACCUAACUUCUGCACAAUUUCUUUUUUCUCUUCUUUUUGAAUAGGACUCGUCUGCAGGACUUCUUGCUCAACCAUCUUCUUUUGUGGUAAAUGUUUAUCCACUCCUAUUUGUACGCAAAGUUAUCUUAUUAGAACUUGUCUGCAUCUCAGCUUCGUUCGCUUGAAUGGACCAUCUUUUGUAACAUAUUUCAUUCACAUGUCUAUCAUCAAAACUCCACAGUUCCUAACACAAGACGUUCAUGCCAUAAUUCCAGAGACUGCACAAGAUAAGCAAAAAUAUUUUCAUUUUCAAUAUUGAGUUUAAACAUUCCAUUUGCAACAUAAGCUUUUUCAACAAACGUGCUAUUUUUAGAUAAAACAAACAUAUCUGCCUCAAAAACUAUUUUAAAAAUAUGCUUCAAAAGAAGCGUACCUGAUAACAAGUUCUUUUGAAUCACAGGAACAUGCAAUACGUCCAUCAAUGUAACUAUCUUUGCAGAAUUAAAUUUCAGUUCAACAGUUCCUUUUUCCACAACUUUAGUAGAGGAGGAGAUUCCUAUAUAUACAAUUUUACGGUCCCCUACUAAUUCAUAAGUCUUGAAAGAAUUUCGGUUACCUGAUAUGCGAUGAGUUGCGCCAGUAUCUAUCCACCAUUCCACUUGAUCUUCCGCUAUAAAUGCUUCUGUGACCAUUGCCACAAGAUCAUCUUUUUUUUUAUUUACUUUUUCUUUCUUCUUUUCGGCUUUGAGAAUUCUACAAUCACGUGCAUAGUGACCAAUUUUGUGACAAUGACAACAUUCACCAGAUUUAAAAUUGACACCAUUGUGCUUGAAAUUUGUAGUCUUGUUUACCUUGAAAGAUUCUAUUAUUGAAUUGGUGAUUUUACCUUUUGAUCAAUGUCUCUCAAAUGUUUUUCAAGAGGAAAGUAAUUUUUUUUAGUGCAUGCUUUUCAAACAAAAAAACACACUAUUUUAUAGGACAGAAAUUUCAUGCAAGUGAAGAGUUUUAAUUAAGUAAUCGUUAAUAGGUUCAUGUAUAUUUUAAAAUAAAAAUAUCUUCUUUCAAGAACCUAAAACGUAAAACUUAAUGAAUAAUGAAUUUGUCAAAUUCAUGUUCUUUGUAACUCAAAACUUUAAGUGAUGCAUUUGUUUCAAAAACUAAUUGAAACAUAACUCUUAAAAAUCUUUAACCAUUGUAUUUGUUUCAAAAUUUAUUGAAACACAAACUUAACACAACCAGUGGAAUAAAUUAUUGUCUUUCCUUUGGAAUGGGGACACUCUGAAUAGGCAAUUUCUGAAUUAUAAUACUGGAGGCAAAUGUUUAAAUUUUGGGGAGCAAACGUUCCUUCACAAAUUACACUAUACUUGUUGCAACCCUUAUAUCCUGAGCAACAGUUGAUUGCACUAAAAGUAUGGCGAAUAUAUUUAUCAUUAUGGAUUAUUUGGCUGGAAAUAAGUUAUCUCAAAAUUAGCUAUUUCAGAAUUAAUUAUUUCAUCAUGUAUAUAGGAUAACUUAUUCCAUCACUAUGGUAUACAUUAUGAAAUAAAUAAGCCCGAAACUAACUAAUGUUUUGCAGAGAAAUUUUGACUUAUAUAGAAGAAUCGCCACUUAAUUUUGAAAAGGAAUUAAGAAACUUUUAUAAAAAUACUUUGAACGAUUCAAAACAGAAAAAUCAUUCAAGUUUUGAAGAUUUUGAGUAAGCGGUUCCUAUUAAUAUUUUAGGAAGAUGUUAGGCACCUAAAAUAUCCGCUAACUUGCGGUUAUCCAGACUAUUUGAAAAUCGUCUUUGAUUAACUUUGAAAAAAGUUGACAUUUGGAAAGAAAGCAAUUUUAAGAAUAUUUUCAUGUUUACGCAAAACCAGUUUUUUAGUGACUUGACUAAGGAUUUAACUAGGUCCAAAAAGCACAUAAGACAAGUAAACAAAAGGGAAAGAGGAAAGGGGAGAAAUAGUGAUUUAGGCUUUUAAGCCAAAACCGUCGACCCUGUCCUAAUCUUGUUGGAUUUUUUACCCAUUUUCACUUGUCCUAAUCUAGUUUUUGAGUCUCGCUCCACCUGUAUUAAAUUUACAACUUCGGCUUCGAGGCCCGCUUGAAUGAAUAAAUAGACAAAUAAAUAAAGGAACAAGUAAACACAACAAUGCGAAAUUUAACGAUCUUUCGCCAAUGGGUUUUGACCCAUCCUCUUCUUUUGUCUUCUUAUAUUCAUACGCCAUAAGAUCAACUUGGAAUUCAAUUUAUUGAGGCUGACUCAAGGCGAUGAUGGGCCUCAAUGGCCCAUGAAACAAAUGCAAGAACAAAUUGAGUUCCUCUUGGACUCGAAAUCGUCGAUACAUGUCAAGAAAAUGAUAAGGAUUAGAACCUACUGAUAUAUAAAGAAUAGAAAAUAGAUAUGCAAUCAAUAAAUUCCAUGGUAAGACCAAUGUCACGUAUAUAAAAGUAAGGAUUAUCAAAUAACGGACAACAAUAGUUACAUGGCUAAUAAUCAUGCAUAAUCAUGACUCUAACCAAUGUUACCCGGUGGACCAUCUAUCAAUUUUGUUACGCUAUAGUAAAGGUUGCUUAAAGUAUACAAAUCUACACAUCAAGUUUAUUAAAAUGAUUAAAGAGGGGCAUAAAGAAACCCUUGUACAGACUUAAGCAAACAAGAAGAAUAACGACACUCGAAUCUCAAAAAGGGCACACAUAUAACUCUCUUUUCGUACCUUUGAAUAGCCCAUGGAUCCAUUCUUUAAGCACAAACUCGAAGAAACAUAAGAGAUAGACACAAUUCACUUAGAAAAAUAGGAAUCCCAGGUAUUCCGAAGCUUUGGAAACACGGAUUGGGUGACGCAUAAUUGACAAAAUAUAAUAGUCCAAGAUUUCAUUUUUUAGUUGAUAUCCCGCACAAGAAUGUUAAGGCACUAUUUAAUAUCCCUUUUCCAAUAAUGCCCAUUUGGAAAUUAAAGACAUAAAUGCACAGGUUUGUGACCUUAAAGCCAAUACCUUGAGCUUAAAUUUAUUAAUGACUUAUAUUCUGAGCAGAGAACACACAAAGGAAAACAUUCAACCUCAUGAAAGAAAAAUAAAAUCAGAUUUCAGCUUACACACAUAUAACGUGAUAUUCACAUCCGAGAUCCAAAAUACCAAUUCAAAAUUAGAUCAACAAAUGAAGAGAGAGCCAGAAGUAUCACUCGAUCAUGAUAAAAGACUUCGUCUUUUGGAUUUCAAAACCAUCACUCAGUAAUUUGAAAAUACAUAACCAAAUAACUCAGGUCUCAUAUAAACAGAACAAACCAAGAACAUUAUUUUCAUUUUUUAAAUAAAGGAUGAAUCCCAAGUAGGCUUUGUGCAAAACUUAUUGAGGCACAAUAAUCUUUUUUUAAACACAAGUAAUAGAAAGGUUUUGAACUCAAUUGAACCAUCUUCAGAAUGCCUAUAGGUUAGUGGUACUAACAGUAGAAAGAAAGAGUAACUUAAACACAGGAAGAAUCCUUUCCCAAAUUACAACAGAUUACAGAUAGCAUAAGAAGUUCAGCGCAACAAGAACAUGGUAACAAACAGACCUGUGGCCUCCGAGGCCUCUACAAUGAACAAACACAGCAUCACUAUAAUUGUAAUCAUACAACCACCUCUACAACCAACUAUCCAAACCGACCUCACUUUCAUCGUUCAAACGAACAAUCAUUUACUACAAAGAAAAGGGAUGAAGAAGAAAUAUGCCGAUAAAAUUAAAUAAGGAGAGGGAUAUUUACCUAUUUUGGAGCAACAAAUGGGACUUCGAACUAGUGUCGGACUCGCAACCACCGAAAAAAUAUAUUCGCAGUCAACUCGAACCCCUAAUUUAUAUGACGAACUGAAUUUUUGAACCCCAAAAAUUUUCUACCCGUGUUUCUGCCUUUUCAAGAAUUUUUUCUCCUCCAGUAGAAACAAGAAAAUUUUUUCACUCUUUUGAGACUCCAAAUUUUGAACCUCUCAGUUUGGAUUUUCCAAACCUAAAUUUUUGAAUUCAAGAAUUUCCAACCCCUAAAGAACCCCAGGAUUUUUCCAAUCCCUAAAACUAUGACCCAACCGGUUCUUAUAUAGAAACAUAAUUGGGGUAUUUUUAGGAUUCAAAAUAAGGGAUCCCUAGGAUUUGAAAUUUAAAAAUCUCCUCCCAUAGCCCCAUUUCUCGUCCUCAAUCGUACCCAUUUUAGAUUUUCUCUGAGAAAUUUGUGAUGGGUGGACCAAUAGGGUUUGGGAAAAAUCAAUUCCCUUCAAGAACCAAUGAAAAAUGUCCUAAUAUAUAUGAAAUCGUACAAUCUCAUUCGUGAAUCGCGGGAUUGAACCAUUGAAGACGCCACCUAGCCUCAUUUUUAGAAGAUUCGAGGCCUCUCUUCAUCCAAACUCAUGUGAGAUCUAUGUGACGCAUAAAAGAGGGGAAAAAGGGUGGUUUGAGAUCGAUUUUAGGUAUGGAACGGGUUUGGGUCGAGUGACGGUUGCUGAAGCUUUACACGAUGUUGUUGUUAAAUGUUAUUGAUGCUGAUGUUAUUUGGAGAAGAAGAAUUGGUCCUGGCUCAGGCAAAGUUGUAGUGGGCUAUUGGUGUUUGGUUACUGAAAAGUAGUUGAUGAGUUUCAAUUGGAGUUGGGCCAUUGAAAUUGAAUAAAUCAAUGGGCCCAGGUCAGUAACUAGGUCGACUGAUUGUUGUGAUGGGCCUUUGGGAUGCUGACAUUUACAGAAAAAGAAAUGGGUUACUGUUAUGUUUAUUUUGGGCUGAUUAAAGUUGUGGUUUAUUGAGUGUGUUGGGUCAAAUAGGUUUGGGCUAUUUAUUUAAUAGCCUAUUGAUAGGAUUUGGCCAAUUGUGUUUAAAUUUUGACCUAAUUGAGGAUUGAUCGGCCAAUUGUGUCACCAUUGUUGCCAAGUCAACUUUAAUUAAAUCUAAUUUAAUAAUUUGACCAAUAUUGAAUCAAGAUUUGAAAUGAAUUUAGCAACUAGCUUAAUCCCGUGCUUCUUUGAUUCGAUAAAAUCAAGUAAACAUUUCUCCAAAUAAUCUAUUUUUAAAGUAGAUCAUUUUCAAAUCAAGAUUUUAAUUAUUACAUUUAUUUUUAAAAUAAUCCUUAAUUAAAUUUGAUAUUCCAUGAAAUAAAUAUUUAAGUAAUCAAAUUGUAUAAUAUCGUAUAACUGAACACAAUAAUAUAUAAUUGCUACUUAAAGUGACAAAAUCACGUAAAAAUAUACUUUCAAAACUCUUAUUCGGAUAAAAUAAAUAUUUCAAUUUUAUUAAAAAUCAAAGAAACUCAGGAUUAAAUUUAGCCGUGGAGGGCAAAAAUUAGGUGUCAAUAACUGCCCCCUCCCUUUGGGUAGGGUAGAUGCAAGUAACCCUGGGCAAAGGGAGGUUGAUGUUCCUAAUUUUUGUCCGACCACAAAUCCGUAUUUAAGAGAGGUUCGUUUUUUUGCACGAGUUUCAUGGAGUUAUGGACAAACCUCGGUAUCAGGUUUCCUACAUAUCUCAGGUUUCAUGUGGUUUUGUGCUACUUGUAGUCAUAGAGCUUGAUUUUAAGGACGAUUUUCAAGAAAAUUCACCAGCUAAUCUUAGUUUUGGAGUUUUUGGUUAAACCGAUAAGCUGGGGAAUAAAGGGAUUUGGGGGAGGUUGGAAUGCAGUCGAGUUUUCUACGUAGAUCCCAGCCUAAAUAUCCCCAAGAUUUCAGGAAAUCAGACUGCUUGUAGUUCGACUAGAUUGGUAGAAAAGAUAGUCUUUUAUUUCAGACGAUCUUUGGUUAUGAUGAGUGACAAGUUGAUUAAGUUUAGGAUAAGAGACUUGCAACCUCUUAACCAUGAAUGUGGCAUCUUUCACACCCAUAGAUAAGAACUUACCAGGACAUAGUUUCUAAACUCUGAGUAUGUUAUAACCCAACUUUGAAAGAAAAAGAAGGUUAUCCUCGAUAUGAGUUUAAAAAUAUCUCAAAGAUGAAGCGGAAACCAGAAUAUCCCGGAAGUACUCACAUGCCUUCUAAUAGGGGUGUGGUUUGAUGGUGGUGGUGAUCAUCCUUUAGCUCGCGUCCAGAGAGUUUGAUGUCCCUCUCUAGACUAUGUCUCAUUUUACUGCUAAGAAAGAGUUCCACGUUAUGCUGAGUCCUACCUGAAGUAGUUCGCACCUGUGGUUUUGAUUUGAGAUUUUCAUCCUCUCGAAUUUUCUCGACAAUGCUUCAAGAAAAGAGUGUUAGUGCUAAACAUGAUUCACGAAAGAGGUUGUAGUCUUUUACCUUAUCUCCACAUGAGUUAUGGCCUAAAAAGUGGAGUUAUCUCUUCAUGUACCUGUUUGGAAUGAAAUAACUGGCAAUAACAAACACAACAAACCUCUUGGUUGUUCUAUAAUUAUGACAUUUGUUGGUUGAAUAUGUCUUCAAAGUGGGGUGGCCCUUUUGGACACCGCGAUACUUUAUGCAGAACGGUCCCUACAACCGUGUAAUCUUGUGCUAGUGUGAAAACCCUUUUGAUUACCUAUAUCACUUGUUGUAUGUGGAAUGAUAACCUCUCCGGUUAUAGAUGAUGAUCGAUUUAUAAAUUUUUCUUAAAUUAUUAAUCUUUGGAUAAUCUUGCGCAUUAUUUGAUGUUGGAUAUGAGGCGACUUAUAGAUAUCCUUUAAAUUGCUAGCUUUUAGGUAAUCAUGCACAUCAUCUAACCUUGGAUAAGAUAUGUAUUAUAGAUAUCCCUCCAAUUGCUAGUUUUUAGGUAUUCCCGCACAUCAUCCAACCUUGGAUAUAAUAUGACUUAUAGAUAUCACUCAAAUUGCUAGUCCUUGGCUAAUCCUGCACAUAAUCGAUAUUGGAUAUGAUGCGGCUUAUAGAGAACCCUUGGAUGUAUCAAUUUGAUAAUCUUGCAUAUUCUCCGGUAAGGAUUUAGUUGUGACUUAUGGAUAACCUCAAAACUAUUGAUUUUUGGGCGAUCUUGCACACUAUCUGGUUAGGAUGUUGUUGUGGCUUAUAGAUGACCUACAGGCUAUCAAAUCAUAGGUGAUCUUGCACACUAUUCUAUUUCAAAUAAUAUGACUUAUAGAUGACCCUCAGAUUGUCAAUUUCUAGGAAAUCUUAUAUAUCAUUCAUCCUUAGAUAGCGAAUUAAAGGCGUCCCUUCAAAUCAUGCUCUUGAUGCAUUUAGAUGUUGAUUCAUAAAAUGAUGAGAUAUCCUCGACGCCAGCAUUUGUGUCUAGAUGUCAAUAGAUAUUUAAAAUGAUGAUGAUAUCCUCGAAGCCAGUGUUAAUGUCUUGUGUGUCAACAAAUAUUAAAUGGCCCUCUUGGCAAUAAUAUGCAAUGGCCCUUUCGGCGAUGAUAUGAAUGGCCCUCUUGGCAAUGAUAUACAAUAGCCUUUUUGGCAAUGAUAUGCAAUGACCCUCUUGGAAAUGAUAUGCAAUGGCCCUCUUGGCAAUGAUAUGCAAUGGUCCUCUUGGUAAAUUAAAAACAGUUUCACCUGAAUUCAUUUGUCAGGGUCUUACUUUCUGCAUGUACCUGUACUCAAGGUAGACGAUUAGUAGACAUAAUGUCGCUUUUGCUAGCGACUAUUUUUUAGAACAAUUCUAAAUACAAAUAUUUGUAAAGAAGACAAGACACUUUUGUUUGUCCUCCAUGAUCUCAAGAAAUGAGAUGGACAAUUCAUAAGGUCCUCAAUAAAUGGGUAUUAAACCCAUUUUUAGGGCUACCCAAAAAUACCAUUCUUGAGCAUUAGUGCUCUGGUGUGGCUCCUAAUUUGCUCGGGGAUUUUUGAAAGAGACUUUCAUUUUUGUGUAUUGGUCCCUGCAUCCACAGAAAAAUGAUUAUUUUGAGUGAAACUACUCCGUGUUGACCUUCUUUGAUUCUCCAUUUGCUCCACGCCAUCUUUUGGGUACUCCAUCAUGUUGGUACCCCCACCCAGGCUCUUUGCUUCCAUAGACGCCUAGGCAAUCACUAAGUAAAAGUUUUUGUAAAGAUUUUCCCAAGUAGUCUUAAUUUUUAGAAAAUAGUUUUGAAAGUAUCUGUAAAAGCUUUAGAAAAUUUCUGUCAGUCUUGUCAUAUGCUAGCUCAACGACCAUCUUUCUCUUGAUUCUGGCAAUGUCCGACGUUUGACGGAGGAUUGUUAGGGAUUCAGCAUUGUCGAGGCUCUCUACCAGAAGUUUUAUCAAAGACAAAGGUUCAGUCUUCCUAGAAUUAAUCAUAGGUGGUGAUUCUCAAAUCUCAACUUUGACCUCUAGUGCUGGGAAAUUUGAAAUUUAUUUCAAAAAUUUAGUGGAAAUUUUGAGGUCUUCCGCCAAAUUUCUACCCCUGUUUUAAGUUGUUUGAUAUAACGCCAACUUGAGAGGAUCCGAAGUCUUUGUUGGUCUUCGUUCUCCUAGUUGGAUGUCAAUCUUCUCUUGUGAAUUUUUGAGAUUCCUUCUAAAAAAUUCUGCCCCAGUUUUCAUUUUCCGGGGUUAUAUGACCGAGCCAUUGGGGCACCUACGUAUCCCGUUAAAAUAGGAAUCAGGUCAAACAUAGUUUAGGACUACGCUAAGGAUAUAUAGAAAAAUUUAAUGGGUUGACCGAAGCCGACAUCGGCCGCCUACGUCUCCCUUUUAUUGGGAAUUUAGGUCAUCACAUAGUUCAUACAUAAAGGGAAAGGAUAAAAUUUUCUAAGGGGUUGACCGAAGCCGACAUUGGCCGCCUACGUAUCCCUUUCUUGGGAAUUCAGGUCAAACGUAGUUUGUAGAUAAAAGGAAAGGGAUUCUAGGCAGUUAUGCAAUAGAAAACAACAUUACUACAAAGGCGAACGUCGUUCAAACAUAAUAUCUUUUUACUGCAUCAGAAUUGAUUGGUUUGGUCCACUCUUCACCAUCCAUCUCAAAUAAAAUCAGAGCCCCUCUAGAUAGUACCUUGCGAACUUGUAUGACCCUUGCCAAUUUGGAGCGAACUUGCCCUUGUACUCUUUUUGGUGAGAAGAUAUGCACUUGAGAAUCAAUUGCCCAACUUUGAAUGUUCGAGUUCUUACUUUCUUGUUCCAUCCUAUGCUGAUACAACUGACCAUGACAUACAACAACCAUUCUCUUUUCAUCAAUCAAUAUGAGUUGUUCAUAGCGAGCGCGAACCUAUUCUUCGUUGCUUAGUAUGGCAUCCAAAAUAAUCUUAGGGAAGGUAUUUCAACCUCAGCAGGUAUCACAGAUUCAUUCCCAUUAAACAAUAGAUAAGGAGUUACCCCGGUGGAGGUUCGAACUGUCGUGCGAUACCCCAGAAAAGCGUAAGGCAACAUCUCAUGCCAUGAUCUAUAAUUUUCUAUUAUCUUUCUCAAGAUCUUCUUGAUGUUUUUAUUUGCAGCUUCCACGGAUCCAUUCAUCUUUGGAUGAUAUACGGUCGAGUUGCACUUUACUAUUUUAAAUUGAUCACAAAUAUCAUUCAUCAAGUGACUGCUCAAGUUUGGCCCAUUAUCAGUAAUGAUCGAUUCUGGCAUUCCAAAUCGGCAGAUCAAGUUAUUCCUGAUGAAAUCUGCAACCACUUUCUUUGUGAUAGCUCUAUAAAAAGUAGUUUCGACCCACUUAGUAAAACAGUCAAUAGCAACCAAAAUAAAUCCAUGCCCAUUCGAUGUUGGCGGAUCUAUUGGCACGAUAACACCCAUGCCCCAAGCUAUGAAAGGCCAAGGUGAAUUCAUUGCAUGAAGAUCAUGUGGAGGCAUUCGAAUCAAAUCUCUGUGCAUCUGACAUUUUGGACACUUCUGCACAUACCUGCUACAACUAUUUUUCAUAGUUAUCCAGAAGUAAUCGAUUCUCAGGAUCUUUCUAGCAAGGGAGAACCCGUUCAUGUGGGGCCCGCAAACUCCACCGUGUACUUCUUUUAUCAAUUUAUUAGCUUCCGCAGUGUCGAGGCAUCUUAAGAAUCCCAAAUUUGGAGUCCUCCUAAAAGGGAUUUCCCCACUUGGAAAAUAGUUCUUCGCCAAACGCCGGAUUGUCUUCUUUUGGUUGUUACUAGCCUCUUCAGGAUAUAUUCCAGAUUCUAAAUACCUUUUGAUAUCAUAAUACCAUGGCUUUCGAUCGGGAUCCUCUUCAACGUGUGCACAAUGGGCGGGUUGCUCCUUCAAGCUUAUUCCCAAAGGAUCAAUGUAACUCUGAUUUGGGUGCUGAAUCAUGGAGGAUAUAGUGGCCAAAGCGUCAACAAACUCAUUUUGUAUCCUUGGGAUAUGUCUGAAAUCAACUUCUUUGAAUUUUCCACAUAAUUCCUGCACCAUCUCCACAUAAGGAGUAAUCUUGGAAUAUUUUACCGCCCAUUCUCCCCGUACCUGAUGAAUCAAUAAGUCUGAAUCCCCGAUGACUAGCAAUUCACGAACACCCAUAUCAAGUGUCAAUUUGAAACCUAAGAUGCAAGCUUCAUAUUUGGCAAUGUUAUUGGUGCACGAGAAAUGCAACUUAGCAGCUACAGGAUAGUGUUGACCCGUUUCAGACACCAAAACUUCUCCGAUUCCUGAACCUUUAAAGUUGACCGCCCUAUCAAAGAAUAGCCUCCAUCCGGGGUAAAUUUCUGUAAUGUCUUCUCCUACGAAUAAAAUUUCUUCAUCUGGGAAAUAAGUUUGAAGUGGCUCAUAUUCAUCAUCAACCGGAUUCUCUGCCAAAUGAUCUGCUAAAGCUUGCCCCUUGAUGGCCCUUUGAGUUACAUACACAAUGUCAAACUCACCCAACAAUAUUUUCCAUUUGGUUUGCUUUCCCGUGGGCAUGGCUUUCUGGAAUAUAUACUUCAAUGGAUCCAUCCUCGAGAUGAGGUACGUGGUAUAUGACGAUAGGUAAUGCCUCAACUUUUGUGCGGCCCAAGUCAAAGCGCAACAUAUCCUUUCUACGAGAAUGUAACGGGAUUCAUAUGGCGUAAACUUUUUACUCAAGUAGUAGAUGGAUUUCUAUUUCCUACCGGUCUCAUCAUGUUGCCCGAGGACACAUACGAAAGCAUUUUCUGAGACUGCUAGAUAAAGUGGCAAUGGAAUUCCUUCUCUGGGCGGAACCAAAAUCGGCGGUACAGAUAAAUAUUCCUUGAUUCGAUUGAAAGCUCUCUAAUAUUCUUCUGUCCACUCAUUCAAUGCAUGUUUAUUCAACAUCUUGAGAAUUGGCUUGCAUAUGACUGUUGACUGAGCAAUGAACCUGCUAAUAUAAUUCAAAUGACCCAUGAAAUUCAUAACCUCUUUCUUGGUCCUCGGGGGUGGAAAAUCCUGAAUUGUCUUGAUUUUGGAUGGAUCUAGCUCGAUGUCUCUCCUGCUGACUAUGAAUCCCAAUAACUUCCCUGAUGGCACACCAAAAUCACACUUAUCAGGAUUUAACUUCAAAUUGUAUUUUCUUAAUCUGUUGAAGAAUUUCUCCAGAUGGGUUAGAUAAUCCAAACUCUCGCAGGAUUUGAUAAUUACAUCAUCCACUUACACCUCAAUCUCUUUAUGAAUCAUAUCAUGAAAAAUUAUCGUCAUAGACCUCAUAUAUGUUGCACCCGCAUUCUUGAGACCAAAAGGCAUUACCCUGUAAUGAUAAACACCCCAGGACGUAAUAAAAGUCAUCUUUUUUGCAUCUUUAUCAUCCAUUAAUAUAUGAUGAUACCGGCAAAACAAUCAACGAAAGACUGCAUUUCAUGUUUUGCACAAUUAUCAAUGAGGAUGUGGAUGUUGGGCAGUGGAAAAUUAUCCUUAGGAUUGGCUCUAUUCAAGUCUCUAUAGUCAACACAAAGUUGAAUCUUGCCAUCCUUCUUCGGCACUGGGACAGUAUUGGCUAGCCAUGUCGGAUAUUUUGUAACCUCCACAACCUUAGACUGGAUUUGUUUUGUCACUUCUUCCUUGAUAUUUAGACUUAAAUCUGGCUUGAAUUUCCAUAUUUUUUGCUUGAUUGGAUCAAACUCAAGAUUUAUCGGCAACUUAUGCGACACAAUGCUUGUUCUCAAUCCCGGCAUAUCAUCAUAGGACCAAGCAAACACAUCAAUGUAUUCCUGCAACAAGUGAAUGAGCUCUCUUUUGUGCUUCCCCAGGUGGACACUGAUACUUGUUUCUUUGAUUUCAUUAUGAUCUCCCAGGUUGACUAUUUCAGUUUCGUCUAGUUCGGGCUUCUCCCGGUUCUCAAACUCCUUUAUAUCUUCAACUAAUUAUUUCUCAUCAACUUCCUUCCAAUCAUCAUUAUUCCCUUAUUUUGUUCGUCUAAGCUUUGACAUGACAUGACAUUGGCAGGUUUUGAGUUACUAUUACUGUAAUAAACAAACAAAUCAAGUUAGAUGAUGAUAAGAUAAUAAUAAAAUAUACGAAUAGUGGUGUUAAAAAUAAUUUUAAUUUUUUUUCAAAAUAAGGGAAGGCCUUUUCAUUGAAAUUUGAGAGAUAAUUACAAACUAUAGCUCAUGACUUGCAUAAACACAAGCCCAUGCCUUUUGAGAGCUGUAAAAAUAUGAAAAAGAAAUUUGAGAUGUAAAGGGUGGAUUGCGAGGCCUCCUCCGGAUCAUCACCGAUUUGAAAAACUAUUAGUAAUUGCCCUUUCAUAUACCACGGUGGGUGACAAGUUAUGAAUAGAGUGGAGGUCCAGUUUUACAAGGCCUUCCCUGGUACAAUCUUCUUCACCCCACUGGACUUUGGGAAAUAUUUCGGUACAACAUUCCAUCUGUCAAACAAAUUUCCUAUCCCAUCCCCAAGACCAUCAUCAUUCGACAUCUCACGUACGGGAAAUGACUGGUACAGGAGCAGUAAGGGCCUAAACAGACUCGCCUCUGACUUAUUCUCAAUCUCAUCCUCCUUGGUAGGCCGAUAUCCUAACCCAUACUUAAAGGCUUUCUCUGGGAUCAUAAUAGGCUCAAUAAUUUCAUGCAGAUUAUUACCCAAACCUCGACCAGGCUCGAACCCAUUUCUCAACAUCACAGUCGCAAUCAUUUUAUAGACAGAAGGCAUUGGAGCUUUGAGCAUCAGAUCCUUUUCCACAGCAUUUACAGUUUCCACUGUAUAAAAACUACUACCCUUCGGAAUAUCUUCAAUCACCGGCACAUAAUCAUUGGGAUGAUUCGCUCGGCUUCCUUCCCCUUAGAUGAUUAUUUCAUGAUCCUUCCAAAUGAAUUUCAAUAACUGAUGAAGAGGUGAUGAAAUUCCCUUUGCACCAUGUAUCCAUGGUCUUCCCAAGAGAAGGUUGUAACUAGGAUGAAUGUCCAUAACAUGAAACUUAGUCUUGAAUUCAGCAGGUCCCAUUUGGAUGUGUAAAUCAAUUUCACCUAUGGUAUCUCUCUGUUUUCCAUCAAAUGCUCUCACAUUUACGUGGCUUUAGCGAAUCUUCCCCAAGUCAUAGACCAUUUAAGCCAAUGUGGAGAGAGUACAAAUGUUCACACCAGAUCCGUCAUCUAUCAAUAAUUAAUUAAUCAGAUAGUCUCGAUAAAUGACAGUGAUGUGCAAGGUCUUGUUAUGCAUCGCUCCUUCAAAUGGAAAAUUUUCAUGGCUGAAUGAUAUGUGAUGAAUUCCCUCAACAUUUCCUAUCAUUGUAUCCAGGUUCUCAACAAUCAUCCUUGUGGGAACAUAUGCUUUCUCUAAGACCUUCGAUAAAGCCUGUUGGUGGUAUUGCAAACUCAUUAAUAAUGCCAAAACAAAAAUUUAAGCUGGAGUCUUCUCUAAAUGUUUGAAAAUUGAAUAGUCCUUUGGUUGUAUACGCCUCCAAAAUUCCUCAGCCUCCCUUUCAGUGAUUGACCUUUUCUGUGAAUCAUUUUUUUUGGUCAAUUCUUCAGGAAUGUGGCAUCGUCCCGAUCGCGUCAUUCCUUAGGAAGCAGCUGUCUGUACAAUAAAUUCCUUCCUUGGUAAGGGAGUGUACACUUGAGUCGGGGCCGUCAUCACUAUAAAUGGGGAUUUCUCAUAGACACUUAAGGCAGCCACAGAUCUCUCUAUCUUUUCUACCUCUUCCGCCCUUUUGCACUUUUCUAAAUUCACCUUAAUAAUAGUCUUGCCAGACACCCAUUCUCCUUAUAUUUCAAUCAUGUUAACUGUAGGUCCCCCAUGAUUAGGAAAUGAGUUACUAUUGAUAUUUGGUAUCGGUGACUGAAGCGUGAUGACCUUUGGAUCACUCAGAUCUUGUAUCUUAUGUUUCAAGAUAAUACAGUCCUCGGUACUGUGCCCUGCUGCUCCUGAAUGAUAGGCACAAUUUUGAUUAGGAUGAUAAAAUUGGGAGUUGGGAUUGACAGGCUUUGGCUGGAUCGGUUGCAAAUGACUGGCAUUCUUCAAUCUUUUAAAUAGUUGGGUGCAAAUUUCAGCCAGCGGUGUGAAGUUUUAGGGAGGUUUCUUUUUAAUGUUUGGACGUGGAGGGUUAUAAUGGUCCUGAUUUGCAGGAGGAGGCACUUGAAGAUAAUUUGGAGGUACUUGGAUGUUUCUUCGGUUGUUUGGAAAAGUGGAUUGGACAUGAGGUUGAUAAUUCGGCGGUGGACCUUGGUAUUAGGGAAAAAUAUUUGGCUGUAGAGGUUGGCAUUGGGAUUGGACACUUGGGAGUGGAGCUUGAUAUUGGUGUUGGAUAUUUGGGAGUGGAGUUUGGUAUUGGGGUUGGAUAUUUGGGAGUGGAGCUUGAUAUUGGGGUUGAGUAUAGAAUACAUGCCAAAAGUUUGGUGACGGUGGAGAAGAGAAAAUAUUCCUAAAGUUGAACCUCUUUUUUGUUUUUGCCACAAAAUCAGCAGAAACUAUGUCUACAUCCUCCAUUUUCUUCUUCGAGAACAUAGUAGUCCCAGGCGAUGUUGGGGUCUUGGCAAUUUUUCCUGUCCGAAUACCUUCUUCUAGCGAUUCUCCUAUUUUUACCAAAUCUACAAAAGUCACCCUGACAGCGGACACCAUCCUGGUAUAAUAUUCUUCUUCUUGAGCACGAGAGAACACAGAUACCAUUUCUUCCUCAGACAUGGGGGGUGCACUUUGGUAGCUUCUUUCCUUCAACGACAAGCAUAGUCUCGAAAACACUCAUCACUUAUCUGUUUGAUCCGAUCUAGUGAAUAUCUGUCGGGGACUAUUUCAAUGUUAAACGCGAACCUGUCAAGGAAACCUUUGGCCAAUGCUCUCCAACCAGUCCAUCUUUUCAGUUCCUGAGACAUGAACCAUUCUAAGGCUUCGCCACUUAAACUCUGGCUGAACAAAUGCAUCAAUAAUGCUUCAUUUUUCCCUACCCCCACUAUUUGAUCACAAUACCUUCUCAGAUGGGCCAUUGGAUUUUUGGUACCGUUGAAUACUUCAAACUUCGGGACCUUGUACCCUUCUGGUAGUUCUACUCCAGGGUGAACACAUAAGUCAUCGUACCCUAAACCGUCGUGGUCCCUUGCUCCAUGAGAUUCUUUGAUCCUCAUGAUCUCUUCAUUCAUAGCUAGAAACUUCAUUUCAUUCUCGGUCCUCCACUCUUUCUCCUUCUCUUCGUAAUGGUCUAUCUCAGGAUUAGGAAGGGGACUAUAGAUGUCUGGGGAUAUAAUGGCAUGAGGAGGAUUUGGAAAGGAGGAUUGAUUUUGCGGAUGAAAGGAAGUUGGUUGGUAGGUGGGGAGGACGUUUUGAAAUUUAGAAAGGUUUUGUGGAAUUUGCGAGUAGUUUGGUGGCAUCUGAGAAGGAUUUUGUGAAUUUGGAAACGAUUUUGAUGGAUUCGGGGAUAUAUUCGAUGAAAGUUUUGGGUAUUGAUUUUGUGGAUUUGAGAGUCCAUCUUGUGGAUUUGGGAAUGAAUUUUAUUGAUUUACAAAUGGGUUCUGGGGAUUUGGGAAUGGAUUUGGAGAUAGGUUUUGUGAGGUAGAGAUGGAUUUUGCGGAUGGUAGGCACCUGGGUUAUUUUCACGAUUGGUUUUUUGGAAAAAUAGGGGAACGGAGAUGGAUGAUACAUUAUUUGGUUGAUUCUCAAGAAUAGGUGUACUAAGGGGAGAAAUUUGAAGUGGAGUCCCGUGUCCUCCUGGAGCGAGGGCAUUGACGGUGAUGGCCAGGUUAGCCAAAUCUCGAGUGCGAUUUAUUUCCUCCUGAAGCAUUUCUAACUUCUUUGCAAGAUCUGCAAUCAUCUUAUUCUGCUCCGCUAUUACAUUGUCCCUGAUGGUCAAUGCAUUUUCUUCAUCAUUUCCAGUCAUUAUUGAAUGAUGGUUGGAGGAUGGGAUUUUGUGCACCUUUGACCGGGUGAGUAGGGAUGUUCUGCCAGCUUAUAUCAACAUGGAGUAGUUUCUAUAAUCUGUAAAGUAAAACAACUCAGAACCAAAUGUGUUAGCUUCCGUAUGUGAUAAGUAAUGCAAAAAUAUUUGACAAGAAAUAACCACGUAGAGUUGUUUGAGUCAUAGCCAAAUUCAUCUAUAGGAGCAUAGCGGAUAAACUUGACUUUGAUCCAAACAAACACACAUAAGCACAUAAGACAAUUAUAUAAAAUCAUAUUUCAUAACAAAAUAUCUUUCCUGAUGAAAAUAUAAUCGUCACUCGUUCGUCCCUAAACCAUGGGUCAUUAUUGAGACGACUUAGUGCUUCGUCACUAAAUAGCCUUGAAUUAACGACGAAAAUAUUUAUUGAUCCUGAAUGCGUAGCAUUUAUGACGAUCUUGUUCAUUACAGAAAUUAUAUUUUUUGUGGGUAAUAGUAUUUUUUUUGUCACUAAAGGAGUUAUAAUGCCGAUGAGAAUGAUAUGUCCCUAAUUGUUUAUUUGAAUUUGUGAUGAAUUAAUUUCUCUCUAAUCUUCUAUGUAUUUUAUCGCGGAACAAAAAUUAUUUCAUCACUAAAUACUAUCUUUUACAUACGCAUUCUAUUUGUCUCUAAAUGUAUAAAUUAGUGACAGCAUUACUUUCUUAUCAUUUUGUAGCUGAAAGCCUUUCACGUCAUCACUAAAAAUACUUUUUUUAUCUACAAAAUAAUUGUCACUAGAAUAUGUCAUAAUUAGUGAUGACAACAAUUGUCACAAAAUACGAAGUUAAUUUGUAGGUAUAAGUGGGCUAUUUAGGGACAAAAUUUACUCUUGUCACCAAAUGUUAUAAUUUGAUGGAGAAUAUAUAAUAGUUUUAGAAGGUAAAGUAAAGCUUUUACGGACCAAAUAUUUUAUCACUAAUCACAACCAUUUGUAGUUAGCUAGCUAGGUUUUCAUAAUUUGAAACUAAAAUUGUAAAUACAUAUCUUAAACUUCAUUAUAAAGAGCGUUAUACGAAUUGAAAAAAAAAAUACUAAAAGAAGUAAGAUAAUAGUAAAAAAAAUUAAAAAUUAAAAACAUUGAAAUAUAUUAAUUAAGAACAACCAAGAUGACAUUCAUGAGAUGAUAUCUCACUAGAUACGCUUAAAUAAAAAUCAAUACGACUAAAAUUCAUCCAACUUGAAAAUCUAACUGAGAUAUACUGAAUAUUAACAAAAAGAAGAUAAUAAAAUAGAGGUUUCUUCUCAAAAGAUUAUUGCAAAAACAUUUAAUGUAGCAACUAGUCUUGAUUUCUACCUUCCACAACCUAUGUAAAAAAAAAAAAAUUCAAGAUUAGAUUUCUUAUGUUAUGAUAUCAUGAUAUACUACAACAACAAUAAUAUUCUUAGCGUAAUUUGAUAGUUCAAAAAGAAUUUGAUGGCAGACCUUACCUCUUUCAUUGCAAGGCUAGGAAGAAUGUUUCCAACAGACUCUUGACUAAAAAUAAAUGUAAAAAAUACAGGAAUGCAUAUGCUUUAUUCAACACAACUUCAUUAUCCAUAUUUUCCAUCAUGAGAACAAGCUAAUAGUAAAUAUCAAAUUAAUAGUUAAACAUCAAACUAACAGUAAACAAUAAAUUUCUAGUUCAGAAACAAGAACAAGAUAACAUGAAAAUAAAGUAAACAAAUCCUUGCUAAAGGUGAAGAAAAGUUUAGAAAAGCAGAGUGUUUUUUAACCAAAACUAGUUUAGGUGUACGCUCCUCGCGCAUGUACGUCACUUUAUUGAGUUAAAAUAUUACACUAAAUAGGAUAUUUGUCUAAAUAACAAACAUAAAUACAAUAAUUAAAUUCAACAUCUUUUAAAAAAUUUAUUUAAUUAAACCUAAUAUUUAUCAAAAAAAAUUAUCAAAAUCGAUUGACAUUCAUCUACUACAUGUAAACUGUAACAAAACAAUAUGAUGAUAGAGACAUCAAAACAAUAUAAUUACACAAAAAAUUUCUCAAAGCCGUCUGACAUUCAUGUACUAUCUGUAAACUAUAAUAAAAUAAUAUGAUAAUAGAGAUAUCAAAAUAAUACAACUGAAAUUAACCUUUACACACACAAAAAAAUCUCAAAACAAAGAUAUAAAAACAAUACUAUUAAACCUAACCUUUGCCUAAAAAAAUCCUCAAAGCUGACUGACAUUCAUCUACCACCUGUAAAUUCAUCUACGACCUGUACACUAUAAUAAAAUAAUACAAUAAUGACACAAUGCUUGAAUUUUGAUGAAAAUAAUUCUUGUGUGAGAGAAAAUUUUGAUCCUAAAGAAUGACUUGAAUGUAAACGAAGAAGAUAUGUAUAUAUAUACACACACGUUGAAUUUUAUUAUGCUGACAAAAACCGUGUAGAAGUUGAUGGUUAGAAAAUUAAGCAUCCACCAAUCUACACAUGCAACCUAAUUAAGUUAGAUGAACAUCAAUCAUAUUUUCUCAAUAAGUAAAUUGAUUUCUUCAGUAGUUUAAUGUGCAUCUGAAUAUUUGAAGUAUUUCCUUAAUAGAGUCCUAUUUUAGGAGCAUUUUUCUAUCUUAUUUUAGGAGUAUUUUUUUAAUUGAUCAGUACAAGAAAAAAUAUUAAUUGAUUCUCCUUCCAUAUAUUCUAGGAGUUCCACAUAUUUUAGGAGUCUAGUUAAUAUAAUAAAAAUAACUAAAUAAUAAUUAAAGAAAAUAGUGAAAAGACAGUUUUGUCUAAAUAAAGGUCUUUUAACGAAGGACAAAAAGUUCAAUUCACUUUUUUAAGAGUCUUCACACUUUUAACAUAUUAUAGAUAAGGAAAAAAAACCUAUCAAUAUUAGUUUUCAAUAUAUUUUAGGACUCAUUAAUUUUUAAAAAUUACAGUCGAUAUUAUAAAAUAUAAAGGUAUAAUAAUUUGAUGAAAUAAGUGAAAAAGACGAUUUUAUCUAUUGUAGAGUCUUUUAAUGUAGGAAAAAAAAUUUAAAUCACGUUUUUAAGAGUUUUCACACUUUAAAUAUAGUAUAAAUUAUAAAUAUAACUACAAAUUUCAUAUCUCUCUCUCUAUAUAUAUAUAUAUAUGUGUGUGUGUGUCUCUGUGUGUGUGUGUGCGCGCGCGUAUGUAUAUAUAUAAUAUAUUGAAAGUGUGAAAACCUUUGAAAAAGUGAUUUGAGCUUUUUACCCUUCAUUAAAAGACUCCGUACUAGACAAAAUUAUCAUUUACGAUUUUACUAAAUUAUUAUUUAAUUAGUUAUAAUAUUUUAGGUGUUCCAUUAAAAUUUAGUUAUUUAUCUUUCCUUAUUAAAACAUAAUUGAAAAUACUAUUAAUUUUCAAUUAUUAAUGCAUAUUUGAGGAACUAAUGAUAAAUUAAUCUUUUAUGCAAAGACGUAAUCAAAUAAAUAUGAACUUUAAUACUAAUAAAAUAUUACUUUAGUAGUUAUUUGUUGGUCGAAUUUGUGAGUCCCUUUUGAGAAAUAAUUUUAACAAAAAUAGGUAGGUUAUUUUGGCAAAAAUUUUACUUAAAAUAGAAAACAAAUUAAGUAAACUCUCUUUUUUAAUGUAGGCAUUCAAGUAAUUGUACAAAUCUCUUUCUCUUUACUUUUUUAUGCAAUUUGUAGUUAUAUCUUCUUUGCACUUUGAAUUUUUUUAUUUAAAUGUUGGUCUAAUUAUAUGAUUUUUUACGUGUGCUUUGUGGUAUUUUGAGAUUCUAUUCUUAAUUUUUAAGAUUCUAUCAUAAUUUAUGUUUGAUAAAUUUUGAUCUUGUCUGGAAGAAUGUUGUAAGGAUGAAAAUUUUAAUUCAAAUUUUAACCUUCAAAAGAGUAUGGAUAAUUGAGGUAUAACUUGUGUCAAUUUAAUUAACAUAUGAUUUAUUAUUUUCGAAAGUUAGAUAAUUUAUCUACAUAUAUUAUUUAGGAGGAAAUUAUUCUGGCAAUAAUUUUUUUAAUCGAUCAUAUGUGCUUCAAUUGAUUAGUUACAAAGAAAUUGAGGUUAAUAUUUUUAAUAUUCAUCAUGAUGUUGUCAUAGAUGUAUCAUUAAAUAUUUACAUCUAAUUAUGUACGUUCUUUUAUUAAAGAUAUAUACAAUAUUGAUUUUGAGUAAUUGAAGAAAGUAAAAAAUGUAUUCAUGUACGAUCAUUAGUGUAGCAAGGUAAAGGAGUGAUGUUUUUUACUCCUUUUCUGUUAUAUUUUAUAUUAUGAAUAUUAGUCUCAACUCUAAAUUGGAUAGUAGAAUACUAAUAAUAUUUAUAUUUUAAUUUAAUAUGACGUAUAUGUACAAUAAAUGCUUCAUUGCGGCUUAAUUUCCUCUACAUCUUUUUCUUUGAUGAGCAAAAAAUUUUGAUUCAUUAAAUUUUUCAUUUUAUAUAGAGUUUUGUUGAUUAAGAUGAAAUACUUAUAGUGCCAAAUUAUAUAUUUUAAAUAGAUACAACAUUUAUUUCAACUCAAUUUAUUUUUUAAUAAUUAUAUUUCUUUAUAUAUAAUUAUAUUUAUCAGCACGAGACACACGUACAAAGCACGUACACUUGACUAGUAUAUAUAUAUACUAGCAUAGCGUACGUGCUUUGCACGUAUGUCUCCCUCGAUCAAUGAAAAUAUAUUCAUAAGAAUGUUUAAUAUAAAUAAAUAAAUAUUGUAUCAAAUAUUUAAUAUUGUCUGUUGUAUCUCAACUAAUAUUUUUCACACCGAAAAAGAAUAAAGUUAAUUAGAAAUUAAAAAAUUUAAUUAUACCACAUAAAUUAAGACAAAAAAAAUCAUUUGUAAAAUUAUAAAUCUCUAUAAAUUAGCUUCAACUUAUAGAAGUAUACACUUGAAAUAUGGCACGGUGUUUGAAAUAUCUCAUUGAAUGUUUAUAUACUUUUAGACUUUCAUUCAAAGAACCCCAUGUUGUUUGAAACAUCAGGGCAUAAAAUUGUUAACAAAAUUCAGAAAAUAAUAAAAUUAAUUACAUCAAACUAAUGCACAAUAACAAAAUAUAAGGUAAAGUUGCAUUUUGUCGUUAAUCUGCGUAACCAAAUUCAACAUUUAACUAUAAAUUUAUAUGUUGAAUUCAACAAAAUAAGUUUAAUUAAAGAUUCAAUUAUAAUACUAAGAUAUAGUAUACCAAAAUUUAAUUAAAUAAUAUAAUCAAGACUAAGUCACAAUUAAACAAAAAAGAAAAGAGAUAAACCUUUGAUUUUCUUGUCUAUUUUAUUCAGUGACAAUGUGCUUGGUUUGUGUAUUUUUCCAUCAAAAUUUUCACCUGAAAGUGAAACAUACGGGAAAAUUCAUUGUAAUACAUUGUUAAUUAUGUAUAAUUCAUAUAUAAUCUUUAAGAUCAUUAAUUAAAAAAAUUAAGAAAGAUAGAAGUAGAAGAAGAUGCAUGUUUCUUGUUAAUUUUUAUCCAAAAUAUUACUUAAAUAGAAUUGUAUAGAUUACUUUUUAUGUACAGUAAAAUUCUAAUUGAUUUAGAAGUGUUAAUUCAUAUAUAAUCUUUGUGGCCAUCCAUUUAAAAAAUUAAGAAAGAUGAAAGUAGAAGAAGAUGCAUGUUUCUUGUUAAUAUUUAUUCAAACUAUUACUUAAAUAAAAUUGUAGAAAUUACUUUUUUUAUAUAAUGUAAAAUUCUAAUUGAUAUAGAAGUGUUAAAUACUAUAAUUUAGAUCAAUUGAGUUUAAAAGUGCUAAAUAUAUUGUGUAUAAUUUAAUUAGGAAAGAAUUCAAUAAGUACAAUUUUUUUAAUAUAAAUAUUAAAAAAUCAAGAAAAAUAGAAGUAGAAGAAGAUGCAUGUUUCUUGUUAAUUUUUAUUCAAAAUAUUACUUAAACAUAAUUAAAUACAUAACAAACAAAAUAGAUGCAUCAUUGCAUCUUUUAAUCAUAUCCAACAAUUAUUAAUGAUUAAUAACAAACACUCAUUGUGUAAGAAAUUCAACUUCUCGAACCAAAGCUUCUUUCAACUAAUUAUAUAUUUCUCUUAAAACAAAAGGGCCUUAGAAGUCACACAAUUAAUCCUAAUCGGCUAUUUAUGUGAAUAUUAAAUAGAGAACAAACUAAAAAGAAUAAUAUUACAAAAAUCAAACAAGGAAGAUAAUUAAGGACCUCUAACUCAAUUAACACAUAAAUACACCCGCAUAAAGGCACAGUGGAUUAUUAUAGAAAUAGAUAAUUAAUAAUAAUAAACACCUACAUUCAAAAAAAAUUAUUUGAACAAAGAAAUAAAAAGUAUAGAGAUAAAUAUUUAAUUUUUUCGACAACAUCCUUGUUACGUUGAGUUUUUUAAUCUGAAAUUUUCAACUGCAUGAAAAACACGAGAAAAAUCAUAAGGGAAGAUUCAUUAUCACUUGUUAAUUAUGUAUAAUGCAUAUAUAAUCAAUCUUUAAAACUAUUAGAAAAACAAAAGGCAAAAGAAUGAACAUAGUGAAUGAAAGAAGACAACUUGAAUCAAAUAAGAAAAAAUAUAAGUAGAAGAAGUUAUGUUUCUUGUAAGUUUGAUUCAAAAUAUUCUUAUGUUAUAAAACAAGAAAGAAUAAAUAAGAAGAGUAGAGAGAAUAGAGAGAAUGAUUCUUAUUUCUUCUCUUGAGGGAUGAGAGACCAUAAGAUUGUAAAUACAAUGAACAAAACUCCUUUAUUUAUAGGAGAAAAUUACUUCUAGUCUGAGUAAAAAAUAGAUACUUCAAAUUCUAAUAGAUAUCAAAAUAGAUCUUGAUAGACAUUCACUAUAAUAUAAUUACAUUUAUAACACUCCCCCUUGAAUGUCUAAUUGGUAGAUAAUGUGCUUCGUCAAAACCUUACUAGAAAAAAUCCGGUAGAAAAAAAAUCUAGUGAAGAAAAAAGAGUACACAUCUCUAAUAAUACGCAUUUCGGUUGCCUCAUUAAAAACCUUACAAGGAAAAUCCAGUGGGACAAAACCUUAUAACAGAAAAAGAGUACAGCGUGUAUUAACUCCCCUAAAUGAGAACAUCCUUGAACCUUUGCAUCCCGAUCUUGUACACCAUCUUCUUAAAAGUUGUAAUUGGAGAAUACUUGGUGAAUAAAUAAGUCACAUUGUCAGUUGAACGAAUAUGUUGCACGUUAAUAUCAUCAUUCUUUUGUAGCUCAUGUAUGUAGAAAAGCUUUGGCAAAAUGUGCUUCGUUCUAUCUCCAUUUAUGAAUCCUCCCUUACGAUAAGCUAUGUAUGCUGAAUUAUCUCUGUAUAAAAUUGUGGGUAGAUUGUCAUAUUUCACACCAUAUUUUUCUCAAAUGAGAUGUAUCAUGGACCUCAACCAUACACGUUCUCGGCUUACUUCAUGAAUAGCUAUUAUCUCAGCAUGAUUCGAUGAAGUGGCUACGAUAGACUNNNNNNNNNNNNNNNNNNNNNNNNNNNNNNNNNNNNNNNNNNNNNNNNNNNNNNNNNNNNNNNNNNNNNNNNNNNNNNNNNNNNNNNNNNNNNNNNNNNNNNNNNNNNNNNNNNNNNNNNNNNNNNNNNNNNNNNNNNNNNNNNNNNNNNNNNNNNNNNNNNNNNNNNNNNNNNNNNNNNNNNNNNNNNNNNNNNNNNNNNNNNNNNNNNNNNNNNNNNNNNNNNNNNNNNNNNNNNNNNNNNNNNNNNNNNNNNNNNNNNNNNNNNNNNNNNNNNNNNNNNNNNNNNNNNNNNNNNNNNNNNNNNNNNNNNNNNNNNNNNNNNNNNNNNNNNNNNNNNNNNNNNNNNNNNNNNNNNNNNNNNNNNNNNNNNNNNNNNNNNNNNNNNNNNNNNNNNNNNNNNNNNNNNNNNNNNNNNNNNNNNNNNNNNNNNNNNNNNNNNNNNNNNNNNNNNNNNNNNNNNNNNNNNNNNNNNNNNNNNNNNNNNNNNNNNNNNNNNNNNNNNNNNNNNNNNNNNNNNNNNNNNNNNNNNNNNNNNNNNNNNNNNNNNNNNNNNNNNNNNNNNNNNNNNNNNNNNNNNNNNNNNNNNNNNNNNNNNNNNNNNNNNNNNNNNNNNNNNNNNNNNNNNNNNNNNNNNNNNNNNNNNNNNNNNNNNNNNNNNNNNNNNNNNNNNNNNNNNNNNNNNNNNNNNNNNNNNNNNNNNNNNNNNNNNNNNNNNNNNNNNNNNNNNNNNNNNNNNNNNNNNNNNNNNNNNNNNNNNNNNNNNNNNNNNNNNNNNNNNNNNNNNNNNNNNNNNNNNNNNNNNNNNNNNNNNNNNNNNNNNNNNNNNNNNNNNNNNNNNNNNNNNNNNNNNNNNNNNNNNNNNNNNNNNNNNNNNNNNNNNNNNNNNNNNNNNNNNNNNNNNNNNNNNNNNNAAUUAUCUUUUGGAUGAGGAUCUGGUGAUAAUUCCUAACAUAUUUAUAGCGCUUAUAAUCUCCCCCUUGUGUUAGGAAAACUAACAUACAUCCUCUACUUCUUUGAGGAAUCCAUCUUUGUGCAUUAUGGUAUAUUCAUUAAUCGUAUACCGCACAUCAAAAUUAUUAGAUGGAAUAAUCGAUUUCUGACCUUGAACCAAUUGAGAGGGGAGAAAUGAUCAUAAUUUAUUGUUCUAAUGCAUACAAGUAUUAUUGUAUUCAAAAUAUCAUAUUUCAAACCAACACAUGAAGCUUUGUUCUCAUUAGCGAUGGUUUAGCUAUUUAUCGAAGGCAUUCAAUGCUAAAACAUCAUCAUCAAGAUAACUUUCUCGAUUGCACAAUUUGAAAGUUAUGUUCUUAACUCAAUUUUAUUGAGCAAGCAACUUUAUGAAUUUCAAACUGCAAGUUGACUAUGAAUAUACAUGUGAUCAUCUUAUUGAUGCAUCUUUUCAACAUAUCACAUGAUAGGUGAACAGGCCCUUAUUUACCUUUCAUAAUUUUCAGGUUUGAAGGGAUCCAAUCCCAAUAUUAGUUGGUCCAACCAACUUAUCAUGAGAGCAAACGACAUAAAUAAUUCUUGAAGAAUCUUUUAGUUCUUCAAUACAUGCACAUCUUCGAGAUGUCACAAGCGUUCAUAUCAAUUUAUGAACUUUUAUUAUAGUAAACUCCAAGUUUACCAUGACAUGUACUUUUUUUUUUAGUAAAUGUCAGAUUUACUAUUACAUGAAUAAAUUUCAGAUUUACUACUUUAGAAGUAGAUUUCAAAAUUAUUCAACCUCUUUCGAAGGUGAUUUGUGAUACGAUCACAAUCAAGUGCACGUUUGCAUUAAUAAAUUUCUCAUUUCCCAGGAAUGAAAUAUAAUCGUCCCUUAAGCCUAUCAAAUUAUGAUAUCUUAUAACCUCUUUCAAGAUUUUGCUACUUCAAAAGCAAAUCGAGGCAUACAUAUGAUGUAGAGAAUUUUUCUCUAGUAUAUCUUAUAAUCAUAUAAGCGUGUGAAAAUAUCAUCACUUUUGAUGAUCAUUAUCAUAUUGUCUCUCCUCACGUAUAUUCGUGCAUUCAAUCACUUGUCUUCUUUCAGACAUAUUAUGCACUGCCAUCACAUACACCUCAAGAAUGAAGUAAGUUGUCAUAUUUCAGACUUAUCAUAUAUUGCUACCACAUUCACUUCAUGGAACGAAGCAUAUUCAAUGGGUCGAAUUUCAUGGCUUUUCAUCAAACACUCAUUAUUUUGCCUUAGCCAUCACAAUAUCAUCAAUAUGGUGUAUUGAGAUUCAAACUCAAUAUUUGAUCCAUAUAAAUGCGUCUUAGGCAUGAAUCGAUGGGACUUGAACCCAACAUAUUAUCAUCCUUUUUGAUAAUAUUGUUUUUGGGAAUAAAUUUAAAAUAUAAAUGGUUCCAAACCAAUUAUUUUUUCUCAAAUUCAAUAAUAAUUAUAUUAGUAGUAGCAAAAGAAAGAUAACAUAAAGAAUUACUAACCUUGAAAUCCUUCAGAUUUAUAAUUUCACCUUGUUUUGCAGAGUCUCGUGUGAACAGAUCUCAAUUGGUAAGAGAUUUCGUACAGAUCUCAAUUGGUAAGAGACUUCGUGCUGAUAACGUGUUAUAAAUUAAUAAAGAAUAAAGAAGAAGAGUAGAGAGAAUAGGGAGAGUGAUUCUUAUUUUUUCUCUUGAGGGAAGAGAGAUCAUAAGAUUGUAAAUACAAUGAACAAAACACCUCUAUUUAUAUGAGAAAAUUACUCCUAGUCUGAGUAAAAGACAGAUGCUUCAAAUACUAAUAGAUAUCAAAAUAGAUCUUAGAUAUUCACUGUAAUGUAAAUACAUUUAUAACAACUUACAUAAAAUUAUAGAUUUUUUUUUUUUACAUAAGGUAUAAUUUAAAAGUGUUAAAUAUAAUGAACGUUUACCUAUUAAGGAUUUGAAUUAAUUUCAAAAUCAAUUAAAUAAUAAUUAUUUUAUAACAAAAGUUACUUAAAAAAUAAUUUAUACGUUUUAAGGCAUAUGUAAUACAGAGUUGUUUGCUUAAUUAGAAUCCUAAUUUUGGUAUGCUUUUCGUUUUUUGGUAAUACUAAUCGUGGUAUGCUACUAAAGAAGAAAAAAAGAGAUUUUGUGUUUUCUUGUCUUGAAAUUUAAUCCCGUUUGUUUUCAUAUUUUUUUUUUUCCUUAAAACCAGUUUACUAUUGGUAGAAGGAAAUCUAAGUAAGUAAAAAUAUUAAUUAACUAUAACUGACACCUAACAAAAUUUUCCAUAAAAUUAGGAGUGUUCCCAUAUAUUUGAGUUUUUAAAUUUAUUUUUUAUAUAUAUUUAUUAAAGUCAAUAUUUAAUUUUAAUAAUAAUUAUUUGAGGAAAAAAAUAAAAAGACGAUUUUAUUUAUUGCAAAGUCUUUUAAUGAAGGGCAAAAAGUUCAAAUCACUUUUCUAAGGGUCUUCACACUUUUAAUAUAUUAUAUAAUAUAUAUAUAUAUAAUUAUUUGAUUCUCCUAAUUUUUUUUCUUAUUAUAUAUUUCAGGACUCAUUAAUUUUAAAAAUGAUUAAUUAAAAGUUUUUGAUAUAAAAUCUUGAUUAUUAAAAUUUUUGAUGUUUAGAAAGUGUACUUAAGUCCUAAUAUUUAGAGGUUCCAUAAAUAGAUAAUAACAAAAUAUGAGAGGGUGUUUCUUAGUUUCAUAAUUUGAUCGUAAUCCACCAAUUAUGGAUUACUAAGGAAUCCACCAGUUAUGGAUUAUUAUUGGCUCGACCACAAUUACCUUGAUUGUAAUUACUACCUACUAUCCAUUAGUUUGUAUCUGAAUUUAAUGGUAUUUUGCUACCAUUGUUAAGUACUUAAGUUGAUUUGACUAAUUAAGUGAUCAAUUAAUUCUUUCCAUAUAUUUUUUUGAAUCUAUAUAUUUUAGAAUUCAUAUAUUUUAGGUAGACAUUUUUUUUUUUUUUUUAUAUAUGUAUGUUAUUAGGAUCCCAAAUAUUUUAGGAGACUUUAAUUUAAUAAAUAAUAAUUAAAAAAUAUACGAAAAGAUGAUUUUGUCUAUUACGACUUCUUUUAAUGAAGGAAAAAAAGUUCAAAUCACUUUUCUAAUGGUUUUCACACUUUUAAUAUAUUAUAAAUAAUUGUUUACCUUGAGAUUUAAACAGUAGUGUAAUAUUAGACUUUGUUUGUGAAUAGGUCUAUGGUGACUAUUUAAUGCGGAUUUACUAUCAAGAAGGAAAAAGAAUAAUCUAAAAUUAAGAAAUUUGUUAUAUAUGGGAAAUCUUAAUACUAUUCACGAAUUGUGAGAUCAUUGGGACACCACCGAUUAUUUAAAAGAGGAAAAAGACCUUUAACUUCCUAUAAAUUAGAUUUCUUCCACAAAUUUUAGGUUGAAAAGUUGUUAUCUAUUCACGUGUACAAAUUCUAUGAAUUUAGAUUUUUUCCAUGUAUUAAUAUAUCUUUAAUAAAAGUCCUAACACCUAACAAAUUUGAAAAAACAGAAAAGACCGUGUAUUUGUAUAUCAAAAAGAAAUCUUCAUCAAAACUUUCGUUUUUUUACCUCCUAUUAUAUUGUAUAUUUCAGGAAUCCCUUUUUAGGUAGAACAUAAUCCUAUUAUAUAUUUUUUUUCUUAUCAUACAUGUUAGGGCUUUUUUAAUUCUCAGAAGUUAUAACUAAUAAUAUAAAAAUAAUUAAAUAAUAAUUUUAAAAAAAAUAAAAAAAUGAUUUUAUCUAAAGAGGAGUCUUGUAAACAGGAGCAUAAAAUUCAAAUCACUUUUUUAAGGAUUUCACACUUUUGAUAUAUUAUAGAUUAUAGAUAGAUAUAGAUUAUAGAUUAUAGAUAAAGAUAAUAAAUGACUAUUAAAUUAUUUAGCUGGCAUUUGUGUCUUUAUUUUUAUAUAUCUUACAAAUAAUUACUGCUAAUUAUAUUAAACUAAAAUCAUAUGAGAAAAAUAGCAAAGAAACGAUUUUAUCUAUUGUGUACAAUUAGUUGUAGUGACUUUAUGUUAGGAUACAGAUGACCGACAUAGUUUUUUAACUAUGAAAUGUUGCAAUACAAAAAAAUUAACAUGAAAGACAUUUUAAUUGGGAAGAAAAUUUUGCAACUAAUUUUAUUUUCUUUAUAUUAGGACACGGAUGCCCAACACAAUAUUUUUAGUUAUGGAAUGUUUCAAAAAAUAUUAGCUAACCACAAAGUACUUAUCAAUUAACAUUAGUAAUUAAAUUAAAAUUAUAUGAGUAAAAUAGUAAAAUUGACUAGGAUGUUGUUAUACUUGGUGUGUUCAAGAAAUCUAUAAUCUAUAUCUAUCUCUACAGCUUAUAAUCUAUAAUAUAUUAAAAGUGUGAAGGGCGUUAGAAAUAUUUUUUGAAAUUUUUAUCCUUCAUUAAAAGUCUUUGCUUUAGACAAAAUCAUCUUUUUCAUAUUUUUUAUAAUAUUUAAGUGUUAAAAAUUAAUUAAAUAUAUUUAUGGUAAAAACUUUUCUUUUUAGAAGUCAUCAGAAUUAAUAAUUUUUUUAAUAUUUAAGUGUAGAAAAUUAAUUAAAUAUAUUUUGGUAAAAUAUUUUCUUAUUAUAAGUCAUCAGAUUUAAUGACACGAAAAACUUUUUUCAUUAGUUUAACAAUCCUAAAUCAACUAAAUUUGAUUUUAAGAAGAUUUGAAAAUCUAGAAAUAAAUAUAAAAGUGUUAAAAUAAGAAAAAUUUAAGAAGUACCAAAUUUUAAAAAUUUGAAGUACGUAAUAAAAAUGCAAUCAAUAAUUUGAUAAAUGGUAAAUAUUUGACUUUAAAAACAAGAAAAAAAUUUAAAUAUAGGAAAAAAUAACCGUGCCACAAAUAUGGUUCAAAUUGAUGCAUCUCUCUUUAGCCUCUAGCAGCAAGGGAAGAGGUACUGCAUGACAAACGCAAAAGUGAUGGUCGAUCAAUCACUUGAAACUUUUGAUGUUAAAAUAUAUAUAUGUGCUUAUACUAAAAUGCAUGUUUAUAUUUACAUUACUAUAUUAAAAUGUGAAGUAUCUUCAAAAAAUAAGUUGAAAUUUUAAAUGUCACUAAAAGUAUUUGCAAUAAAUAAAAUCAUUUAGUUUUAAAUAAUCAAAUAUUAUACGUCCGAGGCACGUGCGGUUAAACUAGUAUCCCGAAAUAUGUAUAAUAUGUGUAUACUAAUUGUAUAGAUCUGUAUAAUAAGUGAGAAUUUAUACAUUUAUUAUAUUGUUAUAAUAAUACAUUUCUUAUAUACAUAGAGAUACAUAUUUUAUACAAUAACGAUACAGUUUCAUUAUGUACGAUACAUUUUUCAGAUAUAUACAUAUUGAUACAAUUUCUUUACUAUGAUAAGAAUAGUUGUAUUCAUUAGUGAUACAAAAAUGAUACAAUUUUUUCUGCACAUAAUACAUUUUUCGUGGACAUAUAGUAGUGAUACAUUUUUUAUAUAGUAAUGACAUUAUUUUAUACGGAACAAAACUAUGUUAAAGAGGCAAAAAAAAAAUUUCUAAGCUUCUUGAGCCAUCUGAUAUUCAUCAUUUCUAUUCUUGUCGGCUUGUCCACAUAAUACCAUUCUCUACUUGUAAUCAUUAACAAUAGAAGCCAAAGAAAAUUUUGUAUUUUGCUAUGAAUUGUUUUCGUCGCAAAUAGUUGAAUUAUUCAACUACAAAUUUUAAAGUUGUCACUAUUUAUACCUUGAAAAUUUUGUGACAAAUUUUUAUUGUCACUAAAUCAAUAGAUUGAUUAGAGACAAUAAAAUGAUCGUCACUUAUUAUAUACUAUAAUAUUAGUGACCAAAACUAAUGUCGCAAUUAAAUAUAAAAUUUAUGGUUAAAGCUUACAACAUUUAACUACAAAAUAUAAUUUAUCACUAUUGUAACAACAUAUUUUUUAUCACUAUUAAUUUUGUGUUAAAAAAUUAAUUAAGUUUAAGACAAAAAGUUGAUUUGUCACAAACUAGAUAAGCAAUUAGUGACCAAAUAAUGUGUCACUGAUAAUACAUAAUUCGUGACUAAUGUUGCUUAAUAAAAUGGUGCCAACUCAUUUUUUGACGGGAAACUUUAGAGAACAACAUUGUGCUACGAAAAUUUAUAUUUUAUCUCUAAAAAUAUGUGACAUGUAUUUAACGACGAAAAAUAACUUUUGUCAUUAAAAGCGAACAAUUAGUGACAAAUUAUAUAUCGUAGCUAAGAAAUUUUAGCUAAAUAUCACAUUUGUUGUAGUGCGCCUCCUCCACCUAUUUAUUGCAAACAAUGAAAGAGAGUAGCGAACUAAAACUUCUUUUCAAUUUGAUAAAAAAGAAAAAAUCUGUGUGAAGGUACGUACGGUUGCUUCUUUACUAGAGAGCUUAACACACUUAAACACAUGAUUUAAGUCCAAAAGGGCUCCAACGCCCAUAUUACAUAGAUUAGCGUGACACUGUUCACGCUUUUAUUUCAUAAAUAGACGCUCAAGCAUAUUACAGAGAUUAGCAUGACACUGUUCAUGCUUUUAUUUUUCAUAGAGACACAGUGAAUAGGCAAUAUUUGGAUCACAAUUCCUAGGGCAAGCUUUUGGGUUGUUGGGGUCAGACUCUCCUUCACAAAUGAAAGUCCCGUCAGCGCUGUAAUAGUUGCAACCCUUACGGCCUGCACAGCAAUUGGUGCAUAGGCGAUUUUCUGCGUUUCCUUCGGAACGUGGACAUUUUGAAUAGGCAAUUCUUGUAUCACAAUUCCGAGGGCAAGCUUUUGGGUUGUUGGGGUCAGACUCUCCUUCACAAAUGAAAGUCCCGUCAGCGCUGUAAUAGUUGCAACCCUUACGGCCUGCACAGCAAUUGGUGCAUAUGCGAUUUUCUGCGUUUCCUUCGGAACGUGGACAUUUUGAAUAGGCAAUUCUUGUAUCACAAUACCGAGGGCAAGCUUUUGGGUUGUUGGGGUCAGACUCUCCUUCACAAAUGAAAGUCCCAUCAGCACUGUAAUAGUUGCAACCCUUACGGCCUGCACAGCAAUUGGUGCAUAUGCGAUUUUCUGCGUUUUCUUCUGAACAAGCCUUGGCAUCAACAUGUAGAAGCAAUAUUUCUACAAUAAAUAUAUAAGCUAUAUAUAAAUAUUAAGAAAAAACAUAUCACCACCUUUGUGUAUCACUACUACAAAAUCAAUAUUUUCCUACUAAAAUUUGCCGCAGAAAAAUGUACUUAAUAUUUAAAAUUAGGAAGCUUUCUAGUGUUUCAAUAUGAAACUGUUUCUCACCAUACGUUUUCCAGUAAUCAGUAAGGUGAGAAACGGAUGGAAAAAUCAUGUUUUCCUCUAUCUCUAACAGUGUAUAUACUAAUGAAGAAAUUAAAUAGAAAAAGGAGAAAGGAAAAUCUUACCAAGAACAAGUAGGAAAGCAAGGAAACUAACUUCUUUGUGAACAGCCAUAUUAUGAAUCGGUGGUGAUUAUUUACCUUGUUUUUGUUAUGGAUGAGGAAGUCUAACCAUCACCACCUAUUUAUAGCAAACAAAUAAAAGAUACUUGGCUAACUAAAAAUUUUAUUUCACAUUAAUAUAAAAUUGAAAAUUAGGUACUUCUGCUUGAUUCAUUAUUAGAAAUCUUAUUUUUUUCCUAGUUGUUAUAUUCUGUACUGACCCCAACUUGUUUGUUUUUGAAAUAUUUGUCGUCUUGCAAUAAUUUUCUUCUGCACGUGAUAAGUUGCAUAAAUAUCACUCUAAUUUUUGUGGACAAAAUUAUUUUGGCAAUAGAUAUUAUGUGAAUCAAACAAAUGGCUCACUCAGAAAUUUGCAGCCUGAAUUGGACCACCCGAAAAGAAGAGGAUUGAGAGUGACCCAAAGUAAAAAAUAAAAGAAAAUCUCUUUCAUAACAUUAAAUUUAUUACACUUAAAGAGUAAUAAAUAGAUAUGCAUUGUGUAAACACAAAACAUGGUUGGUCGCGGAUAAAUGAUAGACAAGUAACCCUCCAGAUUUAUGCUAAGGCGUUCUGAUAAAUGGUUAAUGUGUCUGAAUACACGGCUCAAGCUCGGUGAAUCUGAGGUUAGUCGCUUGUAUCCGUAUGUAUUUUAGUUAUCCAAUUUUUAAAAUCAAGAGUAUUUUUUCAUAUAUUUUUCAUUUUACCCUUGAUAGGAAUAUUAAAUACAUUCGCAAAUUUUAAAAUUAUUGAAUGGUGCAUAAAUAAUCUCAAUUCUCAAUAUUAAAUAAUUAUUAAUGAAAAAGUGUAUAUAUACCCCUAACCUUUGAUAAAUGGUACAAAUAUACCCGCCGUCAUACUUUAAGAACAAAUAUAUCCUUACCGUUACUGAAAAGGUAUAUAUAUAACUUUGAACUUCUAUAAAUGGUACAAAUAUACCCCGGCCAUACUUUAGGUACAAAUAUACUCUUUUUGUUAAUGAAAAGGUACAUAUAUACCUCCUCAUAACGGUAGAACAUGUGUCGCAAUCUUGUUCAUUUGCCCUUUUUAAUUUAAUUUAUUCCCACCCUACCCGAAUUAAUUCUAAUUUAACCCACAAGCUGAUCUAAAUAAUAAUUCAAACUCGACCCGGUCUAACAGAAACUUCAAGAUGCAUCUCUAUUCACGCAUAUUCAUUUUCUCUUUCUCUUUCUAUUAGAUAGGGUUGGGUUUGAGUUAUUAGUUGGAUUGAGUUAUGAGUUAAAUUAGAAUUGUUUUGGGUGAGGUUAGGAUAAAUUAAAUUUAAAAAAGGCCAAAUGAACAGGAUUGUAACACGUGUCCUACCUUUAGUGAGAAGGGUAUAUAUGUAUCUUUUCAUUAAUGCAAAAGGGUAUAUUUGUAUCUAAAUUAUGUCGGAAGAUAUAUCUGUACCAUUUAUCAAAGUUCAGGGCUAUAUAUGUACCUUUUCAAUGAUGGCACGGGUAUAUUUGUACUUAAAGUAUGACGGAGGAUAUAUACAUACCAUUUAUCAAAGUUCAUGAGCUUAUUCGUAUCUUUUUUCGAUAAUAUAAUAAAAAAGACAACACCUCAGCAGAGAUUGAUCCCAUGGUCCUGAGAAAUUCAUUCCAUGUCAUUAAGCCAACAUUCUUUGUGUUUAUGAUUUCCCAUCUAUAGUAUUUUAUGGACUUAUUCUAUUUUUAAAUAUAUUUACCAAAUCUAUCGAUAGCGGGUGGGAAUUCCUGGGAACCCCAUCAACACUGUAGAUCUGCCCCUGAUUCUGCUAUAUUAAUAGAUUAUUAACAUGAAGUGUAUAUAAACGUCAUAACCAAUAACCUAUACCCUUUAUUAUGGUACUUGGAAGACUACAUAACAAAGUACGAAUGAUUCAGAAAAUUGCAAAGGAAUUUCUGAACAACACUGCAUACAAGAUAUUAGGAUAACAACUAAGGAAUCGAUAGUAGCCUUAAGAUAGAUAAAAAGAGAAGAAUUUUGUCUUUUCUAUACAAUUACCGCAACGGUUAGGUUUGAUUAUAGGUACCAUCUAUUUUGAACCUUGCCAAAACCUUCAUCCAACAUGUAUAGGCCGUAUCAAGACCUGAUAUAAGGGUAAGCCAAUAGCAAAUGACCUUUUCGUCCGUGCAUCCUCAACCUAUAUUUUACAUUACCGUUAUCUAUAUAAACAAAAUCGACCAAUUAAGUCGCCCUUACACUUGCAGAUAGUUGAACAAAGUGAUAGUAUGAUUACGGAUGAGAAAGAGAUUAUAUUAGUAACACAUGCAGAAAUUAAGUUAAAUGUAUUUGUUCACACAACAAAUACAAUCUGUAACAACUUUAAAAAUUCGGACGUGAAGUUACAAAAUUUUGUCCAAACAAAAGACAAAUUCUACAUUUUAUCAUGAUUUUUCUGUAAUCAAUCGAUCUGUUUUUCGAUUCCCUUCAAUAUAUUGCAAGUUGUGAACCACUAAUACAAAAAGAACAUGCAUAUUUAUAUGACCGCAUCAUGUUUUGACGUGUGUAUCAAUUAAAUAGAAGGACAACUAGAUGCACAAAAUAUUUCGCGUUAAGAUUGCACUUUUUGAGAGCAUUGAUUUUUCACCUUUUCAAAUCCAAAACAGCUCAAGUACUAUUACCCACCCAACCGAAUGACUCUCUUCUGCAAAGCAACAGUUAAUGCAAACUUGAGUAACCUUGGCCUAUUCAGAAGACAGAUAAGUCAUGUAAGCAACUCUAGGGUCACAUUCUUGAGUACAAACCCGGGCAAAGUUGUCAAAUGCCCAUUUUCAAAACUUUCUUUAUCAUAUUUAGAAACAAGUCUUGAAAAAUUGGCCAAAUGACACCAUUUAUGAUGUCAUCAUAUAUUUUUUCAAACUUAACAAAUCUAACAUACAAGUUUUUACUAAUACACUUUGACCCCUUCUUCUCAUCCCUAAUUAUGUUCAAAAUAUCAUUUCAAAAUAUUUUAAAAAAAAUUCAAAAGCUUAAAAAAGAAGCUCCCAAUUUCCCUUUAAAAUUCUCUAUUUCAGGCACGAUUUCAGAGAUUUUUUUCGACGAUCAGCUCAAAAUCCGUCCACAAAUGUCAUAAUCUUGUUCAUUGCAUCAAUUGUUACCCCAUUUGUUUAUUAUUUUCUCAAACACACUUUCCACUAUUGUUAUAAAGCUUCCAAAUCAUUCACAUUAUGCAAAACCUCUUUAGAAUGUACAUUACAGUAGCUCAGGUGACUCUAACUUCAUUUCUCUAGUCCAUAAAACCUACGAUUGUUCAAUAGAAGUAUUUUUUGCACUUUCAAUGCUUUGUACGGAUAUCUUCCCAAUCAACGACCAUUCAUAAAACAGACAUAUACCACUAGCAGAAUCAAGGAUUAGCUCCAGUAUACUUUUAGGAUGUCAGUUAUGAUUCGGACAAAGUAAGAAAACCACAAGUAAAAGAAAACAAGAACAACACACAGAUUUAUGUGGAAACCUUUGCUAGAAAAACCACAGGCAGAGGAAAAUAAGGUUUCACUAUAAUAGAGAGAGAGUACAAUAUGGAGAAGGCUGAAUUUUUUGAAUACCCAAAAUAACCCACUAAAUGCACUUAUAUAAUAUGUGCAUACAAAUAAGUCCUAGGCCCUAAAACAUAAAGGUCCAUAUCGGGCCGCUACGCUACCAUCACAGACCCCAUUGAAAAUCACCAACAUGGGUAUCACGGCAAAACUUUCUGGGCCAGAUCAAUAAAAUUUGGGUCACAACUCUAACAAUAUCCACUUUGACAUGAAUUCUAAUUCAGAACUCAAAUCCAAUUCAAGACAAACUCUCCACUUCUUCCAUAAAAGCUCCUAAGGGCACAUAUUAACAGCUAACACUACCAAGUUCAAGCAAUGCUCAAACUUGGCGCUUGGUAGUAUCUUGGUCAUUAUAUCAGCAGGAUUAUCAUGAGUACAAAUCUUUCUCACCACAAUAUCACCACGAGCAAUAAUUUCAUGCACAAAAUGAAACUGAACAUUGAUGUGCUUUGUCCUUUCGUGAAACAUCUGAUCUUUUGAGAAAGAUAGCACUCUGACUGUCGCAAAAAAUUAUAGUAAUCUUUAAGUCUUUGCUAAGUUCACCGAACAUAUCCUUCAACUAAAUAACUUCCUUGAAAGCUUCUGUAAUAGCCAUAUACUCUACCUCAGUAGUUGAAAAAGUAACUGUAGUCUGCAAGGUAGCUUUCCAACUAAUAGCACAACUACCAGUGGUGAAAACAUAGCCUAUAAGGGACCUCUUUUUAUCAUGAUCUCCUGAAAAAUCAGCAUCAACAUACCCGAUUACUCCAUCUAUAUUUCGCCAAACUGCAAACAAACAUCAGUAGAUCCAUGAGAGUAUCUGAAAAAAUCCACUGAAUUGUUUUCCAAUGUUCUUUGUCAGGAUUUUCCAUGUAUCUACUAACUGCAUAAGAUAAAUCUGAUCGGGAACACACCAUCUCAUACAUAAGAGACUCGACGACACUAGAGUAUGGAACUCGAGACAUAUAGUCACGCCCAUCAUCUGUCUUUUGAGAUAAAGUGACUGAAAGUUUGAAGUGAGCUGCCAAUGGAGUACUUACAGGUUUGAAGUGAACCUGUGAAGCACUUUCUCAAUAUACCUUUUCUGACUCAAGUAUAACUUACGCUUCUCUUUAUUCCUCAUAAUUUCCAUGCCCAAAAUCUUCUUUGCUGCUCCUAGAUCCUUUAUCUCAAAAUCCUUGCUGAGCUGGGCUUUGACUUUUUUUUAUCUCUUUCAUAUCCUUUACAACAAUCAACAUACAAGAGAAGAUACAUGAACAAACCAUCACUCACCUUCUUAAAGUAGACACAACUAUCAAUACUACUCCUUCAAAAUAUAUGAGAGGUCAUAAAAGAGUCAAACCUCUUAUACCACUACCCGGAAGACUGUUUAAAUCCAUAAAGAGACUUUUUUAGUAAGCAUACAUAGUCCUCCUUUCCCGAGACUACAAAACCCUCUGGUUGCUGCAUAUAGAUAUCUUCCUUAAUUUCUCCAUAUAAGAAUGCAGUUUUGACAUCCAACUGCUCAAGCUAAAUAUCAUGCAUGUUCACAAUACUAAGCAAGGCUCAAAUCGAACUAUGCUUUACAACUGGAGAAAACACAUUGUGAAGUCAACACUUGGAACUUGACUGUAACCUUUAGCAACUAGUGUUGCUUUGUACUUAGCAUCUUCAACUCCGAAUGUUCCUUCUUUCUUUUUGAAUACCCACUAGCAAUGGACAACUUUUUUAUCUUUAGGCAAUCUUACCAGAUCCCAUGUGUCAUUCUUAUGAAGUGAUUCUAUCUCCUUUUGCAUAGCAAUCAUCCAUCGAUAGAAAUCAUCACAACUAACUGCCUCUGAGUAAGAAGAAGGAUCUUCACGGAAUUAAUACCUUCUUCUACACUUAAUGCAUAAGCAACCAAAUUAGCCUCAGCAUACUUCUGAGAAGGCCUAAUAUCUCUUCUAGGGUUGUUUUCAGCAAUCGAAUAUUGUGGCACCACUGGUGAUGAAGAAGAAAUAGUAUCACUUUGUAUCUCCGAGCUAGACUGAGAAGUAGGCACUGGUGUAGACUUUGCUCCAAUGUGCAAUUCAACAUAGGUGCUUGACUUUGGCUGAUUCAUGUCACUAAGAUCAUCUGGAGGUGAAGCACUAGAUUCGGAGGGAGCCCGAAGCAUGGCAGAUUCAUCAAACGCAACAUUCUUGCUAAUUAUAACCUUUCUGCUUUCUAGACACCAAAGAUUGUAACCUUUAACACCAGGCUUAUAACAUAUAAAUAAACACUUAACAGAUAUAGGCUCUGAAUUUUCAUUAUCAACAUGAGCAUACACAAGACAUCCAAAUAUCCUCAAAUCAGAAUAACUAGCAGGAGUACCAGUCUAUACCUCUUGUGGAGUCUUUUUAUCAAUCACUAUUGAGGAAGAACGGUUAAUAAGAAGACAAGUUGUGGAAGUAGCUUCAGCCCAAAAAGACUUGGGUAAACAAGCAUUAGAGAACAUACAACACACCUUCUUCAUUAUAGUCCUAUUCAUUCGUUCAGCCACACCAUUCUGCUGCAGAGUAUGACGAACUGUCAAGUGCCUCACAAUUUCUUCUGACUUGCACAGAGCAUUAAAUUCAUUAGAACAGAACUCUAAACCAUUAUCAAUCUAAAAGCAUUUUACCUGCUUCCUUAUUUGCUUUUCAAUCAUAAUCUUUCACUCCUUAAAAGUAGGCAACACAUCAUUAUUUUUCUUUCAGGAAGAACACCUAAACAUUUCUUGAAUAGUCAUCAAUAAUAGUCAACAAAUAAUGUGCACCUCCUCUAGAAGGUACUCUAGAAGGACCCCAGAGAUCAAAAUGGAUGUAAUCAAGUGUGUCUUUAGCUGAGUGGAUGCCUUUAGUAAAUCUGACUCUCUUUUUCUUCCCAAAAAUACAAUGCCCACAAAACUCUAGUUUGGUAAUACUCUGCCCAUUAAGAAGUCCUCUCCUGCUUAGUUCAGCCAUCCUAUUUUCACUCAUAUUCCCCAGACGCAUAUGCCAAAGUUUAGCAACAUCACUUUCUGAUAGAGAGGAGGUAGAAACAGUUGCAUCACCUGUAAACAUAGAGCCUUGCAAGACAUACAAAUUUUCAGACUUUCUCUAUCCCUUUAUCACAAUAAGAGCACCUUGAGCAACCUUCAGAACUCCACCUUCACCAGUGUACUUAUAUCCGUUUGAAUCAAGAUUACUCAAGGAAAUAAAAUUUCUCUUCAGGUCUGGGAUAUACCGCAUAUCACCAAGUAUCAUCACAACCCCAUCAAUCAUCUUAAUUCUGAUUGUUCCAAUAUCGGCUAUCUUUCAAGGUGUAUUAUUUCCCAUCAAUACAACACCUUUUAGAGACUGCUUUAUAUGUUAUAAACCAAUCCCGAUUAUGACACAUAUGAAACGUGCAUGCUGAAUCAAGAAUCCAAUCCUCACAGGGUUUAGAGUUACCAUAAAAAACUGCCAAGAGUUCCCAUUACUACCGUCAUCAUCAACAAAACUGGCUUUACCGAACUUUUUUGGUUGGUUUUUCUUUUAUUUUUGGAGCUUCUUUUUUAUCUCUAUUCUAUAACUUCCAACACUCGAAUUUGAUAUGACCCUUUUUAUUGCAGUUUUCACAGGUUUUGUUUUUGUUACUAAAUUUUGAUCCGUUUCUAUCAUCACCCCAGAGUUUCUCUCAUGAUUCCUUCCUCGAAAAAUGAGACCAUUUGCUUGAGUCUUUGAACCAUUCACAAGAUGCUUCUCUCCUUAGAAAACAACGCAUCAUAGACUUUAUCUAUGGUCUGGGUAUCACGACUAUAUAAAAUCGUAUCCCUAAAGGUCGAGUAUGAUGCAGGCAGCGAACACAACAGAAUCAACCCUAGAUCUUCCUCAUCGUACUUAACCUCCAGAGUUCUAAACCAGAGAUGAUUUCCUUAAAGAUAGAUAGGUGAUCCUUCAUGGACGCACCCUCAGACAUACGAUGGGAAUAAAGUCAUUGUUUGAGAUGCAACUUACUAGUUAGGCUAUUCAUCAUGCAAAAAGAUUGCAGUUUCAACCACAAGCAGGAUAGUGGUCUCCUUCAAAACAUCCUAUAGAAUCUGAUUGGAUAAAUGAAGGUGGAUCUGAGAAAGAGCCUUUCGAUCCUUACGUCGUUUGUCAUCAGCUGUUCAUGAUGAGGGCAUAUGAUCAAACCCUAAUAGAGUAUCGUCUAAAUCAAUUUGCACGAGCACAACCCACAUCUUAACCUGCCAUAACAAAAAUAUGCCGUUGCAAUCCAACAAUGAAAUAUCAUACUUCAUGGUUGUCAUCCCCGAGAGAACAAUCGAAACAGGCUCUGAUACCAGUUUGUUAGGAUUCAAACAGAGUAAGCAAACCACAAGUAAAAGAAAAUAAGAACACCAUACAGAUUUAUGCGGAAACCCUUGCAGGAAAAACCACAGGCAGCGGCAAAGGAGGUUUCACUAUAAUAGAGAGAGAGUACAAUGUGGAGAGGCUGAAUUUUCUAAAUACCCAAAAUAACCCACUAAAUGAACUUAUAUAAUAUGUGCAUACAAAUAAGUCCUAAGCCCCAAAACAUAAAGAUUCAUAUCGAGCCUUUCGGCCCGAUCCCUAUGCUACCACCACAGACCCCAUUGAAAUCACCAACAUGGUCGCACUGCGAAGCUUUCUGGGCCGGAUCAACAAAAUUCGGGUCAUAACUCUGACAAUGUCUAUUGUAGAGGUUCUUGUUUCUGGUAAUUUCAUGGGAGAAUGGGUGGAGACUCCCAAACGUUGGAAUUGGAAAUCUUUUACUAAGGUGACAUUGUCCAUUGCGGUUCGCCGCAAUAGUUGAUACGACGACUAGGUUGCAAGUGUAAUGAAGACCGUGGAUUUAGAUUGCGAGCCAAGCGAUAUGGUGAUUAGUUAUCUAAUGAACUCAAGAAAAAAUGUGCAUCGUACGAUCUUAAAUAAUGGCAGACAUGUGUCUUUGUUCAUGUUGGAUGUUAGUGCUGAUGGCUUUAGGCCUAUUUUAAAAAUAAAUGUAGUUGGGAGGUCUCCUUUACACUCUCUCCUUUACGAACUUGCCGUCUUUAUCAAAAUAGUAGCAACCUUUGUAGCCCGUGCAACAGUUGGUGCAUCCAGUGGGAUAAAUUAUCAUCUCUCCUUAUACAAAGCAUGUUGCGUUAAGAAUAUACCUUUGAGAGAUUACACAUGCAUUUACGAAGGAUUAUCCUUUUUUUAUGAAUUACAGUAGACCUAGAGUCACUCAUGAUAGAGCCUAGAGGUCACAUUUUGUACGAGUACGAGUUAUUCGUCUUGUUUCAUAUUGCUAAAGAUAAAUAUUUACCUUAUAAUAACAGUGUUUAAUUUGAAGCUGAAAUGAACAGUUGAACUACUGUCAAACCCCAACUAAUUCCUGUUCUUUCACUUCUUCCGUUGAGGCAAGAUUUAUCCCAAAGAACUUGUAAACAACAAGUUACAUCGUUAAAUUUAUUUUGAUGUCCAAAAAAAAAUAAUGUUCUUUGUAAAUUAUCCAACUUUAUAUUCAUUAGCAAAAUAUAAUAGAAGUUGAGAGAAAAGAAAAAAGAGGAAGAAAAAAAAAUAAAGAUCGAGAAAAAAAAGGAAAAAAAGUAAAAUUUAAGAAUAAAAAUGAUGAGCUCUACAAAAUAAAAACGAAUUACUCAUACUUUGUGAGCUGUAUAAAAUAAAAAUGGACAACGCUCAUAUUUAAUUAGCCUUAUAUUUUUUUUUAAAGUUAGGGACGUUGCCAACCAUUCCAUUAAAAAAAGAAGCGCUAAAGCUCACAAAAUAUGUGAGCUUAAUGUGAACGGAGCCUAUUUUGAUAUCAUUUUAUAUACCGGCAAUUGGAUACUUAUGCUUGAUACUUUAUUAGAAAGCUUAGUUUUCCCUAGUUGUCACAUUCUUUCUCUUAUUAAUUAAGCCGUACUGAUUCCGACUUUCUUAUUUCAAUUUGUCAUCUAGCAAUAAUUUUUUCUCCACGUGAUGAAUUGGAAGUCAGUAACAGAUGGCUCAUACUUGCAGCCUAAAUUGGACCACCCGAAAUGAAAAGGAUUGAGAGUGAUCCAAAGUAAGAAAUAAAAGAACAUCUCUUUCGUAGGGAAUAUUGUAUCUAGUUGAAGGAUGGAUAAAUGUUUCUGACGCAACGAUUUAUGGUGAUUAAUUGUUGCUCCCUCUAGUUUUUAGGUACCAUCAUUGCACGUAAUCCCUAUUUAAUUCAGCUGAUAUAUUAGAUAAUAAUAGAUACUAUAUUAUAUAGUUUUCUAAUCCUGUCUUGAUGUGUUGUACACAGUGUAACAGAGUAUUACCACGUAUAAUUUGUCUUUAAUAUUAGUUCUAUCAACUCUAAAGUCAGUUGGAAUACGGUUGUGAGACUCUUUUGUAGAGAUUUGAGUCUCUGUAAUCUCAUCAAAAGCUUUGAAAUAUGCAGUUGCCUUAUACUGUUGAUAUAUAACUCAUAGGUUCCCCAGUAGUAAAUAGUGAAGAACCAAAAUGACUAGAGAGUGUGUAAUCAUCUCCUGCGAUUCAACAGUUAACACAAAUUUGAUUAAACUUGGCCAAUCAAUCUCUCUCUCUAUAUAUAAAGGAGAAUGUUAGCUCAUGUGGUAUGAUUUAGAGGCCUCCAAUGUUAUUUAUUUUUUUUGUGAUUUUUUUGAGUUCUUAUUGUCUAAAUAUUUUUGUUAAUUCUUUUUCCUUUCCUAUAAUUAAUGUGAUUAAUUUGUUUUAAAAUUUAAUAGAAAAAACAAUGAACCAUUUAUCUUCUUCAUUGUGUUGUGAUUGUUGUAGGAAUGAAUACCAUCCACACUAAUCACCAUAUAUCAUUAAUCUGCCGUUCAUAUUUCUUAUAUUAUUAAUCCUGUUUUUCAUAUUCCCUAAUUGUAACAACUCUUUAAAUCAAUCUUUGCAUUGCAACUCCUUCUCUUUUAAUUGAAACCUGAUUUGAAGAGAAAAAAAAUCAUUUCUUCUUUUUUAUUUUUAAGUUAAAUUAAAGAAAUCUCAUGACCUAAAAUUGUUCUUUCAGUUCUAUUACUUUUUUCUCUUAAUCCCUAUUUAAUAUUUAUCUACUGAAAUUUCAAGAAUUCAGUUUUUCGAGAAUGCUCGAAUAAAUUAGUAUCAUGAAACAAAAGAAGAAACGUAACAAAGUGCAUAGGAAAGCUUAAAUUUUUUGUAGCACUAUACUCCUGUUUCUUAUACCUUAAAAAUAGUACUGAUAGUGUUUUUUUUUUUUUGCAUCUGAAUGUUUGCAUCUAUAUGUUCUUUUCUAUUAGAUUCGAUCAAUUCUAUUAGUAAAUUAGCCACGUAAAAUAUGUACCCAUCAAUCUCAAUCUAUUCUAUAAAGGGGUUCAAAAUUAUGUAAGUGCAGACUAAUUAACUUCUUAACCGUUCUAUUAUUCGUCAAUUAAAUUAUAUUGAUUCUGUUGAAAAAAUUACUACAAUAUUGAUAUGAAACUGGAAUUAAUAAUAGUAAGAGAAUAGUCACAAAACACUGUGUCGUGGCAAGUCACUGCCUUGAAAGCGAUUUCGGCCUGACUCCGGUGCCAAUCCUUCUAGACGGUCGCUUCCCAAGGUUCCACAACUACUUCCAAACAUGUGCACUCGUGGCUGAAAGUUUGGAGUUGCAAAAAUUAUUACCUAGAAAUUCACAAGGAAUAGAAUACCAAUGAUGAGAAAGCAAUAAAGAGAGAAAACCAAGCAUAGGCAAAUGGUAUUUGUUUCUUUGGAUGUGUUUAUUCAUCAAGUGAAGACACAAUUAUAUAGGUUUGGAAAUAAAUAUUUUUGGUGAAGAAAUAAAUGAGAUCAGUUAUUAUCUCAUUUAAGAAAAUUGUUAUAUUUCAUCUCAUUAAACAAUGUAUAUCUUAUUACUUUGCAUUUUAAUUUGCAUAAUUAAUUAGAGAUAAAUGAAUGCAAUGAAUUCAUUGUCAUUCAUAAACGAAAAAUCUCACAUUCCCCCAUAAAAUGCAAAAAAAAAAUAAAAAAAAUAAAAAAAUAAUAUGAAUAGUUUUUGGGCAAAAGAAAGGAACACGUACUUAAGUAUCAAUAUCUUUCAACUUGAAUUGAUACAUAGUGAAAUGAGGCAACAACAAAUAUCCACAAAGUGAAGUACGCUUGGAAAAAAUAAAUAUAAGCUGAAACCCCCACAACACAUACCAUAUUCUUGAUUUUAUGCAAACUCCGCGAUACUCAUAAAGUGCUUUUAUGAUCAUGCACACAAACCUUAGGUCUCAUGAGUGCUCUAGAAAUACAACCCAAGUCUUUUAUAAAAAGGUGACCAACUUUUUAAACUCACAUAGGUGAUCCAUUAAGUCUAUCUCUUAGACCACCUUAAGGCUGUAGAUCAUUAAGAGAAAAAAUAACCUCAACCUUAUAAUACACUACCUCAAGCCAUAGGGAUAGGAUAUGUUGUGUUUAUUGAUGUCCUAUAUGGCUUCGUUUGACCACAAAUGGGUAUCCACCAUAUUACCUUAAUCCAUGGGCUUUAGCCCCAUCCCCUCGACGAUUUAAUGACCAUUUUCCUUGUCAAACCCUUGGUCAUAGGAUCCACCAAAUUUCUUUCGGAUCUUACAUAUUCCAAGAAAAUAACACCAUGUUUCAAUAAUUGUUUAACUGCACCAUAUCUGAAAGAAAUAUGUCUCUUUUUAACAUUGUAUACACUAUUUUUAGCAAUCCCAAUAGCCGCCUGUGAGUCACAAUGUAAAGAGACUGGUGAUAUUUGUCUUUCCCAUAAAGGCACAUCUAUCAAAAGAUUUUUCAUCCACUCAACUUCUUAUCCUGCCAACUCGAGAGCAAUGAAUUCAGAUUGCAUGGUAGAACGUGCUAUACAAGUCUACUUUGAGGACUUCCACGAAAUAGCACCUGCACCUAAAGUAAGCACAUAGCCACUGGUCGAGCUAAAUUUAUCAUUGUCAGUAAUCCAGUUUGCAUCACAAAAAUCUUCUAAAACAGCAGGAAAUUUAUUUAAAUGCAAACACCAAUUCAUAGUACCUCUCAAGUACCUUCAAAAGCGAUGAAGAGCAUGCCAAUGUUCACUACUGGGAUUAUGAGUAUACCUACUCAAUCUACUAACAGUAUAAGUUAUAUCAGGACGAGUAUAGUUCAUGAGAAACAUUACACUCUCAAGUAUUUUAGAAUAUUUAGUUUGAGAAACACUGGAAUCUUUAUUCUUUUUCCAAGUGUAUUCUAGGACUAUAAGGAGUUCUCACUGAAACUACAUCAAAAUAAUCAAACUGUUUCAACAUUUUUGACUGACACAAAGAGAAACCAUUAACAGUUCUUUUAAUUUUUAUUCCUAAAAUCACAUCAGCUUCUCCAAAGUCUUUUAUUUCAAAUUUAGAAAAUAAAAAUUUCUUAGUCUCGUUUACAACAUUCACAUUAGGGCCAAAGAUUAAUAUGUCAUCCACAUAUAAACAUAUAAUCACAAAGUUUGAUCCUAUCAUUUUAGAAUAAACACAGGUAUCAGAUGAAUUAACAACAAAGUCAUUGUGAAAUUAAAUUUUUCAUACCACUGCUUAGGUGUCUGCUUAAGUCUAUAUAAGGACUUUCUCAAUUUGCAUACUUUAUCCUCUUGUCUUGGGACCACAAAAUACUCAGGUUGAGUCAUAUAGAUCUCUUCCUCUAAAUCACCAUUUAAAAAUGCAGUUUUGACAUCCAUUUGGUAUACCACUAAAUUAUGAAUAGAGGCUAGAGCAAUAAGAGUCCUAAUAUUCACUAUUUUAGUCACAGGAGAAUAAGUAUCAAAAUAAUCAACACCUUUCUUUUGGUUAAAGCCCCUAAUGACAAGUCUAGCCUUAUAUUUAUCAAUUGUACCAUCAAGCCUCAAUUUCUUCUUGAAUAUCCACUUGCUACUUAUGGGUUUACAACCUUUAGGCAAAUCAUACAAGACCCAUGUGUGGUUAGAAAUUAUAGAGUCUAAUUCACUUUUAAUAGCCUCUUUCCAAAAUAUUGCAUCUAUUACACUCAUUGCUUCAUCAUAUGUCUUAGGGUUUUCUUCUUUUAAGUAGAUAGACACUAAUUCAUCAUUUAAAGUGUCGAUAUUAAAAUCCUCAUUUAAGAAGGUGGAGAUAAAUUCAGGAUCAAAUCUAGUCUAAGUUCUACGUUUUUUACUGCUUCUCAGUUCAUUUUCAUGCUUAUUAGCAAUAACAUCAGAUACAGGCAUAACAUGAGAGUUAACAGACAUAAAUAUAGAAGUAUUAUUUUGCACAUUACUAGGCACAUCAUUUUUCAAAGGAAAAACAUGCUCAAAAAAUUCUGCAUCUCUAGAUUCACAAAUAGAAUAAUUAUUUAAUGAAAUAAAUCUAUAUGCAACUCUUUUUUAAGAAUAACCAAUAAAGACAGCAUCAAAAGUCUUAGAACCUACAUUACUCAUUUAAAAUCAGGUAGACCUAACUUAGCCAAACACCCACACACUUUCAGAAAUUUAAAGUUAGGGGCAAAUCCUUUCCAUAACUCAUAUGAGGUUUUGUAUAACUUUUUAUAAGAGACUCUAUUAAGAAUAUAGCAUGCAGACAAGACAACUUCUCCCCAUAUAUAGUCAGGUAGACCUGAUCUUAAAAGCAUAGAAUUCAUCAUAUUCUUAAGAGUUCUAUUCCUUCGUUCAGCUACACCAUUUUAUUAGGGAGUAUAAGGAGCACUAAACUCAUGGAUAAUACCAUUUUUCUCACAAAAAUCUUCUAGAGAUUUAGUAUUAUUCACCGCCCCUGUCAGAUCUACAUCUCUUGAUUUUCCUGUCUAAUUGAUUUUCUACUUCUGCUUUGAAUUUUAAAAACAUGCUUUCAACCUCAUCUUUAGACUUAAGGAGGUAUAACUUAGUGUACCUAGAAAAGUCAUCAAUAAAAGUAAUGUAAUACUUAUUUCCACCUUUACUAAUAGUGUUCUUAAAAUCUGCUAAGUCUGAAUGUACUAGUUCAAGCUAUUCGGCCUUUCUACUAGUAACAUAUUUAAAAGGUUUCUUAGCAUGUGUCACGACCCGAACCAGGGCCUGGCCGUGAUGAGAAUUUUGAAUCAUGGAGGCCCAAAACAUCCUUAUCUAUCUGGUAAUCAUGCACCUAAUUCAUAUGAUCAAAGUAAUGCGGAAGAAACACAAUAAUUCAGAAACAUGGUCAUAGAUAUGAAAAGAACCAAUAGCGGGGAAAUAAAGUUCCCCCGAAAUCAAUCAACCUCUAAACAUCUGUCUGCGAAAAUCUCCAACAAAUGACUGAGUCAAGUAACUGUAUAUAAAUUGGAACAAGGCCCCCAGUAGACCACAAAACUAAAUAUAAAAUAAAAGGACUGCGGGACAUAAAGACCUUUCGAAACAUAGAAGGCUCACCACUUGUCUCUGCUACUCUGUCUGAAUGAUCUACUAAUUCUCUUGACCCCUAGACUGGGCCUCUGAACCUGAGAGGUUGGAGAGGAGAGGGGGUCAGUACAAAAGUACUGGCAUGCAGAGAUAUCAAAAUAAAACAUAAUAUUUUUACAAAAUAUAGUUGAGAGUCAUUAUAAGCAAUUUCAUAUCAAAUCAUUUGAAAACACCUGGGCAUAAUGCAAUAGUUUUCAAUACAAAUGUAAUUCAAUUGAGUUAGGUGGAAUACCCUACAAUUGUAAUUCCACGGAUAUGUGGAAUUCGCCUCUGGUGCUUGGCGGCCAAGCCUCCAAUCCAAGUAGCCGCCAGGAGUUGGAGCUGGUAUACCCUCCAUGUGAGUAUAUCGCAGGGAAUCCCCCAUGUGAGAUGUCCCAAUUGUUUUAUUAUCCUCUCAUGUAGGAUACAAUAUCAUAUGACCCGCAUCGGUAACUACGGUUUCCAGCGAUGAGCCAUUUCACUCAAACGCCUUCUUCGGGCAUCCACCUUUCUCAUAAAAUCAAUGCAUUUCAAACUUUGGUCAAAUCAAUCUUAUGUCAUACUCUGUAGGGUAUUGUCAUACCCGACUUGCAAGUCAUCAGUAUCAUAUCAUUCUCUUCAUUCAAUCAACAUAUGCAAUAUAUUUCAACAUGAACAAAACAACCCUCUCUUUGAAAGUCAAAAUCAUAUCCAAAUCAUGACUUUUUUUAAGACAUUUCAUGACAUGCAUUUCAAGAUGAUUUCAAACAUUUCACAUCAUAUGAGGAUUUAAUACAAAAUCAUAUCAAGAGAGGGGUUCCAUCUAAAUCAUUCUCUCAAUUUAUCAUCAUUAUGAAACACAUACAUAUACAUAUAUAAUACAUCAAAUCAUUUCGGGGAAAGGCCUAAAAGACCACAACAAUAUCAUUAAAACAUUUAAAACAUAAUUAUAUUCUAAAUUUCAAAACCCCCAUUUUUGAAAACAUAAAUUUUAAAGCCCAUGAGAUUUUUUUGAGAUAACCCCACGUACCUCUAUUUCCAAAGAUAAUAGAUGUUUCUUGAAGCUUGUGGAUUGGUGAUUCCAAAUAUGUAAUUAUCUUCGAAAACCUACGAUUGAACCUUGAACUAUUUGGGUUUUUACUUUGAAACCCUAGGAAGAAACCUUGAGCACUUUUAAUGAAUGAGGGUGUAUUUUGGGGUCCUUGGAACUGAAUUUUGUGUUUUAGGGCUAAGUAAGGGUGGAAAAGGACCAUUUUGUCCCCAAAAUGGAGUGUUUAAGUCACUUAAAUUCUUUACAUAGGCGCCGUCCAUCUCAUUGCUUAUGUUUACAUAGGCGCCGCCUAGGCUAUCGCCUAUGUUUACAUAGGCGCCGCCUAGGCUAUAGCCUAUGCUUUCCAGUGGCCAUGGGCGAUUGGUUAGGCGACACAUAUCACUUUGAAAGGCCAUAACUUCUUGCUCGGGUGUCGAAUUUUAGCAAAAUUGGUAUCGUUGGAAAUCUAACUCGAAGACCUAUCAUUUGACACGUAGUAGGAUCCCUAACUCAAAAUAUACGGAGAAUUAUGAUCGAUGGAAGCUGACACACUUUACCAUGUCCACUAAAACUUAGUCAAUCUAAAUAGUUUCAACUCGUCCUUAAGUUGAAGGACCUCUAUGGUCUAAAUUCAGGCUUGAAUGGAUUCACAUGCUACACAAUUAAUUAACACGCCGCAUUGGCAUAGGAUUUUAUGGCUUUGAAAUUAUCAACGCAUCAAAAUCAUGGUCUAUAUUGUAGCCCGAAAUGCGGAACGUUACAAGAAUAAUUCAGUUCGGAUCUAAAUACGUUGGAACGACGGUCUAAACUCUAGCCCAAAAAUACGGGGUGUUACAAUAUGCUUUGCUUCUACACACAAAGGACAUUUAGAAAUAUCAUAAAUAUUUAUUGUAGGAAUUAAUCUUAUUUUUAAAGUCUUUUAAUAGAAGUAAUAUUAACAUGACCUAUCCUACCAUGUCAUAAAUUAAUAGACUCAGUAAUAUAAGUAGAAUUAGGAAUAUUUACAUUAUUGACUCAUCAUUUAAAAAUGCAGUUUUGACAUCCAUUUGGUGUACCACUAAAUUAUGAAUAGCGGCUAGAGUAAUAAGAGUCCUAAUGGUCACUAUUUUAGUCACAGGAGAAUAAGUAUCAAAAUAAUCAACACCUUUUUUUUGGUUAAAGCCCCUAAUGACAAGUCUAGCCUUAUAUUUAUCAAUUGUACCAUUGGGCCUCAAUUUCUUUUUGAAUAUCCACUUGCUACUUAUGGAUUUACAACCUUUAGAAAAAUUAUACAAGUCCCAUGUAUGAUUAGAAACUAUAGAGUCUAAUUCACUUUUAAUAGCCUCCUUCCAAAAUAUCGAAUCUAUUAAACUUAUUGCUUCAUCAUAUGUCUUAGGGUUUUCUUCUUUUAAGUAGAUAGACACUAAUUCAUCAUUUAAAGUAUCGAUAUUAAAAUCCUCAUUUAAGAAGGUGGUGAUAAAUUCAGGACCAAAUUUAGUCUCAGUUCUACGUUUUUUACUGCUUCUCAAUUCAUUUUCAUGCUCAUUAGCAAUAACAUCAGAUACAGGCAUAACAUGAGAGUUAACAGACAUAGAUAUAGAAGUAGUAUUUUACACAUUACUGGGUACAUCAUUUUUUAAAGGAAAAACAUGCUCAAAAAAUUCUGCAUCUCUAGAUUCACAAAUAGAAUAAUUAUUUAAUGACAUAAAUCUAUAUUCAACACUGUUUUAAGAAUAACCAAUAAAUAUAGUAUCAAAGGUCUUAGAACCUACAUUACUUGUUUAAAAUCAGGUUGACCAAAUUUAGCCAAAUACCCAUACACUUUCAGAAAUUUAAAGUUAGGGGCAAAUCCUUUCCAUAACUCAUAUGAGGUCUUGUAUAACUUUUUAUAAAAGACUCUAUUAAGAAUAUAGCAUGCAGACAAGACAGUUUCCUCCCACAUAUAGUCAGGUAUACCUGAGCUUAAAAGCAUAGAAUUCAUCAUAUUCUUAAGAGUUCUAUUUCUUCGUUCAGCUACACUAUUUUGGUGGGAAGUAUAAGGAGCACUAAACUCAUGGAUAAUACCAUUUUUCUCACAAAAAUCUUAUAGAGUUUUAGUAUUAUUCACCGCCCCUGUCAGAUCUAAAUCUCUUGAUUUUCCUGUCUAAUUGAUUUUCUACUUCUGCUUUGAAUUUUAAAAAUAGGCUCUCAGCCUCAUAUUUAGACUUAAGGAGGUAUACCUUAGUGUACCUAGAAAAGUCAUCAAUAAAAGUAAUAUAAUACUUCUCUCCACCUUUACUAAUAAUGUUCUUAAAAUUUGCUAAGUCUGAAUGUACUAGUUCAAGCUAUUCAGCCUUUCUACUAGUAACAUAUUUAAAAGGUUUCUUAGCAUGCUUUGCUUCUACGCACAGAGGACAUUUAGAAAUAUCAUCAAUAUUUACUGUAGGAAUUAAUAUUAUUUUUUUAAGUCUUUUAAUAGAAGUAAUAUUAACAUGACCUAGCCUACCAUGCCAUAAAUUAAUAGACUCAGUAAUAUAAGCAGAAUUAGGAAUAUUUACAUUAUUGACAAUCUCUUGAUCAAUGCUCAAUAUAAGCCCCCACUAAGGUAUCCCUUCCCAACAAAGUUUCCUCUACGAGAAAUAAUUAUUUUAUCAGCUUCAAAAACAAGUUUAAGGCCUACUUUGUUGAGAAGUGCUCCAGAAAUUAAGUUUCUACGGAGCGAGAGAACAUACAAAAUAUUGUUCAAGGUAAUAUUUUUUCAGAAGUUAAUUUAAGUAAAAAUUUUCCUUUACCCAUAACUCUAGCAGUAGUGGAGUUACCCAUGUGGACACACUCGCCAUCGGUGGAUUCCUCAAAGUCAUGGAAUAAUUCUUUGUUAGCACAGAAAUGUCUUGAAGCGCCUAUGUCCAACACCCAAUCAGUCUUGUUAGCUACCAGAUUUGCCUCGAUGAUUACUGUAGCAAUCAUUUCAUCACCCUCUGUAAGAUGAGUUUAUGCAUCACCUUGUCCUCCCUAUUUUGACUUUUGUCCUUAUCUUAGAUAACACUGGACAACCCUAUGGCCAAGUUUUCCGCAGAUAAAAUAGGGCCCCUUUGAUUUUUUAAUUUGACUCUCUGACUUGUUGAAAUUAUUUUUCUUUUUCACUUGUUCCUUAUUCUAAACAUUCUUUUAUUUUUCUUCGUACCUGUCUUUUGUAAUAGUACCAGAAGAUUCCAUAAAGUUAGCUUUAGAAGAACUAAGAGAAAGAGCUUCCAUCUUAUCUUUGAGACGGUUUGCCUCCUCUGUUCUCAUGUAACUGAUAAUUUCUUGGAGAGUUAUUUUUUUUUCUUAUGUUUCAAUUGAUUUCUGUAAUCACUCCAGGAUGGUGGAAAUUUUUCAAGCUAAACAUUAGCCUAAAGAAUCUCACACAUCUUCAUGCCCUCAUUAAGAACAUCAACAGUUAAAUUUUCAUAUUCGUGGACUUGUUUCAUGAUUGAUUUAUUGUCAACCAUUUGAAAUUUAAUCCAUUGUCCAACAACAUAUUUUUUCUUUCCUGCGUCAUCGGCACAAUAUUUCUUUUCUAAAUUGUCCCAUAUUUCUAAAUUAGUCAUAUAGUUCAACAAAUGUCCUCUAAUUGUUUUGUUAUCCUUUUUGAAUUUCUUUUUAGCAAUAUCAUCAACCACAACAGUGUUAGAUCCAUCAGUAAAAGGUUCAUUAAACAAAACAUAAUCAACUUCUAAUUGUUCGAAGCAAAUCAAAAUUUUUUGUGACCAACGUUUAAAAUUAUUUCCAUCCAAUGGCUCAAGUUUUGACAAAUUAGAAAAAAUUUUGUUCAAAAAAAUAGUCAUUUUUCAAUAUUAUAUGUAUGAAAAUCUCUUUCAAAUUGUUGCAAAAAUUACGACAAUAUUGAUAUGAAACCAGAAUUAAUAAUAGUAAGAGAAUAGUCACAAAAUACUGUGUCGUGGCAAGUCAUUGCCUUGAAAGCGAUUUCAGCCUGACUCUAGUGCAAAUACUUCUAGCCGGUCGCUUACCAAGGUUCCACUUCUACUUCCAAACAUAUGCACUCGUGGCUGGAAGUUUGGAGUUGCAUAAAUUAUUGCCCAGAAAUUCACAAGGAAUAGAAUACCAAUGAUGAGAAAGCAAUUAAGAGAGAAAGCCAAGAAUAGGCAAAUGGUAUUUCUUUCUAUGGAUGUGUUCAUUCAUCAAGUGAAGACACAAUUAUAUAGGUUUGAAAAUGAACAUUUUUGGUGAAGAAAUAAAUGAGAUUAGUUAUUAUCUCAUUUAAGAAAAGUGUUUCAUUUCAUCUCAUUAAACAAUAUAUGUCUUUUUAUGUUGCAUUUUAAUCUGCAUAAUUAAUUAGAAAUGAAUGCAAUGAAUUCAUUGUCAUUCUUGAAAGGAAAAUCUCAUAGAUCCUUUUUGUGCACAUUUACAUGAGGAAUUCUAUGACAUUAUCACUUGUGAUGAUUAUUACUUUGACAUAGCAUAUAAAUUCAGAGAACACAUUAUAAUACCAUAUGUACCUUAAUAAGGUCACAAACAUCAAUAAAAUUGAAAUGUGUAUAGACAUUACUAGAAAUAAAUUAAAGUUUUUUCCACUACGAAUUAAUAGAAAAUUUGUGUUAUAAAUAUAAUUUUCCCAUUUCAUUUUCACCGAUCUAGCAUGCUCACCAAAAAUACGCAUUUUGGGAAAUAAAUUUUUGUUAGAAUAGUAGGAAACUUUCUAACUUUUUAGUGUGAAAAUACUAAUUUUUUCCCACUUAAUGAAUCAAAACAUCUAUUGAAAUAUCCACUAACCAUUGAAAUUAUAUCUUUUUUUUUUUUUUGCUUUUUCCAAAUAAUUUAAAUUACUACACUAUUUGUUCACUUUUAUUUACUGAUAAACUGUGAAUAGAUGCCGACUUUUAUUUUCAAGUUUAGAAAAUUAAGAGAUAAUUUAUAAUUUAGUUUUUAAUUUACCUUUAUUGUUGAUUGUAAUUAUGUUUAAAAUACUAAAUUCACUGUAUUCAAAAAACAAUAUAAUGAAAUUAUCAUUUGAUUUAUUGCUCUUUAGAAAGUGUGCAAAGUCAAUAUUGGACAAACAAAAAUAGAUGGAGACGAUAUUCUUUAAAUUUGACUUGCAAAAGAAAAAAAACAUUUGAUAUUGUCGUCUUCACCCCAUAUAAGGUAUCUAAUUUUUUAUUUUUUUUUAUAAUUUGAAUAUUCUAUGUUUUGAUUUGUUAAUUUGUGAUUUAGGAGCAAGAGAAUUUGGGCUUUGGGUUGCUAAAAUUGGGUUAGCCAGGAGAAAAAAAGGAUAGGAAGCAAAAUGAAUCAAUUUAAUUAAUUUAUGAGUGAAGUAAGUCAAUUAACUGCAUUUUUUUCAGAUUAAGAUUUUAGAAAUAUUUAAAAAAAUCUUGUGAUAAGUUAGAAUUAUUUUACGUAUAUAAUAAUGAUAUUUAUAAUCGCACAAAACGCGAAUCAUUUCACUGAAUCAAUAGACGGACAAGUCAUGUAAGCAACUCUUGAAUCACAUUCUUCAGCACAAACCAAUCUUCUUACAUACAAACUUACCCUCUUUACCAAAAUAGAAGCAACCCUUGUAGCCCGUGCAAUGUGGUGCAUCCAGUGGGCUAAUUUAUUGUAUCUCCUUAUUUUACAUCUAAUCAUCUAUUUUUCUUUCAAAUGUAAUCAAAUUCAACGACAGUUUCUCACGAAAUGUAUCUGGUAUGUUUUCACGAAAUUGUUACUUGAAAAAAAUCAAUGAAGGUCAUGAAGAAGAGUAAUGUGUCGUGGGUGAGGCGACGAUAUUCCUCAUAGUUAAUUCUUGAAUAAAGGAAGCGUGAGAUAUUGAGAGUAAUGGGGGAUAUACAGAAAAGGACCCAGAUGAGUAGUAGAAAAGUAGUUGAAGAAGAAGAAGAAAAAUACACAUAAAAGGUAAUUAAUGAAAAUCUUUUGCGGUAUAAUUAAAAUUUAAUCAAUGAAAAUGGUAAUUAAUUAAAGACUUUCCUUCAUUAAUGGGCAGAAUUUAGAAAAAAAUGAAAGAAAUGUAUUAGAGUAAAAUUGAUGGGGACCCAUAUAUUGAAAAUAUUGCUAUUGUUGUUGAGGUCAGUAAUUUUUUUAAACUGUUGUUAUGUAUCACAAUUAAGGACUUAUGUUUCUUAUGUCAUGUGUAUUUUCCUUAAAUUUAUUAGUCAAAUACAAAUAAUUUCUCAUCAAAAACACUUUUAAAAGAAGUAUUAUACAAAAUAAACUGAUUUUAAAAACUUGGGCAAACAAGUUAUUAAGUAAUUACUGUUUGAAUUUAUUUUUGUUUGGCUAUAAUGACUUGGGCAAGUUUGUCAGAAGGACAACAUGGAAAUUUUUUUUGUCAAAGUUCCAAACUUGAUGAAUAAUUUGCCAAAAAGACACUUAAUUCCACAUCAUCAUUAAUUUUUUCAACUUAACAACUUCACCCACAAAUUUUAUAAUAAUUCACUUUAACCCAAUACUUCCAACUUAAUAAAUUCAUCAACUAGUUUUAAAUAAUACAUUUCAACUCACUCCAUCAUCCACCAUUAUAUAUAUAUAAAAAUAUUUAGGUUUCCAAAAAUAUUAAAUAAAAAAAAUCCAAAAGCUUAAAAUAGAAAGAGGUUGUUUUCCCUCCAAAAAGCUCUGAUUCCAACCACUUUUCCGGCAUUAUUUUCAGCGAUCAGCUUUAAAUCAGUCCAAAAACAUCAUAAGCUUGUCCAUUGCACCCAUUGUUACCCCAUUUGUUUGGUAUCUUCUCAAACACAUCACUUUCCACCAUUGUUAAAAAGCUUGAAACCAUUCACAUUACUCAAAACCACUUUAGAAAGUACAUUACAGCAGCUCAGGCGACUCCAAGUUCAUUUCUUUAUUCCAUAAACCCAAGGAUUGUAGAUUAGAAGCAAUAUUUGCAAUUUCAAGAUUUUCGUAUGGAUAGCUGCUCAGUCAUCGACCACUGAUCGUCAUUCAUCGACCGUGAAUAUAACCCGAUAUAGACCAUAAGCAUAAUCUACCGUAGACCAAAGCCUAAUUUAACGAUGUCUAUUGAAAAUUUAUUCUGGUUUCUGGUGAUUUCAUGGGAGAAUGGUUGGAGAUUCCUAAAUGCUGAAAAUGGAGAUCUUUUACGAAGGUGACAAUCCCCGUUGAUGUUCGCCGCAAUAGUUCGUACGACGAAUUAGUUGCAAGCGUAAUACAGAGCGGGAAUCUAGAUUGUGCGCUGAGCGACGUGGUGAUUAGUUAUCUAAUGAAUUCGAGGGAAAAGGUGAAUCCUACGAUCAUAAAUAGUGAUGUACGUGUGCUGAUGUAUAUGAUGGAUGUCGAUGCAGAUGGCUUUAGGCCUAUUUUGAGGAUAAAUGUAGCUGAGAGGUCCAUCGAAGGACUGGUAAAUUCAUUAGAACCUCCACCUCUACACCAGGUAGUCGACGAUGAUUUCAGUGAUUACGAGAAUGAUGACAAUCAACCUAUUAAUAUGGAAGAUGAUCAUAUGCAUAUGGAAGAGGUUUCAUCGAACUCGCAAGAUGACGAAGAAAAUCGUGGAACGGGAUCACAACCAGGACAUUCCUUCAACGACGAAGAAAAUUUCCAUCUCGAUCAAAUAUUUGCCGAAAAGAAAGAGCUCAAAAUGCUAUUAGAUGCAGCAGCGGUGAGGUAGUAUUUUGAUUAUUUUUUAGAGAAGAACUGCUCCGAAUUCUUGAAGGCAAAAUAUUUAUCUCAUGGUUGCGGAUGGUUGUUGAGGGCAAUGAAGUAUGAAACCUCGUGCAGAUUUCGCAUAUACAAGUAUGUCGGGUUGCACACGUGCGGUGUUGAACACACCACCCGUAGACAUAAGAGAUUGUCCUCCGAAUUGAUUGCUUCACUAUGCGUAAAUCAUUUUCGGGAUGGUAAGGGUCCAAGCAUUAGCGAAAUACAAAGGGUUGUGUUCAAGGAGUUGCAUUACCACGCAAGCUAUUAGAUGUGUUGGAAAGGAAGUUUAAUUGAGAAGAACAUCAUUUGCGGGACACCGGAGCACGGAUAUGCUUGCUUGCCAGCUUUUUCCCACAUGGUGGAGUUGUUGAAUCCAGGGUCUUCCUACUCUAUCAUGGUAAACUAAAUUAAUGGAGCAUUCGUUUACUACUUCUUAGCAUUCGGAGCUUACAUACGGGGAUAUGCCCACAUGACAAAGGUAACUACCAUCGAUGGCAUACAUUUAUAUGAAAAGUACAGGGGUGUGUUGCUGAGUGCAAUUGCACAGGACACAGAAAAUCAGAUCUUUCCAAUUGCCUUUUGUGUCGUCGAUAAAGAGAACGAUGCUUCUUGAACCUUCUUCUUCCAGAAGUUGAAGUCUAUCAUAGAAGAUAAACCAGAUCUAUGUGUCAUCUCCGACAGGCAUAUCAGCAUUGCUAAUGCCUUCUCUCGUGUUUAUAGUCGUGCACACUGUGGACUUUGUAUGAGGAACCUCGCUAAAAAUCUGUGCGUAAAUCAGCACUGUGGAGAACAUCUUUAUUUGUUCUACGCUGCGGAAAAGGCGUAUACUGUUGAUGGAUUUAGUGAGCAUUUUGCUGAAUUGAAGAAUAAUAGUCCCGAGGCAGCACAUGUCCUUGAACAUGUGCCUGAUUUUGAGAAAUGGUGUAGAGCACACUUCCCGGGCAAUAGGUACGAUGUGAUGACCACAAACAUCGCCAAGUCUCUCAACUUGGUGUUGAUGGAUGAACGGGAGUACCCCGUGUCAUACAUAUUCAAUUCAAUUACUAGAAAAUUUGGUGAAAAGUUUAGGGAGCGGCAUGCCUUUGUCGAUGGUCAAAACAACAUAUUGUGCCUUGUGCGGAAAUGAUUCUAAGGGAUAACAAGAGUGCGAGCUAUUUCUUGUAUGUGACUAAUGCAAAUGGGGGUCUCGACAAAUUUAUGGUGUUUGGCAGCGGCGUUAUUGCCAAGGUCAAUCUAUUAGAGAGGAGUUAUUCUUUUCGGAAAUUUGACUUGGUGAAAAUGCCGUGCGAACAUGCAAUGACAGCUUUGCGAGCAAAGUAUGGCGAUGACGUAGGUUCUGGCAACUCCAUCUACGAGUACUCUUCGCUAAUUUAUAAAGCUGAAACUUACAUCCUCGCGUACUCAAAAGCUAUUAGCGUUGUCCCUCUAGAGGCCGAAUGGACUGUGCCACAGGAAGUGCAAGACAGUAAGAUUUCUCACCCCUACGAUCGCAAACUCGGAAGGAAGAAAGUCAAAUGCACUAAGGGCAUCGGUGAGACAUUCAAUUCCAAAAAGAGGAAUUGGUGUUCGAUAUCCAAGAAAUCUGAGCACAAAAGAACCACAUGUAGAAUGGCCAACAAAUCAUAGACAACCUUUUUUUUUUGCUUCAGUUAUAAAGCUACUAUUUUAGGGGAUAAAUAUUCAUUUCUGUAGAAUUUAACCUUCAGUUGUAAUCGACUUAACGCAUUAACUAUGAUAGACUAUGUAAAUUCUAUGGUAUAUCGUUUCUCCAAUUUAUCAAAUAUUAUGUAUUGGUUAUAUGAUUGCUUAUCAGACAUGUUAUGUUGGUCUUUUUACCGCCUUAACUCUCCAAUCGAUGCAAUGAAUCAUUGUUUCCCAUUCCCAUUUAAUGAAAAGCUGCAGAAAUAUCUGUUCACAAAAAAAUCACUGGUAUACUCAAAUCAAGCAUUUUCUCUUCUGCUUCUUCUUCUUCUUCUUCUUCUUCUUCUUCUUCUUCUUCUUCUUCACCCAAAUAAAAAAAUAUGUCUCCAACAAGGAUAACCCUGCGCCCUGUCAGACCUAUUCCCCCAAGGAACUACGACCUCCUUCUUCUAAGAAAUGAUUUCGAUCGCCUGUUCUAUGGCCUGGGUCAAGACCGCCUCUACCUAGAGCGGAAACUCCGUAGAAUUGCUCGUUUUCUAAGGGCAAUUCUGGAAAGGCUCGGAAUGGAUGGCCCUGACUAUAUCACCCCCCAGCAUCCCCGUGAAAUCUGUUGUUUAGUUUUUUAUUUUCUUUUAUGUUUAUUAGUUUUUAUUUUGUGUUCAUUGCAGAAGAAGUUUUCUUAUAGGAUUGUUUUUAGAAGAAAACUUCUUCUUAUUUUACUUAUUUUGCUUGUUCUGGCCGAUGUGCCAAUGCUUUGAAUGUAAAAAUCCUAUGAUUAUGCAAUGAACAAAGAAUUUCUGUUUUCAAAUUGAAUUUUUCUCUUUUUUGUUAUUGUUAUUUUUUGUCUUAGCAUCUGUAGUGAAUGCAUUUGUAAAAAAAAAAUCACAUAAACAGUUUCUCAUCGAUCACAUAAAGAGUCUAUCCUCGAUCACAUACUUCGUCUAUCAUCGACUCGAUAUAGUAGUGGAUCAUCGAUCAUGUGAAUCGAUGGAGCAGCAGUUAAAUUAAAAUAGAUAAUACUAACAAGUUUUGGGGGCUGGUGAAGUAAAAUAAUUAAAUUAAAAAUAAUUUAAACUGAUAAUAACAUGUUUUGGGCUGGUGGAAUAAAAUAAUUAAAUUAAAAAUAAUUUAAACUGAUAAUAACAUGUUUUGGGUUGUUGGAAUAAAAUAAUUAAAUUAAAAAUAAUUUAAACUGAUAAUAACAGGUUUUGGACAGUUGGAAUAAAAUAAUUAAAUUAAAAAUGAUUUAAACUGGUAAUAACAUGUGUUGGGGCUGAUGGAAUAAAAUAAUAAAAUAAUAAAAUAAAAAAUAAUUUAAAUAGACAAUCUUGAACUAUUGGUCAUUUAAAUUAAAAAUUAUAUAAACAGUGAAAGUUAAUAAACCGUCGCAGAUCAUGACCAACGUCAUCCAUCAACUAGAUACUAAAAUAUACCAUAGGCUGGUAUGGUCUAUCGUAGACCUACACCUGUACGAGUGCAUCGACAGAUCUCUUAAUUAGGCGUAGACCACUGUGAUCUACGUAUACCGAUAUAGACCAACAAUUGAAUGUUGUUUAAAAGAGAAUAAAUAAAUUAAAAAUAAAUGUAGGGUGGGUUUCUAUACAUGUGAGGGAGCGUAAACAAGUCACACAAUCAUAUUAGAGGUUAUACAAAUUAGGGGUGGUGUACUAAGGAGUGUGUGGAUGGGUAGUGGUUGAAUGUUCAAUAGCCUAAGGGUAAUAUUUUUCAAAGCACAAGUAUGUUUUGUGGAUGUAUUUUGUAUUUGAUGACUACACAUUCCACAUACUCCUUGAAUGACCAUCCCCAAAUCAAAAGAUUAAGUGGAAUGGAUAGUGGUUUGACAAAAUAUAUCCACAAAACAUAUUUAUGCUUUGAGAAACAUUACUCUUAGGAGACUGAACAUUCAACCACUACCCAUCCACACACUCCUUAAUACACUACCCUUAAUUUGUACAACCUCUAAUAUGAUUGUGUGACUUAUUUACACUCCCUCACAUGUGUAGAAACCCACCCUACAUUUCUUUUUAAUCUAUUUAUUCUCUUUUAAACAACAUCCAAGUGUUGGUCUAUAUUAGUCUACGUAGAUCACAACGGUCUACGCUUAAUUAAGAUAUCCAUCGAUGCACUCAUACAAUUGUAGGUCUACGAUAGACCAUACCAGUCUACGGUAUAUUUUAGUAUCUAGUUGAUGGAUGACGUUGGUCAUGAUUUACGACGGUCUAUUAACUUUCACCCCCAGUUCCAAAAAAUAAAAUUAAUGUUCCAACGGUAACAAAUGACUAAUUUUGCACUUAACACAUCUUUUUUUACUUCAUAUAUAAAGUCGUCACUCCCUCAUUAUUUUAUUUCAUUAACUUUGUUUUUAUUUAAAACUUCUACAAUGUCUCAAGCAUCUCAAACAUCCAAUUCUAAAAAGACUCUAAUUUGUCAUUGUGGGAAUACGGUUGUCUUGAGGAUGUCACGCACGGACUCGAAUCCAGGUCGUAAAUUUUAUAACUAUGCAAUUGCGAAGGUGAGUCGUGUAUGUUAUUUUCAAAAUGUUAAGUUAAUAGUUAUGUAAUUAUAAUUUAUUUUCUAGGAUAAUGGCGCAUGCUCAUUUUUUAAAUGGCUUGAUGAGCUAUCACCUCCAAGCAGUCCAUCAACGUUGAGUCCGGGACGUGACACAUCAAAUUUUUAUGGAUCCGCAAAAUUUAAUCUACUACAAAGGCUUCAAGAAUGCGAAGAAAAUAGAGAUUUUCUUAUGAAUUUGUUCAAAGAAGCCGAAGGAUAAAGGGAUCACCUUAAAGUAUUGCUACAUGACACCCAAAUACAGAAGGAUCAACUAAAAUAAAAAUUGAUUUUGGCCGAAGAAAGAGAGAAUGGCCUAAAAAUGAUGUUGUGUUCUAUAAUGCUAGUAUUCGUUCUUUGAAAAAGUGUAACAUGGAUGUAGUGAUAUUGAAUAAAUAAUAAUACUUCUAUUUUUCUACAAUGUUAACACUGUUUUUGAUAGAAUCAUAGUCGAUCAAUCAACACAUCAACUUAAAAUGGAGCAGCAUGGUAAUGAUAGACUAUGAAAGAAGUAUACGAAAGAUUAGCUAAACAUUCUAUGAAAUAAAAGAGAGUUUCAAAUAUCCUACCAAACAGAUCAUUCAACACAUUAAAAAUAAAAUAAUUCAAAUAUAUUUUUCAAAAAAUUUCCUCCUCAUCAGCAUAGGUGUUGUUGAUUCAUCAACGAUAUCCAUGAACCCAUCUUAUUUUUCUUCCUCACCUUCUUUUUUCCUUCACCUUCAACAGCUUCUUCUUUUUGACCUUUCUUUUCUUCCUCAGCUUCUUUUUUUUUUCUUCCCCUUUAGCAGCUUCUUCUUCUUUUUCACCAGCUGCAGCUUUAUUAGCUUCUUCUUUGUUAGCUUGUUCUUCUUCUUCUUCUUCUUCUUCAUCAGCUGCUGCUCCUAUUUUUUCAGCUUCUUCUUUUUCCUUAGCUUCUUUAACUACAUCUCCUCCCUUUUCCUUGCCUUCUUCUUCAACUGCUGCUAUUUUUUUUCAACUUUUUCUUCUUCAGCUGCAGCUGCUUCUUUUACACUUUCUUCUUGGAUCUUGUCUUCUUUCAUUUAUUCUUCUUCAUUAUUCUUUUCAUCUUUUUUUUCUCUUCCGCCACAACAGAGGCUAACUCAUCCAUUUUGCUCCUUUUUUCUUCUUCUUCAUAUCUCUCCGAUUCACGAAGGUCCACAUUUACUGUAUCAUCAUAUUACAAAGUGUUACUAAUAUUUAAACCUGAAAAUUCAUUAACAACAUCAAUUAUUGAAUGAAGUUACCUCGCUCGUAUUGUCGCUUAUCCUGUUUUUUUUUCUUUAGUCUUUUCUCUCUGAUAUAGGCAGCAAUAUCCAACACUACUUCCUCGAGUGCAGCAAUAUGCUUAUAAAGAUCCUCAGGGGAUGAGGUGACCGCUGCAUCUUUGGAGGUGCUUAGAGUAUCAUCAUCACCAACGUGUACUUCAAUGGGGUUACCACCCAAACUCCCAUCAUCAUCACUGUCCUCAUUUGAAAUAAGGACAGUCACCCCUUCUAACUCUUUCUUUAAUCUACCGAGGACAUUAUUCUUCACCUCAUCCGUAUAUGGCUCAAAGGUAAUCAUGUAAUCCAUCUUCGUCUCAGGAACAGUAGGGAUGAUGUACGGGUGCACGUUCUACGAAAUAUCAAUUAACAAUUAUAUAAUAUUCGAUGCAACAGUAGUAUUAUUAUUGCAUAAUAAAAAAUAAGUUCAUACCUCGGUAACUUUUCCUUUGUACUUGAAUGGAUCACCUUCAAUUAUCUAGUCAAUUUUGGUAGUGUGCCAUCUGAGGAUGCGGGGAAUGGAAAAGGGCUCACCCAAUGAUUUUUCAGUAAAUUUUCCAAGAUGAGAAAAGGCCUCGUACAUCUAAACCUGUAAUCAUUACAACAGAGAAAAAAGAACUUAGAGUCUAUGACAGAGUAUAAAUAAAACAAGAAUCUAUGAUAAACUAACUAAAGGAUUUAUGGUAGAUACGAUGAAUGCUCAGGGAAAUCCGAAUGGAGCAUAGGAUGCCUUCUGCUUCUCAUGAAAUACUUCCAUCUGCUUCUUCAGGUCACUUUUCUUCUUCAGAUAGUCUAGGGUCAGUUGAAAUGUCUCUUUCCCCCACGAAUAAUUCUCGAAGAAACUCAAAAAAUUAACUAUUCAAAUCAGUUUUGUGUUGACAACCUUCGUCGAAUCUUUUGGAAGCAACAUGGUGUGCAAGAACCACAGUAAACAACACUUAAACUUGUGGUCCUCGUUCAGCUUAUUCCCUAUGAUCAAGUGUAACAAGUUGACCGUAAUAUUUUUGUUUUUCAUCACCUUAAAGCAAAAAUGCUCCCCCUUGUCUAACACCUUCUUCAUUUUUGAUUCACUAGGGUAUGAUGAGUAGUUCAGCCCCAUGAGCAAACAAAAUUCUUUCAAGCCAAAACAGACAGGCUUGUUGUUAACGCAGAACCAUAUCUCAUGAUGCAUCUUAUCCCUCUUGACACGUUGCAACAGCAAAUAAUGGACCAACUGCCCAUUGAACUUGAGAUAUUCUGACAGGUUUCUCAGAUGUCCGAAACAGGACCGCUUGAAUCUUUUCUUCAACUCCUAGUCGACAAGAACUUGCUUAAAUUCUCGAUAAGCAGCCAUUCUUGAUCUGACCAAUAUCUUCGCCGAGAAAGAUCCGACCUCGUCCAUUAUCGUUCGAAGAUCAUACCAUUCCACGGAAAUGAACCUUGACAAACUUGGCACGGAAAAAGGAUCAUUGUCUUCUCCCACUUCCCUUACUCUCUUCACUGUCACCACUAGCACUGCGCUCGGGAAGGACAUCUUCACUAGACUCGGCGUAGUCUCUUAUCUCUUUUAAAUUUGGAUCAGAUUCGGACACUUCCUCAUUAAUUUUAUUUCUUUUUGAGACAUUUUUUGCUGCCUCGGCUUUUGUUUUUCUACUACUACCGGCUUUGCCUUUAGGAUAGAUGGUUUUUUUUUUACCCAUUUUCAAUAUAAUCUACACCUGCAGAACAAAUCUUCCAUUUUCAGUUCAUAUACCACAAGUCUAUCAAUAGAAAUAAGUCAAUGCUCAAAUGAAUCCCCCCCCAAAAAAAAUAAAAAAAAAUAAAUAAAUAAAUACUUCACCAAAAUCCAACAUGAAGUAUCAAAAUCAAACUAGUGCACCUAAUCAAACUAAUUAGCUAUUAAUCUUUCAAUUUUUACUAUUUCAGCCAUCAUAUUUUAAAAGAAUUUCAUAUGUCUAAAAAUUUAUUUCAAUCUAGGGUAUUCUGAUUUCAUAGACUACGGGUCGAUUUCAUAGACCACUGGUCUACGGAUAGAAACAGGCGACUGUUGGAAUCAAACUGCCAAAAUAACUCUUCAAAUAAUGAUUAUCUCACCAUUCCACCAUCAAACAGUUCACUCCAAACAUCAAUAACUGUGAACCAAAAUCCCACAUGCAAUAUCCAAACACGACAAUUGAUAAAAAUCAAACCACUGCACCUAAUCGAAUUAAUUAGCUAUUAAUAUUUCAAUUUCCACUAUUUAGGCAACCAUUUUUUAAAAGAAUUUCAUACGUCUAAAAAUUUAUUUCAAUCUAGGGCAUUCUAAUUUCAUAGACCACAGGUCGAUUUCAUAGACCACGGGUCUAUGGACAGAAACAACUUACUGUUCGAAUCAAACUACCAAAAUAACUCUUCAAAUAACGAUUAUUCCACCAUUCAACACUUCUUUGCUAAAAAAAGAAACUAAACCAAAACUCCUUAAUCAACCAAAUUCGAAAGAAAAAAAAUUCCUACAUCACUGCGAAUCGAUUAGCAAAGAAACCUGUCUAAAUGGAUCUACAAAUGAUCGAAACAUGAUUUUAACUAACCUUAUGAAGCAAAAAUGACCUCUUAGCAGCUGCAGAAGAAGGAAAAAUGAAAAUGGUGUUUGGGGAGAACUGUUCUUCAAGUUGGAGUUGGAGAAAAGUUAAUAGGAGAGAGAAGAUUUUUUUUUUUUGAUAUUGGAAGAAGUUGAUGUGUGUUAGUGUAUUAUGUUAAAUAUGUAGAUGGGUGUUAGUGUAUUAUGUUAAAUUUGUAAAGUUAGAAAAAUGAUAUAAUGGUCCCUUGGCCCACAUGUGGGCCAACUUUUUUUACACUUUUUAUACCCUAACCCUAAAAAAUAAUUCAAAAAGAAAUUUAGUGUCCCUUUGGCUAAAUAAUUUUGAGAAUGGUAGCUUUUGCCAAUUUUUUCUUAAUGACUUUGUACGUGAAUUACCUAAUCCUUCAACUUGAGUUUAUUGAUUAAAGAAAAUAAGUAGGUUUGGUAAAGAGUUUGUUGUUAUUGGAUGAUCAUUUAAUUAAUUAACUCGGUAACAUUGAGAUCUACUUAUAACGUAUUAAGCUUAAUAAUAGAGAUAUGUAGAUAUAUAUGGACGGCUGACCACGUACGAUAUAAAUAAUAUACUUUCACCGUUUCAUUUUAUGCAGCAUCCUUUCCUUUUUAGUUCGUCUAAAAAAUGCUAUCAUCUUACAUUAUACCCAUAAUGAAAUAAAUUUACAGCCACACAAAUAUUUAAUGCUUGUUUUAGUUCACAAGUUUCAAGAUUUUUUUUUCUUAAAACCGUGCUAAGUCAAAGAUGCUACGUAAAAUGGGACGGCAUGAGUACCAUUCAUGUUUAAAACAUGUUAGCAAGGAAUAUGAGAGUGAUCACUCUAUUAUAAAUAGAAGGCUUCAUUGGUGAAGGAGUCAGAACUCACAACUCACAAGCAAAGCAAUACACAAAUCAGUAGUUAGCAUAAACAUGACAAAGUGCUUAUUUUUCUUGUGUUUCUGUUUGCUUCCCUUUGUGGUAUUUUCAUCAACUUUCACUAGCCAAAAUCCCAUUGAACUACCCACUGCUGCUACUUUUUUUGAGUUAGUACUAAACCGGAGCGGUGAACCAGUACUAGACCGGAGCGGUGAACCAGUUGAUGCUGGUUCAAGUUAUCGUAUGGUUUCCACUCUAAGGGGUGCUGGUGAUGUGUACCUAGGUGCCUUAGUCCCCAAAUUCAAUUGCGCCUUGUAAAGAUGGCGUAUUUCGUCACAACUCUGGUCUACCUAGAGGUACACCCGUCAAAUUCAUUAAGUCUGAUCUUACCAGAGGUAUCAAUGAAUACGAAAACAUCAAUAUCCAAUUCGACAUUGCAACUGUGAAACUAUGUGUUAGCUAUACAGUUUGGAGGGAAAAAUUGGCGAGACUACCCACUUCCAAAACUAUUUUGUCAUUUACCCACUAAAAUUAUUUUUGAUUUAAUUUUUAGGGUUAGAAUAUAAAAACUUGAAAAAAGCUUAAAAGUGGGGCCCACAGGUGGAUCAAGGGACAAUUUCAUCAUUUUUAGAACUUUGCAAAUUUAAUAUACUACACUAACACCCUACACUUAUUCCAAUAUCGGAAAAAAAAAACUCUCUCUCUCCUCUUCAAUUCUCUCAACUCCCGCUUAAGAAACCUUCAUCCCAAAAUUGCCAUUUUCAUUUCUUCUUCUUCUCCAGCAGAUAAGGGGUCGUUAUUGCAUCGUAAGGUUAGUUAAAAUCAAGUUGCGAUCAUUUCUAGAUCCAUUUAAACGGGUUUCUUUGCUAAUCGAUUCGUAGUGAUGUAGGAAAUUUAAAUUUUUUUCGAAUUUGGUUGAUUAAGGAGUUUUGGUUUAGUUCCGGUUUUGUUUAGCAAAAAAGUGUUGAAUAGUGGGAUAAUCGUUAUUUGAAGAGUUAUUUUGGCAUUUUGAUUCGAACAGCGAUCUGUUUCUGUUCGUAGACCCAUGGUCUAUGAAAUCGACCCGUAGUCUAUGAAAUUAGAAUGCCUUAGAUUGAAAUCAAUUUUUAGGCAUAUGAAAUUCUUUUAAAACAUGGUUGCUGAAAUAGUAGAAAUUGAAAGAUUAAUAGCUAAUUAGUUUGAUUAGGUGCACUAGUAUGAUUUUUAGAAAUUGUUGUGUUUUGAUACUGCAUGAUGGAUUUUGGUUCAGUUAUUGAAGUGUGUAGUGAACUGUUUGAUGGUGGAAGAGUUAUUUUGGCAUUUUGAUUCGAACAGUGACCUGUUUCUGUCCGUAGAUCCGUGGUCUAUGAAAUGAGAAUGCCCUAGAUUGAAAUCAAUUUUUUGACGUAUGAAAUUCAUUUAAAAUAUGAUGGCUGAAAUAGUGAAAAUUAAAAGAUUAAUAGCUAAUUAAUUUGAUUAGGUGCACUAGUUUGAUUUUGAUAUUGCAUAUUGGAUUUUGGUGGGGUAUUUCUUAAUUUUUUUGAGGGGAGGCGGGGGUUUCAUUUGAGCAUUGAGUUAUUUCUGUUGAUAGACUUGUGGUCUAUGAACUGAAAAUGGGAUAUUUAUUCUGCAGGUGUAGAUUGUGUUGAAAAUGGGUAAAAAAAUUACAUCCUUUCUAAACGCAAAGCCAGUACCAUUUCCGAUACUGCUGGUAGCAAUAGAAAAAGAAAAGUUGAGGCAGUUGGAAAUGUCUUAAAAAGAAAGAAAAAUAAAGAGUCGGUGUCCGAAUCAGAUUCGGAAUUAAAGGAGAUAAGCGACUACGUCGAUUCCAGUGAAGACGUUGUCAAGCACAAUGCUAGUGGUGACAGUGAAGAGAGCGAAGAUAGUGGAAGAAACAAUGUUGAUGGGGAUAAUGAUCCCUUGUCCAUGCCAUCUCUUUCAAGAUUCAUUUCCGUUGAGUGGUAUGACCUUCGAACGAUAAUGGACGAGGUCGGAUCUUUCCCGGAAAAGAUAUUGGUCAGAUCAAGAAUGACUGCUUAUCGAGAUUUCUAGUAAGUUUUUGUCGACCAAGAGUUGAAGAAAAGAUUCAAGCGGUCCUGUUUUGGACACCUGAGAAACCUGCCAGAACAUCUCAAGUUCAAUGGGCAGUUGGUCCAUUAGUUGUUAUUGCGACGCGUCAAGAACGAUAAGAUGCAUCACGAGAUGUGGUUCCGCGUUAACAACAAGCCUACAUGUUUUGGCUUGAAAGAUUUUUGUUUGAUCACUGGUUUGAACUGCUCAUCAUACCCCAGUGAAUAAAAAAUAAAGAGGGCGUUAGCAAAAGGGGAGAAUUUUUUCUUUAAGGUGACGAAAAACAAAAAUAUUAUGGCGGCCAACUUGCUACACCUGAUUAGAGGGAAUAAGCUGAACGAGGACCAAAAGUGUAAGUGUUGUUUACUAUGGUUCUUGCACACCAUGUUUCUUGCAAAAGAUUCGACGAAGGUUGUGGACACGAAACAGAUUCGAAUGGUCGAUUCUUUGAGUUUCUUCGAGAAUAAUCCAUGGGGGAAAGAGACAUUCAACUGACCCUGCACUAUCUAGAGAAGAAAAAUGAACUGAAGAAGCAGAGGUAAGUAUUUGAUAAGAAACAGAAGGCAUCCUAUGUUCUAUUCGGAUUUUCCUGGGCAUUCAUGGUAUCUACCAUAAACCCUUUAGUGAGUUUAUCGUAGAUUCUUGUUUUAUUUAUACUAUGUCAUAGACUCUGAGUUUUUUUCACUGAUGUACUGCUUAGAGGUUUGGAUCUACGAGGCCUUUCCUCAUCUUGGAAAAUUUGCUAGAAAAUCAACGAAUGAGCCCUUUCCCAUUCCCCGCAUCUUUAGAUGGCACACUACAAAAAGUGACCAGAUAAUCGAAGGCGACCCAUUCAAGUACAAAGAAAAAAUUACCGAGGUAUGAACUUAUUUUUUAUUAUGCAAUAAUAAUACUACUGUUAUAUCGAAUGUUAUGUAAUUGUUAAUUGAUAUUUUGUAGAACGUGCACCCGUACAUCAUCCCUACUCUUCGUGAGACGAAGAUGCAUUACAUAAUUUCCUUUGAGCCAUAUACAGAUGAGGUGAAGAAUCAUCCUCGAUGGCUUAAAGAAAGAGUUAGAAGGGGUGACUGUACUUAUUUCAAAUGAGGACAGUGAUGAUGAUGGGGAUUUGGACGAUAACCCCAUUGAAGUAUGAGUUGGUGAUGAUGAUACUCCGAGCACCUCCAAAGAUGCAGCGAGCACCUCAUUCCCCGAGGAUCUUCAUAAGCGUGUUGCUGAACUCGAGGAAGCGAUCUUGGAUAUUGCUGCCUAUAUUAGAGAGAAAAGACUGAAGAAAAAGGAACAAGAUGAGUAACAACACGAGCAAGGUAACUUCAUUCAAUCAAUAAUUGAUGUUGUUAAUGAAUUUUCAGCUUUAAAUAUAAACAACUCUUUGUAAUAUGAUGAUACAAUGAAUGUGGACCUUCGUGAAUUGGAGAGGAAUAAAAAAGGAGAAAAAAGGAGCAAAAUGGAUGAGUUGGCCUUUGCUGUGGUGUGAGAGAAAAAAAAAGAAGAAAAGAAAGAUGAAAAAGAAGAUAUGUGCUAAGAAAAAAGUCCAAAAGAAGCAGCUGCAUCAGAAGCAGAAGAAGAAGCUGAAAAAGAAGCAGCGGUAGAUGUUGAUAAAAAGGGAGAAGAAGGUGAAGAAGUACCAGCUGAAGAAAGUCCAAAGAAGCAGUUGCAGAAGCAGAAGAAGAACCUAAAAAAGAAACAGUAGUAGAUGUUGAGAAAAAAGGAGAAGAAGCACCAGCUGAAGAGGUACCAGCUGCUGCAGAUGAUGAAAUAGACGGAGAAGAAGGCGAGCAUGAAGAAGCAACCGAAGCUGCUGAGAAAAAAGGAGCUGAAGCUGACCAAAAAGAUUUGGUCAUGGAUAUCGUAGGUGAAAUCAAUAGUUACAUUUGUGUUGAUGAUGAAGACAGGUAAAAAUACAUUUGAAUGCUAAUAUUGUUAAUGUGUUGUUGAAUGAUCGGUAGUUAGGAUCGGACAAAUAUUUUUUUAUUAGAAACAUUAUUUUAUUUUAUGGUAGUGGUUAUGAUUUGCACUGAAUAUGUCUCUAUCAAACUGAUUAGUGGCAUUGCCAUUUGAAUAUGCAGGGUGUUUUCAUAGUUGGUGCAGUGUAUGGUUGAUAUCAUAGAAUGCAUACAUAAUCUUUCGUAUAUUGCUUGCAUGGUCUAUCAUUACCAUGCUGGUCGGUUUUAAGUCGACGUGUUGUUUGAUCGACAUGAUUCUAUCAAAAAUAGUUUAACAUUAUAGAAAAAUAGAAAUAUUAUUAUUUAUUCAAUAUCACUACAUCCAUGUUACACCUUUCCAAAGAACGAAUACUAGCAUUAUAGCACAUAACAUCAUUUUUAGGCCAUUCUCCCUUUCUUCGGUCAAAAUUAAUUUUUGUUUUAGUUGAUCCCUCUCUAUUUUGGUGUCAUGUAGCAACACUUUAAAGUGAUCCCUCUGUUCUUCGGAUUCUUUGAACAAAUUCAUGAGAAAAUCUUUAUUUUCUUCGCAUUGUUGGAGUCUUUGUAGUAGAUUAAAUUUUGCCAAGCCUUGAAAAUUUGAUGUCUCGGGUCCCGGACUCAACGUUGAUGGACUGGUUGGAGGUGAUAUCUCAUCAAGCCAUUUUAAAAAUGAGCAUGCGCCAUUAUCCUAGAAAAAAUAAUAAUUACAUAAUACUAACUUAACUUCAUAAAAAGACACACACCGCUUACCUUAGCAAUUGCACAAUUAUAAAAUUUGCGACCUGGAUUUGAGUCCGUGCGUGAUGUCCUCAAGGCAGCCGCAUUCCCACAAUGAAAAAUUAGAGUAUUUUUAGAAUUGGAUGUUUGAGAGGCUUGACACAUUGUAGAAUUUUUAAAAACAAAACAAAGCGAAUGAAAUAAAAUAAUGAGGGAUGACCGACCUUAUAUAUGAAGUAAAAAUAAAGUGUUGACACUGAUGGAUUAUAAAGGUAGCCGUUUAUUACCGUUGGAGCAGUAAUUUUAUUUUUAGAACUGGUGGUGACACUUAAUAGACCGUCGUAGAUCAUGACUUAUGUCAGCCAUUGAUUAGACUGGUCAACCGUAGACUUACACCUUUAGAUAUGCAUCGAUUAAUAUCCUAAGUAUGCGUAGACCACAUUGAUCGAUGUGCACUGCCAUAGACCGUCACUUGGAUGUAGUUAAAAAUAUAUAAAUAAAUUUAAAAUAAAUAUAGUGUUGAUUUCUACACAUGUGAGUGAGUGUAAACAAGACAAACAAUCAUAUUAGAGCUUGUACAAUGUGAAUUAAGGAGUGUGUGGAUUGGUAGUGGUUGAAUGUUCAAUAUGCUAAGAGUAGUGUUUGUCAAAGCACAAGUAUGUAUUAAGGAUAUAUAUUGUAUUGAUUGUACAAUGUGAAUUAAGGAGUGUGUGGAUUGGUAGUGGUUGAAUGUUCAAUAUGCUAAGAGUAGUGUUUGUCAAAGCACAAGUAUGUAUUAAGGAUAUAUAUUGUAUUGAGGAGGAGGAUUGUUCAACCACUAUUCAUUUCACACACUAUUUUGAUUUAGUGGUGGUGAUGGAAGGAGUAUGUGGAAUGUGUAGUCAUCAAAUACAAUAUAUAUCCUUAAUACAUACUUGUGCUUUGAGAAAUAUUACUCUUAGCACAUUGAACAUUCAAUCACUACCCAUCCACACACUCCUUAAUUCACUUUGUACAAGCUCUAAUAUGAUUGUGUGUCUUGUUUACACUCACUCACAUGUGUAGAAAUCAACACUACAUUUAUUUUUAAUUUAUUUAUUUAUUUUUUUAACUACAUACAAGUGAUAGUCUAUGGCAGUGCACAUUGAUCAACGUGGUCUACGCAUACUUAGGAUAUCAAACGAUGCAUAUCUAAAGGUGUAAGUCUAUGGUCGACCAGUCUAAUCGAUGACUGACAUAAGACAUGAUCUACUAUGAUCUAUUAAGUGUCACCACCAGUCUAUAGAACAGACUAAUCGAUGGACCCUCAAGAUUAUCUAUUUAUUUUAAUUAUUUUAUUCCACCGGCCCUAAAAUAUGUUAUUAUCUGUUUAAAUCAUUUUUAAUUUAAUUAUUUUGUUCCACCAGUCCCAAAAUAUGUAAUUGUCUGUUUAAAUCAUUUUUAUUUUAAUUAUUCUGUUCCAUCAGUCCCAAAAUAUGUUAUUGUCUGUUUAAAUCACUUUUAAUUUAAUUAUUUUGUUCCACCAGUCCCAAAAUAUGUUAUUUUCUGUUUAAAUCUUUUUUAAUUUAAUUAUUUAGUUCCACCUGUCCCAAAAUAUGUUAUUGUUCGUUUUAAUUUAACCAGUGACGCAUCGACUCACAUUAUCUACGAUCGACUACCAUACAAAGUCGAUGAAUGACGAAGUAUAUGAUUCAUGAUAGACUAUAUAUCACUUUUUACAGAAACUUGAAAUUAAUAAAGUCAAACUACAGUACUAUUAAUUGAACGAGACAUACAUAUUUGAAAUUCAUUUUUGUACAGAAGAAUAACCGCCACAAUAAAGAAAAAUGAAUGAUAACAAAUGUGGUAAACAUAAUGUUCAAACUGAAAUUGUUCAUUAAAGUGAACUGAAACUUACAUUAAACUUGUUCAUUGCAUUACUUGAUAAAAUUUACAGCAAAAGGGGGAAAAUAGAAGAAGCUUUCUUCUAACAAAGUCCUACUGAGAAAGUUUCUUUAGCAAUGAACAAACCAACAAAAACUUAACAACAUAAACAAAAAAAAUAGUAAACUAAAUUAUGGGGAUGAUGGGGGGUGAUGUAGUCGUUGCCGUCCAUUUCAAGACGCUCCAGAAUUGCUCGGAGGAAAUGAGCAAUUCGUCGGAGCUCAUGCUCCAAGUAACGACGGUCUUCUCCCAGGACGUAGAAUGGCCGGUCAAAAUUAUUUCGAAGUAGAAGCAAAUCGUAGUGACGAGGGGGAAUAGGUCUGAUUGGGCGAAGGGCAAUUCUAUGACUAGGCAUGAUUUCUAAUGUUUCGGAGAAGAAGAAAAGGGUUUCUAAUGUUUUGGGUUUAGGGACAAGUGAAGGGCUACGUAGAAAUAGGGCCUAUACUUAUAGACCUAUAGAUGGCGUCCUUUUAUAUAUCCAACCAAUGGUCAGUCGACACGUAUAGGAAUAGAAAACGUUUGCUUUGUGUAUACUAGUGGUUUUUCUUGAGAACAGACGUGUUUGCAGCUUUUAAUUAAUUAGGAACAGGAAAUAAUGAUUCAAUGUAUCUAUUAGACAGAUAUGGUGGUAUAAAUACCUACAUAGCGUGUUUGAUGAUUAAUCAUAUAACAAAUAUAUAUUAUUUAAUAGACCGAGUUAAAGAUAUACCAUAGAAUGUAUGUAGUCUAUUGUUGAAAAAGCUUUAAGUCGAUAACAACUGAACGUUAAAUUCUACUGAAAUGCAUAUUUAUACCCCAAAACAGUAGCUUUACAACUGAAGCAAAAUAAAACCUAUCUAUGAUUUGUUGGCCAUGCUACAUGUGGUUCUUUUGUGCCCAGAUUUCUUGCAUAUUGAAUACUUAUUUCUCCUUUUGUACUUGAACGUCUCACUGACGCCUGUCACAUCCCUUUUUCCACUCAAAGGAUCGAUUCGAAGGCUUUUUCCAAUCAAAGUGACGAUUUUGAAUAGGGAUUAGUUUAUUAACAGAGUCGCCACUUAGAAUUGAGUUAUGGUGUUUCAAGUCACCUUUUUGAAUCCCUAAUCAAAAGAAAAUGACUAUUUGUUGGUCUGCGAAAAUAGAAGACUGGGUAAGGAACUAUGUUGACCGAGGGGAAGGUGUGAGGCACCCCUCAAGUCAUGUGGUUCUAGCAUGGUCUCUUUUAUUGACUUAUCUUGACUUAAACUAUUUUGGAUAAAUUGUGUUAAGGCCUAUAUUUGCUCAUUUUAAUAUAUAUUAAAACUAUUUAAAACUCUUGUAUUAAAUUUGUGAAAAAUUAAGUUUAGAAAAAUAUUUACCAAAGUGCAUUUUUGCAUCCUUGAAUUUUAAAAUAUCUCGAAAAGAUGCGUACGCCGUAUUCUUUAUUAAGACGAAUAUUAAAUAUCUAAAAUUUGUCUAGCGUUAAAAAACAUUCGUUCUUUAAUUAUAAACUCAUAACAAUUUUUAUCUAUUAUAAAAGUUAUUCAACUUUAACAAUAAGAUUAAGCGAAAUCCAUUUAAAAAAAUAAAUAAUUUAUUAAAUAAUUAAUAAACUUUAUUAAUAACAUUUAAUAAAAAUAAUAAUAAAAUAUAGUAAAAAUAAAAAUAAAUAAAAUAAAUAAAUAAAUAAAUAAAUAGAUCAAUUAUCUAUAUUAUGCUAAUUUAUUAUGAUUCUUAUAUUUAUUUUCUUUAAAAUAAUUGCAAAUCCAAAAAUCACUUAAAAAAAUAAUUUUUCUUUAAUAUAUUUAUAUAUAUAAAAAAAUUGAUUUUUAAACAAACAAAAGAUUGAACAGUUGUUAAAUAUCAUACAAAGUAAACAACAGUAAACUAAAAAAGAAAAAAAAACGACAACUGAUCUGAUUUUCUUUGGAAUCUGGCAUUUAUGAUGACUGUGAGUAUCACCGACUGGAGAGGGAGGGAAGGAAUAUCAUUUUAUUUUUAGUUGAUGUCAGCGCCGGUGAUGAUGUUUUUUCAGCGGAAUUAGUCGAAAAAGAUCGGUUUUGCGAUUUUUCGACGAGAUUUGGUCGGAUCUAGGAGGAGAUCGGCGGAUCUGGUUCGUGGUCGCCGGUUUCGGUUCUAGUGAAAGGUUCCAGCGAGGGGCGAUUCUGGGCGAUUGAUUAGUUUUUCGGUGACAAGAAAAUAAGUCCGGUGGUUUUUCGCCAUUUUCCGAUGAAGAUGGUCAUUGGAAUAGCGAUGGGGUAGACUGGUUGGAUGCGUUUUGCCGGCCAAUGAUGGUUGGCAAUGGCUGGACAGUUGAUUUUCAAUGAAAUUCAACUGGCGACGGUGAUGGAAAAAAAUGGGGACGGAAAGUGGAAAAAUUCUUUAGGUGUGUACCGCGUUGGUGGUUGCCGGCGGCGUUUUUUCCGUUAAUGGUGUUGACAAUGGUAGUUGGUGUAUUCCGGUAAUAUGUCACCAAAAAAAUUAUUCCACCAUACAUUUUCUCUCCCCCACUGAUAUACUUUUAUUCUACUAUUUUUUACUUAAUUUUUACACUCUGUUGUGUGUGUACAGCGACUGCUUGUGAGUAUGAAUAGCUCUACAUAUGAAUUAUAACAGUAUAGAAUCUGAUGGUCUGAUGAUUUUUUUUCUACCUCUGUUUGAAUAGUGUAAAUAUCCUUAAAUAGAGGGAUUUGAAAAAAGGGGGGAACAAUUAUCUUUUCAAAGGGGAGUAGUUUUAACAACAGAUAAGGGGAGAGUUAUUUAAAAUUUAAAAUUUUUAUUUUUUAUUUAUUUUAAUAAAAUAUAAUAUUAAUAAUAAAUCAAUGAAUAAAUAAUAUAAUAAAAGUAAUAAUUAAUUAAUUUUAUAGUUAACAGAAGCAUAAUAAUAAUUUAUAAAUCGACAUAAUAAAUAUAAUAAAAUAAUAUUAAAACUAUUAAUUUAUUUAUUAAAAUUUAUAAAAGAAAACAUAUAUUUUUAAUUUUUAUAUUAUUUUUUAAAAUUAGAAUAAAAAUAACAUAUGAUUAAAUAUAAAUAUAAAUAUUUAAUAUUGAUAGACAAGUUAAAAUUUAGGGAUUGUCAAAAAUCACGUAUCUACAUUUUUGCCCCUCUUUGUGUGAAAUCUCGAAGAGUUUUCAUACAAAGAAGUAGACGAGAUAUUUGACCCUUCAAUUAUUUAGAAGGUAAGAAUAAAAGGAAAAAUGUGACCGAGUCCUGGUUUUUGGACAUCCUACCUAUCCCGGGUUAUAAGGGAUUCAGGUCACGCGUAGUUCAAAAGUAAUCUGGUGAGAGAAAAAGUUAAAGCCGAGUGAGAUUCUGUCGAGUUUUCGAUUAACGACUUCUGCUUUUACAUUCAACUGACUAAAUAAAAAUCAAAAAAUGAAAAAUACAAGUAAAAAUUACAAUCUCUAGAAUCUUGAUUCAAGCCUUCGCGACUUGAAUUUGAAAAUUUGCCCUAUUCUUCAGGCGGGCACCUGGACUUGCAACUUCUUCACCUUGUUCUUCAGGCGAGCUCCUGCAAUUACUUUUUUUUUCACUUUCACCCUGUUCUUCAGGGGGGCUCCUGGACUUACAAUUUCUUCACCUUGUUCUUCAGGCGGGCUCUUGGACUUUCUUUUUCUUCACCUUAUUCUUCAGGCGGGCUCCUGGACUUCUAAUUUCUUCACCCUAUUCUUCAGGAGGGUUCCUGGACUUACAAUUUCUUCACCCUGUUCUUCAGGUAGGCUUCUGAACUUACAAUUUCUUCACCCUGUUCUUCAGACGGGCUCCUGGACUUUCAAUUUCUUCACCCUGUUCUUCAGGCGGGCUCCUAGACUCUCUUUUUCUUCAGUCUGUUCUUCAAGUGGGUUCCUGGACUCAAAGAAAAUAGUGAAACAGAAAAAUAACAUCCCAUUCUUCAGGAGGGUCCUGGAUAAAUAAAUUCUCAUUCUUCAGGAGGGUCCUGAGCAAAAAUAAAUUUUUAUUCUUUAGGAGGGUCCUGUGCAAAAGAAUAAAUUUCAUACAACACACAUAAAAUUUUGCCCCAGUUUGUACUGAAAAAAUUUGUGCGUCACCGGAUCUUAAUACAUCUCACAAAGAAUAAAGUUUACCAUAACUGAGAUCCAUCAUCAGAUACUGUAACCAUGCUUCUUGCGUUGACAGAAAUGUGGAAUUAAAUCCUUUAUUUGAAAACUUUUAGUGUAAAAAAAAAAAUAUCCUAUCUCUGUUUCAAACAAAGAAAAAUUGUGAGUUUUAAAAUAUGUGGUGGUUGGUUUGUGGCAUUUGUCUUUUGAAGUGGCCACUCUCGCACGUGCCAUGCUCAACUCUUUUCCAAUCCAUUAUAAUAUUCAUUGUAUUGUCGUACUUCUGACUCAGAAUUUUGACUACUGAGAUCCUCAACUCAAAUCAUGUUUCUGUGUAUGUUGCUUCUGAGUUUAGCUUCCAAUACAUCCCUUAGAUUUUCACAAGUUUAAAAUGGUCAAAUGACCAUCAUCUUGAGUACCUUACUUUUACUUUGAAAUGUUGUCUCUAUGCAUCGAUCCUUUGUCUUGCUUUGUACCCUUAAAGGAGUUGGUAGCGAGUUUGGAGUCCUUUCUCACUCGACCUAACGUGAAUUUGGCUCAAAAGACAACAAAAAUUUUCAUUUGAUGACAAGGACACAAAAAAUUGAAAAUUAAAAUAAAACAACAAGAAAAAGACAAUAGGCAUCUCUUUCUCAAAACAAAGAGAAAACUUAUUUGAAAGUAGAAACCAAUUCUGGUGAUUAUGACACGCAUUUUGAAUCAAACAGCCAGAUCUACCCACACCAAUCAUUACAAAUUUUGUCCACUUAUUGAGCUUGAAAUUAAGUCAAUCUUGAACUUGUUUAUUCUUGAUAACAACCUUUGUUCGGCUAGUGGCACCUCAAUGGGUUUUUGCCAACGAGUCUAUCUCCUUUUCAUUUUUGUCUCAGCUCAUAGUUGUCUUAUGAUGCCCGAAAGGGUUUUCACCAAUAAGACUCUCUCAUUUUCAUUUUUUUAUUUUUUUUAGUAGAUAAACACCCAAAAUAUGAAAUAUCAUGCACUCAUAACAUGUUUAGCCUUAACGUUAUCAAAGAUUGAUCCUAAGGUCUUUCUUUGGUUGUAAAUUGGCUUUUGGAUAGGGUUAGAAAGAAACAUCGGCAUGAGGCUCAAAAAUUUAUAUAACAUUGAGUGAAACAUACAACUUUUGGAAUCGAUUCUUUUAAGAAAAUAAAUUUUUUCCCAGUUUCAUUUCAUUCUGGGUAAUUUGAAUUUUCUUCUGGUUAGACCGAAUCCCAGAGUAGGGCUGCCUACAUAUCUUGUCAUAGCAAGAAUCAGGUCAAACGUAGUUCAGGAAAUAUCAUUCCUUUGUUUGAUUUUGAAUUUUUGAUUGAUUUCUUCUUCUUCUUGUUCUUUUUCUUCAACUUUUUUUUUUAUAAUUUUUUUUCAACUUUUUUUUUAUAAUUUUUCUGACUUUAAUUUGAUUUCAAAAGAGGGGUACGAAGAAAAAAGAAAAGCUCAAAGGGGUAAGCAAAGGUUGAUAUAUUAUUCGGAUAGUAGAACAAAAUGCCUUCAUCAUUUCAAAUCUUUCAAAAUGUAAGUACAAAACAUACAUAACAUAAUUGUACAUGAAUAUCAUACAUAAUAUCUUUUAACUGCAUCAGCAUUGACCAUCAUUCCUUUCAUUUUUCCUUCUACAUCAGUUAGAUAUAACGCACCAUUAGGUAACACUUUCUUCACCAUGAAUGGCCCAUUCCAAUUAGGAGAAAAUUUGCCUUUGGCUUCAAUCUGAUGGGGUAGGAUGCGUCUUAGUACUAACUGACCAACUUCAAAAUGUCUGUGAUGCACCUUUUUGUUAUAUGCUCGUGACAUUCUCUUCUGAUAUAGUUGUCCAUGACAUACUGAUGUUAAUCUUUUCUCAUCAAUCAAGAUUAAUUGCUCCAAAUGAGUCUUGACCCAUUGGUCAUCAUCAAUUUCAGCUUCCACAACUACUCAAAGAGAUGGAAUCUUAAUCUCUGCAGGUAUAACUGCUUCAUUUCUAUACACUAAAAAGUAAGGAGUUGCACCAAUUGAAGUUCUAACUUUAGUACGAUAACCCAACAAAGCAAAUGGUAACUUUAUAUGUCAUUGUCGGGAACCUUGCACCAUCUUUCAGAGUAUUUUCUUUAAGUUCUUGUAGGCAGCUUCGACAGCUCCAUUUGCCUUUGGGCGAUAAGGAGUUAAAUUUCGAUCCAUAAUAUUAAAUUGUUGACACACUUCUUGCAUCAAAUGACUAUUGAGGUUUGCAGCAUUAUCCGUGACAAUUAUCUUUGAAAUGCCGAACCAAUAAAUGAUGUUGGAGUGAAUAAAAUCAACCACCACUUUCUUAGACACUGACUUGAAAGUCACUGCUUCAACCCACUUCGUGAAAUAAUCAGUGGCUACCAAGAUGAACCUAUGUCCAUUCGAGCCCUUUAGUUCAAUUGGUCCAAUUACGUUCAUUCCCCAAGCUACAAAAAGCCGUGGAGCAGUCAUUGUAUGCAACUCAGAUGGAGGGGAAUGUAUCAAGUCUUCGUGUACCUGGCAUUCAUGACAUUUACGAACGAAAUUGAUGGAAUCUCAAUCCAUGGUGAGCCAAUAAUAACCUGCUCGGAGUAUUUUCUUUGCCAAAAUAUACCCACUCAUGUGUGGUCCACAAAUUCUAGAAUGCACUUCAGUCAUAAUUUUUGAACCUUCUUUAGCAUCUACACACCUCAGAAGUCCUAAAUCAGGAGUUCUCUUAUACAAGAUUCCUCUACUUAGGAAAAAUCCACUAGACAAACGUCGAAUGGGUCUCUUUUGGUUACCCAUCAGCAUGUAUAGGAUAUUUUCCAGUAUGAAUAUAUUCUUUGAUAUCUUGGAACCACGGCUCCCCAUCAAGUUCUUUUUCAACCAUAUUACAAUAUGCAUGUUGAUCAUGAAUCUGUAUAUGCAAAGGAUUAAUAUAAUUUUUGUUGGGAUGUUGAAGCAUUAAAGAUAUGGUCGCCAAAGCAUCAACAAUCUCAUUAUGAGCUCUGGGAAUGUGUUUGAACUUUAUUGAUACAAAUCGUUGAUAGAGAUCUUGCAAACAAACUCUAUAUGGUAGGAGUUUCGAAUCACGAGUCUCCCAAUCUCCUUGGAUUUGGUGGACUAAUAAAUCUAAAUCUCCUAAUACCAACAGUUCUUGGAUCCCCAUGUCAAUGGCUAAUCUCAAUCCCAAAAUGCAAGCUUCAUAUUCUGCCAUAUUAUUGGUACAGUAGAAUCGAAGUUGGGCUGUUAUAGGAUAAUAUUGUCCUUAUUCAGAAAUAAGAACUGCUCCUAUCCCCACUCCUUUUACAUUAGCAGCUCCAUCAAAGAACAACUUCCAUCCUGAAUAACAAUCAUCAGAAAUAACUUCAUCAACAUACAUUACCUCUUCAUCUGGAAAAUAAGUCUUCAAUGGCUCAUACUUCUCAUCAAUAGGAUUUUCAGCCAAAUGAUCCACCAAGGCUUGAGCUUUCAUUGCAGUUCGUGUCACAUAAACAAUAUCAAACUCUGUAAGAAACAUCUACCAUUUCGCGAGUCUGCCUGUGGACAUAAGCUUCUAAAAAAUAUAAUUUAAAGGAUUCAUACAAGAGAUGAGGUAAGUAGUAUAAGAUUACAAGUAAUGUUUCAUCUUUUGGGCUACCCAAGUUAAGGCGCAGCACGUCUUCUCAAGAAGAGUGUACUUAGCCUCAUAAGUGGUAAACUUUUUGUUGAGGUAGUAGAUGGCUUGUUUUUUUCUGCCCGUGACAUUAUGUUGACCCAAUACACAGCCAAAAGAAUUUUCUAAAAUAGAUAUAUACAAUAUCAAGGGUCUGCCUGGCUCUGGAGGAACCAAAAUAGGCGGAUUCGACAAGUGUCUCUUAAUUCUGUCAAAUGCCUCUUGACAUUCUUCAGUCCAUUCAACUUUAACAUUUUUGUUCAACAACUUGAAUAUUGGCUCACAGGUUGUCGUAAGCUGAGCAAUGAAUCUACUGAUAUAAUUCAACCUUCCAAGUAAACUCAUCACCUCUAUUUUAUUUUUUGGUGGAGGUAAAUCUUGGAUAGCUUUUAUUUUUGAAGGAUCUAACUCAAUACCAUGUUUUCUGACUAUAAAACCCAAAAGUUUUCCUGACGGAACUCCGAAUACACAUUUUACUGGUUUAAGUUUGAGAUCAUACCUUCGAAGCCUUUCAAAGAAUUUUCUCAGAUCUUUGACAUAGUUAGCCUGCUCUCUUGACUUAAUGAUCACGUCAUCCACAUGAACUUCAAUCUCUUUGUGCAUCAUGUUAUGAAACAUUGUGGUCAUUGCCCUCAUAUAAGUUGCCCCAACAUUCUUUAGUCCGAAAGGCAUGACUCGAUAAUAAUAUGUCCCCCAUGGAGUAAUAAAUGAUGUCUUUUCUGCAUCUUCUGGAUCCAUAAUGAUCUGGUGAUACCCCGCAUAACAAUCCACAAAAGAAGACAGAUCAUGUUUAGCACAAUUAUCCAAUAAAAUAUGGAUAUUGGGAAGUGGAAAAUUAUCUUUCAGACUUGCUUUAUUUAGAUCACAAUAAUCAACACAUAUCCAAACUUUGCCAUCCUUAUUUGGAACAUGGACAAUAUUUGCUAACCAAGUAGGAUAUUGGGCCACUCGAAUGACUUUAGCCUCGAGUUUCUUCGUGAUUUCCUCUUUUAUCUUUACACUCAUGUCAGUUUUGAGCUUUCUCAGCUUUUACUUGACAGCAGGAAAAAUAGGAUCAAUUAGCAACUUAUGAACUACCAAUUCAGUGCUCAAACCGGGCAUAUCAUCAUAAGACCAUGCGAAGAUGUCUUUAUACUUAUGCAAAGCUUAAAUUAUAGCUUUCUCUUAUUGUGGUUGACGUGUACACUUAUCUUAGUCUCCCUAAUAUUUUUAUGAUCUUCUAAAUUGAUCGCCUCAAUUUUUUCCAAAUUGGGAUUUUUCUUAUUCUCAAACUGUUUGAAAUGCUUGCUUAUAUCCUCAAAUGUUUCUCCUUCAUAGUAUUCAACUUCUUUAUUCAUUAUUUCAUAAUUAGAUUGAGUUUUUAAAUCUGGUUGACAAUUCUUCAUGCAUUUCAUAUCAUUAGAAUCGGCAUAGAAAGAACUGUAUGAUAGAAGAAUAAAUAAAUAAAUAUCAGACCCAAAAUAAAACAAAAGGAGACUGCACUUUAUUAAAAACAAAGCUAGAAAGAGUUUUAACCUAAAAUACCAAUGUAAAGGUCUGAAUUACAAUCCUAAAAUUAUUCAAAUUACAGAAAGAAAAACAAGCUACUAAGAUUGUAAGAAAAACAAACAAACUACUAAGACUCCUUCAUAAUAGGGAGAGGAGUGGCCUCCCAAUUGUUAAGCUGGACAUCAGGACCGACAAACUGCACAUCUGUAUUGCUGGUACCUUCCCCGAUUUUAACCAUAUAAACUUCAAUGAACAUAUUCUAAAAAAGGUCAAUGAACUCUGUACCAUCAUCAUUCAUUGAUUCUACAGUAGGUAACUUGGAGGAUCGGACAUCACUGAAUUUGAUAAAAGACUCAUGAAGUGGCGGUAUCGGCUUGGUAAGUGACCAUGACUCUUUCUUACACUUUUUAGCCUUCUUUAUAUCUUCAGCAGUAGGCUCGUAUCCCAAACCACAAGUACCAAAGUUCUCAUAGAGGUUUACCGGAUGAACUAUGCCUUGCAAAAACAUCCCUAGAACUUUUUCUGGUUCAAAACCAUGCUUCAACAUUUCAUUCACUACCAUAACAGAUGCAGAGGACAAUUGUGGUCUUGCGAUGAGAUUCUCCUCAAGGAUAUGCUCAACAACUACUACCUCAGAAGCUUGAUGAAUUAACACAUUGGCAGUAUCUGCUUUGAUGGAAGCAACAGAGUAGUCUUUAUACAUGGAUAAGUCUCCUUCACCAUGAAUAACUAUCUCUUUCUUGUCACAUUCGAAUUUGACCAUUUGAUGCAAUGUUGAUGCGAAUGCUUUAGCCCUAUGAAGCCAUGGCCUGCCCAAUAACAUGUUAUAUGAAGCAUCAAUGUUCAGCACUUGGAAAUCCAUAGCAAAAUAUCCAGGUCCGAUUGUCAAUAUGAGUUCUAUUUCACCAAGGGCAUCAGUUUUUGAUCCGUCAAAACCCUUGACGCAUACAUUGUUAGGUCAAAUUCUCUCCACAUUAAUAUUCAACUUUUGAAAAGUUGACAUAGGACAAAUGUUAGCGCCUGAUCCUUCAUCAAUUAACACUCGAAUGACAACAAAAUUCUCAUAUUUCACAGAAAUGUACAGACCUCUGUUAUGCUCAGUACUUUCCAUAUGCAAUUCAUCAUCUGAAAAAGUAAUUGUAUUUGCUUCAAGGAUUCUUCCAAUAACUUUUUCCAGCUGAUUCACUCUAAUCUCAUUGGGAACAUAUUCUUCAUUAAGAAUUUUCAUUAUAGUCUGGCAGUGUUCCUCUGAAUGUAUCAAUAAAUACAACAAAGAAAUUUGUGUUGGUAUCUUCUUCAACUGUUCCACAACAGAAUAUUCUGGCAAUUUUAUUUUCUUUAAGAAUUCUUCAACUUCUUCAUCAGUGACAGGCUUCUUAACUGUCAUUCGUUCUUCACCGCCUUGUUUAUUCUUUCUUAACUCUACUGGAGCAUAACAUCUUCCAGAUCGAGUUAAUCCCCCUACUUCAUGUACAUCUUCAGUAACAUGUUUCCCCUUGUGCAUCACCACAACACGAUCAUAAUUCCAAGGGACAACCUUGGUAUCAACCAUAAGCUACUGUGACAUUGGUUUAAUAACAAUAGGAGCUAUGAGAGCUCCUUUUAUGAUUAAAAGAGGCUUAUUGGAUCUUCUAGGAAUAAUAAGUUUUGGCUUUAUUUGACUUGACCUAAUAUUUUCUGAAAUCUCUUUCCCCAUCACCAAGGGAGCGUUUGAUGAUUCGGGUUUUGCUAUCACCACCUCUAUUUCUGCAGGCUUUUCCUUUGUCAAAUCCACAACAUUUGCUAUUUUUUCUGAAUCGAUUUUAAUUUUAAUGAUCGACUUAAAGGAUAUCAUAGCAUCUUCACCAGUGAGUAUCACUUCGAGCAUGUUUGUUUCAUUAUAAUCUGGCAGCGGAUUUUGAUUGACAUUUAGAGCGUCUGGACUUUUUACCAUAAUCUGUUGGGUAUUAAUCAACUCUUGAAUGGCUCUUUUCAGAUACCAACAUUUCUCUGUGUUGUGUCCUGGGGCAUCAGAAUAGUAUUCAGAUCUUCUAGAAUAGUCCAAGUUCUUCGGAGAAGGAUUUGGGAUCCUUCGCUCAAUUGGGUUUAGAACAUCAUUUUUCUCAGCCUAUGAAAUAAACUAGUGUAAGAUAUUCCAAUAGGAGUGAAAUUAUCUUUUACCAUGUUAUCCCUUUUAAAUUCUGCUCUAGGCUAAAAAUUAGACCUCGGAGGGCCUCUUUGAACUUACGGGGCCAUUGGAUGAUUUUGGAUUACUGGUGCACACCACUGCGGGUAAGAAGGAUCUCGAGCAUAUGGUUGUGUAUUGUAAAUAGGAUAUUUGGGAGAUGGAAUGAAAUAUAAUGGAUUUUGUGCGUAUGGUUGAUGCGUACCUCUCCAAUUUUGUCGUGGACCUAUCACAAUAGUUGGUACAUCCUCUUUUUUUUUUCUUUCCCUCGAAACUUCCUGCACCACUUUGAAUUGCCUAUGUUGUUGCUUUCAAAGUGGCCUGGCUGAUGAUCUUUCUUGACUUGAUUCUAUUUUCUACCAUCUUUCCAACUUUAAUAACUUCGGCAAAUGUGCUUCCAAUAGUAGAGAGCAAAUGAUGGAAAUAAUCAGGUUCUUGUGCUUGCAGAAAAAUAUCAAUUAUUUCAGAUUCUUUUAUCGAUGGUAUGACUCUUGAAGCCUGCUCUCUCCAUCUGACAGCAUACUCUCAAAAACUUUUGGUCAUCUUUUUUCUCAUAUUGGCAAGCGUAGUGCGAUUUGGCACUAUCUCAAUGUUAUAUUGAAAUUAUUGAAGAAAAUAUCGAGCCAUGUUAUCCCAUAUGUGCCAACGGGAAAUGUCUUGAUCGAUGAACCAUUCAGAAGUUAUCCCUAUAAGGCUUUCUCCAAAGUAAGCCAUCAAUAAUUCUUCUUUUCCUCCUGCUCCCCUUAAAUGAUUGCAAAAAUUUUUCAAAUGAGCUACUGGAUCAUCGUGUCCUUAAUAUUUGUCAAAUUUUGGCAUUUUGAACCCUAUCAGCAAAUAGACAUCAGGAAACAUACAUAAAUCCUUUUAUGAACCACUUUUUAGUCCACCUAAUCCUUGCAUAUUUCUCAUACUCUACUCUAGACCUCUAACUUUUCUAGCCAUCUCCUCCUGUUCCACAUUCUUGUCAAUCUUCUCAAUCACGAUAGGAGUAUCGCGUUUAUGAACAUGAUAAUGUGGAUUUUGAUAUUUGAAAGUCAUUUCAGGAGGGUACGACAUAUCAUAACUUGGUUUACCCGUAUUCUUCGGUACUGUCGGUUGAGUACUCGCAGUAGCUGGUGCUACAGAAGUAAAAAGUGGGUUAUUUACGACAGAUGGAUUCAGUGGGUGCAUGGUAGAAGUACUAGCAACUCCAGUCAUAUUAGCAAAUAGGACAAAUCCUGGUGGGUAAAAUGGAUCACUAGUUUGAGCUGGGUCAAAAUUUGGAUCAUUCGAAGUUGAAAGUCCAGGGAUUGAAGAAAACGGGGCUUGUCCAUUCAACUAAGCUUGGUACAUCUCCGCCAUCUGUUGUUUCAAUGAUUUUAUUUCUUCCAUUGAUGCUACUUCCUAUGAAAUCAACUGAUUCUGCUCUUCUUCACUGUCAGACCCUAUACCCUCUCUGCGAGUCAUUCUUCUUUUACCCUUGUAUCUGGUGUUAUAUGGAUGUGAUGCCAGUUUAAACCACAAACCAACCACCAAUUACUUUAUCUUUUUGUUACCAAGUAGCAAAUGGGUAGUGUUAUAUAUUUAACACAUUAUAACGCCACGUUAUAUGUCAUGUUUCUAUAUGCAUUUCCCAACCUAUCAUGGAAGACUUUGUGUUUCAUCUCAGCUUUUCUAGGCAUGUAUUUUCAAAAUUUAUGAUCGAACCCUUUGGAGGGUUGCCUACCUAUCAUGCCAGGACAUAAAUCAGAUCUUGCGUAGUUCCGAAGGAAUUUAGCAAAAUUGUUUUGUCUUUUUUUAUUGAAGAAAAUAUUUAAAGUUAGUGAAGUAAAACAUAAGUAGUAUAUAUAGAAAUAAACAGUCAACUUCAUUACAUUCUAUAAUAUAAAUACGACAAAAUAACUGACCCAACUCCUAAAAUAAAACCUACUAACUAACAUCUGAAAACUAAAAGACAUAACAUCUAAACAAGAAGUUUUAAAACAGAAAAAAGAAAAAAUAUGAAAAAGAAAACAACUAUCUAUUCAAGGAGACUUCGGCUUAAUAUGUCCUCCCAAGCUAAAGUAUAUGUCCUCCAAUAAAGUAGUGAGACGCUGUGCGAAAGCUGGUACUUGUGACAAAAAGUCAUCACAAUCCAACUGCUGAUAAUUCAAACCCAUUCUGGCAGUAUCCUGUGCUACACGGCGGACCUUUUCUUGAAGAGAACUGAAGGCCUGAUCCCAUUCGUGGGCCUGUCGAUCUUGAAAAUCAACCAUCUCUCUUGUACGCUGUUCACGAGCAGAAGCAACCUCUAACUAUUCUCGCAAUACUCCUCUUUCACGGAUCCACUGAGAUCUCUCUCGAUCAAAUUCUUCUUGUAUAUUCUUUUCAACUUCUUGUAGUUGUUGUUGGCGAGAUGCGGCAAGUUCUGCAACGUGUGACCCCCUAGUGGUAGCAAGCUUGAUUUAUCCCCGAAGUGCAACCUCAAUAUCUGUUGACUUAGCUUUUUCUUCAGCAAAUUCCCUUUGUUGUUCGUCUAUUUUUGCCCUGGCAUGCUCUAAUUCUUCUCUCAAAGCUUAGUUGGCCUCAUGAUGUUCUCGUAUGGCUCUCUCAAUUUCUAUCUUGAUUGCAGUUUCCUGAUCUAUAGGUCCCCUAACCGAUCUUUUUGGUCUGACUGGUGGACUCGACUGUCCUUUAAACUAUUCACGAUAAUCUGGGUGCACUCUCCUUUCUCACGUUCUUUGACCAUCAUUUCAAUCCCCAUAAUACGGCAACCCUCCCAAAUCUGCUAGGCCAAAUCUUCUAAAAGUGGAAUCUCUUGUCUGACCUCAAAUACAAACUCAGUUAUGUUUUCCGUUGUGGGAAUUAUUUGACGCCUACCUAGCUGGCGUAGAACCCUCAACGGAACAUAUGGUUGAACACCUCUAAUACCCAUUAAUAACAAGAACGGACGAAUGACAAAACUAUGUAUGACUUGCCUCCAAGGGAACCAAUGGAGAUUCCAAGUGAUUUUAUCUGUUGUCAAAGAACGAAAAAGCUUAACCUAAUCUCCAAUUUCUUUUGGACAUUUAUAUUUCUCCAUCCUUUCCUCGUAAUCGUUGAUGCGAUUAAAUCGCUCAGGAUCGAACCUUGUCAUUGUAGGACGUUAAUAAAGAUGCUCCACAAUCCACAUCUGUAACAAGAUAUUACAUCCCUUGAAAAAANNNNNNNNNNNNNNNNNNNNNNNNNNNNNNNNNNUACGGCUAGGAUCAUUUGUACUAUAGUGUAAUCUUUCUUAAUCCGUAUCUGUAUCAUUGAUUCUCAUGAUACUCGUAAAAAAAUCCAAAUACUUAUGUAUCUCGCCAUAAUCGAAUGUAUCCAUUGCAUUCCACCAUAACCAAAGCUGCAGAGGGAUUUCAUCAACAACCUGAAGUGGUACACUUCCAUCCCUCUUUCUUUUUGACACUUUCCACGAGCUGGAGGAGACAUUUUAUACCUAUUGAUAAGGACGUGAGAUUAAUAAAUGUCUAGACUUAGGCAAAACUUAAUUUAUUAAUUUUGAAAGAAUUUAAUCUUGACUCGUGAGACCUAAUGCGACCAUUAUUGGGACUUAGUUGUAAAGAACAAUUUUAUCAAAGUGAGAGAAAUAUAACUGAUAAUAUUUUUAGAAAAAUCACUAAUUUAAAUUGACUCUUUUAAAAAUUUUGCAAUAACAGACCUCUAGACAAAUUUAAACUAUAUGUUUGAAGACAAUACUCCUAAAUAUACUUAAAAGAACAAAAAUAAAAUAAAAUGACUUAGAAAUAAAGAAAAAGAAGAAUGAUCAUUUUAUACAUGAAGUUGUAUAAAAAUUUUAGUCUCACGACCCCUGAAGGUUCAAGACUGUUAAAAUAUAUGUUUACAUAUUUUAUUACUUUGCAAAAAUUCAGCUCACGACCCCAAAAGAUUCAAGCUAUUAUGAUUUUUAUGUUAAAAUUAAUUUUAAAAAUAAGAAUGAAAAGUAAAAUAAAGAUAAUAAUAUUCAUGAAAACAAUUAUUUUUCUUAUUAUUAUUAGUAUUUUUAUUAUUUUUUCUAAAAAUAUCCUUCGAUAAAUCUGUGAAUAAAUAUAUUGUUAUUAUUUUUCAAAUAAAUGGUCGUAUCCUGGGUAGGACUUCCUACGUAUCUCACAAAAAGUGAGAAUCAGGCCCUCGUAGUUCAUGAAGAUUGUAAAAACUAUGUUGUUGUACAUUUAAAAAUUUUCUUUAUUUUUUUUUUCAAAAAUAAAAAUUCUUCUUUCAAAAAUGAUUAACUAAAUUUGAGGAUAAAUUAAUCUCUCGCAUUUUUAAAAUUACCUAAAGCUGGUCAACAAAUAAAUAGCCUUCCAAGCAAAUGUCAAAGAGCACGUAUGAUGCACAUGUUGGUCUUUAUAAAUUACGUCACCUGUCCUAGACAUACCCGACCCCUGUGCCGAGUCCUGCUAAGUCAAAUGCAUAUGAUGCAAAUAAAGCGGUACCUAAUAGGGAUAACCAGAUUCUGAUUUUUCAGUUCUUCUAAGUUUAUGCCUAAUAGGGAUAGGUGUCUAGACUGGUUUACCCGAGCGGACACUCGAGCCGGGGAGGGACAACUUGGUCGGUAGCAGGGAAACACCGCCUUCGUUGUCGAUCCGAGCCCCUCCUAACAUGUGUAACUAUAUCCUUCACCAUGUGCCUUGACACUCCGGCUAUCUCAAAAAGAAGGUGGGAUGCAUAUGUUGCAUUCCCUCUAUCCUAUUUCAGAGACUCAGAGGGGGUACGUGAGAGAAGACAAUAUAUAAUACAGUUAAAAUAAUAUCAAAGCAGUAAAUGAGCAACAAGUAGCACAUAAGGCCAACAAACACAAUAUCAACAAUAAUUAAAGCAAGUAUAAGUCAAUAUAAAAAGCUCGAAUUCUUAUUAAUUCCCCAGCAGAGUCACCAGAGAUGUCACACCUCUUUUUUCGCUCAAAGGAUCGAGUCGAAGGGUUUUUCAAUCAAAGUGACGAUUUUGAAUAAGGAUUAGUUUAUUAACAGAGUCGCCACUUGAAAUUGAGUUAUGGUGUUCCAAGUCACCUUUUUAAAUCCCUAAUCAAAAGAAAAUGACUCUUUGUUGGUCUGCGAAAACAGAAGACCGGGUAAGAAACUCUGUUGAUCGAGGAGAAGGUGUGAGGCACCCCUCAAGUCCCAUGGUUCUAGCACCGUCGCUUUUAUUGACUUAUCUUGACUUAAACUAUUUUAGAUAAAUUGUGUUAAGGCUAAAUUCGCUCAUUUUAAUAUAUAUUAAAAUUAUUUAAAACUCUUGUAUUAAAUUUGUGAAAAACUAAGUUUAGAAAAAUAUUUACCAAAGUGCAUUUUUGCAUCCUUGAAUUUUAAAAUAUCUCGAAAAGAUGCGUACGCCGCAUUCUUUAUUAAGAUGAAUAUUAAAUAUCUAAAAUUUGUCUAGCGUUAAAAAACAUACGUUCUUUAUUUAUAAACUUAUAAUAAUUUUUAUCUAUUAUAAACGUUAUUCAACUUUAACAAUAAGAUUAAGCGAAAUUCAUUUAAAAGGAUAAAUAAUUUAAUAAAUAAUUAAUAAACUUUAUUAAUAAUAUUUAAUAAAAAUAAUAAUAAUACAUAGUAAAAAUAAAAAUAAAAAAAUAGAUCAAUUAUCUAUAUUAUCCUAAUUUAUUGUGAUUCUUAUAUUUAUUUUCUUUAAAAUAAAUGCAAAUCCAAAAAUCACUUAAAAAAUACUUUUUCUUUAAUAUAUUUAUAUAUAAAAAAAAAAAUUGAUUUUUAAACAAACAAAAGAUUGAACAUUUGUUAAAUAUCAUACAAAGUAAACAAGAGUAAACUAAAAAGGGAAAAAAAGGACAACUGAUCUGAUUUUUUUUUUUGGAAUCUGGCAUUUAUGGCGACUGUGAGGAUCACCGACCGGAGAGGGAGGGAAGGAAUAUCGGUUGAUUUUUAGUUGAUGUCAGUGUUGGUGAUGAUGUUUUUUCGGCGAGACUUAGUUGGAAAAGAUCGAUUUUGGAAUUUUUCGACGAGAUUUGGUCGGAUCUAGGAGGAGAUCGACAGAUCUGGUUCGUGGUCGCUGGUUUCGGUUUCGGUUCUAGUGAAAGGUUCCGGCGAAGGGCGGUUUUGGGCGAUUGGUUAGUUUUCCGGUGACAAGAAAAUAAGCCCGGUGUCUUUUUGCCAUUUUUCGGUGAAGAUGGUCGUCGGAAUAGCGAUGGGGUGGACUGGUUGGAUGCGUUUUGCCGUCCAAUGAUGGCUGGCAAUGGCUGGACAGCCGAUUUUCGAUGAAAUUCAGCCGGCGACGUUGAUGGAAAAAAAUGGGGACGGAAAGAGGAAAAAUUCUUUAGGUGUGUACCGCGUUGGUGUUUGUCGGCAGUGUUUUUUCCGUUAAUGGUGUUGACAAUGGUAGUUGGUGUAUUCCGUCAAUAUGUCACCGAAAAAAAUUAUUCCACCAUCCAUUUCUCUCCCCUACUGAUAUACUUUUAUUCUACUAUUUUUUACUUAAUUUUUACACUGUGUUGGUGUGUGUACGGGGACUGCUUGUGAGUAUGAAUAUCUGUACUUAUGAAUUAUAACAGUGCCUAUUUUUCAUUCUACUGUUUUUCUUUCUGUUUUAAUUUUGAACCUUAACACACAAUAUUCUAAUAAAUUAACAGUAAAACAUAUGAUGACAAAAGGUUCACGUAAUUAAACAUGCAUAUUAAAUAAUAUAUUGAGAUCAUUGACAUAAGUUUGAACAUGAUUUGAUUAACUAUAAUAUUUCAUACAAUAAAUAAUACAAAUUUGAAGUAGAACCUGUUAACGGAUUAAUGUGCAAAUUCGAACGUCUGUCACUGGAAACUUCGACAAGAAAUUCAACUCCAACUUUCUUCUUUUCUCUUUUUGACUGAUCUUUCAUUUUUUUGUCUUUUUUGAUUUUUUCUUUCUUUUUCUCUUUGAUUUUAUCUCUGUAUUUUUUUUAUUUGAUCUGAUAUAGUGUAGAAUCUGAUGGUAUGAUGAUUUUUUUUCUACCUCUAUUUGAAUAGUGUAAAUAUCCUUAAAUAGAGGGAUUUGAAAAAAAGGGGGGAACAGUUAUCUUUUUAAGGGGGAGUAGUUUUAACAAUAGAUAAGGGGAGGGUUAUUUAAAAUUCAAAAUUUUUAUUUUUUAUUUAUUUUAAUAAAAGAUAAUAUUAAUAAUAAAUCAAUGAAUAAAUAAUAUAAAAAAUAAUAAAUAUAAAUAAAAUAAUAAUUAAUUAAUUUUAUAUUUAACAAAAGCACGAUAAUAAUUUAUAAAUAGAAAAAUAAAUAUAACAAAAUAAUAUUAAAACUAUUAAUUUAUUUAUUAAAAUUUAUAAAAGAAAAAAUAUAUUUUUAAUUUUUUAUAUUAUUUUUUAAAAUUAGAAUAAAAUAAUAUAUGAUUAAAUAUAAAUAUAAAUAUUUAAUAUUGAUAGACAAGUCAAAAUUUAGGGAUGGUCAAAAAUCACGUGUCUACAAAGCCCUUAGUACGUUUGACUUUCUUCCUUCCGAGUUUGAGAUCGUAGGGGGUCGAGAAAUUUUAGUGUCUAGCAAUUCCUAUGGCCCAUUCCAUUCGGCCUCUGGAGGGACAACGUUAAUUGCUUUCGAAUAUGCGAGGAGGUAACUUGCAGCUUUAUAAAUUGGCGAAGAGUACUCGUAGAUGGAGUUUCCAUAACCUACACCAUCAUCAUACUUUGCUCGCAAAGCUGCCAUCGUAUAUUCGCACGGCAUUUUCACCAAGUCAAAUUUCCAACAAGAAUAACUCCUUUCCAAGAGAUUGACCUUGGCAGUAACACCAUUUCCGAACAUUGUGCAUUCUUGUUAUCCCUUAGGAUCUUUUCCGCAUAAGGAACAAAUAUGUUCUCUUUACCAUCGACAUAGGCAUACCGCUCCCUAAACUUUUUACCAAAUUUUUUAGCAAUUGAAUUGAAUAUGUACGACAUGGGGUACUCCCAUUCAUCCAUUAAAAUCGAGUUGAGCGACUCGGCGAUGUUUGUGGUCAUCACAUCGUACCUAUUGCCCAGGAAGUGUGCUCUACUUUAUUUUUCAAAACCAAGCACAUUUUCAAGGACAUGUGCUGCCUUGGGGCAAUUAUACUUCAAUUUCUCAAAAUUCUCGCUAAACUCAUCAAAAGAAUACUCCUUUGCCGCGGCGUAGAAUAGAUAAAGAUGUUCUCCACAGUGUUGAUUUACACGGAGAUUUUCAGCGAGGUGCCUCAUGAAAAGUUCGUGAUGUGCUCGACUGUAUACCCGGGAGAAGGCAUUGGCGAUGCUAGUGUGCAUGUCAGAGAUGACACAUAGAUCUGGUUCAUCUUCUAUGAUAGAUUUCAACUUCUGGAAGAAGAAGGUCGUUCUGUUUAUCGACGACACAAAAGCCAAUUGGAAAGAUGUGAUUUUCGGUGUCCUGUGCAUCUGCACUCAGCAACACACACCCGUACUUUCCAUACAAAUGUGUGCCAUCGACGGUAAUUACCUUUCUUAUGUGGGCAUAUCCCCGUAUGCAAGCUCCAAAUGCUAAGAAGUAGUAAACGAACGAUCCAUCAAUCUGGUUUACCAUGAUAGAGUAGGAAUACCCUGGAUUCAACAACUCCACCAUAUGGGAAAAAAACGGCAAACAAGCAUAUCCGUGCUCCGGUGUCCCUUGAAUGAUGUUCUUUGCAAUUACACUUCCUUUCCAACACAUCCAGUAGCUUGCGUGGCAAUGCAACUCCUUGAACACAAUCCUUUAAAUUUCACUUAUGCUUGGACCCUUACCAUCCCAAAAAUGAUUUACGCAUAGUGAAGCAAUCAAUUCGGAUGAUAUUUUAUUAUGCUUGCGGGUGGCGUGUUCAACACCGCACGUGUGCUCCCGACAUACUUGUAUAUGUGAAAUCUUUCUGAGGUUUUGUACUUCCUUGCCCGCAACAACCAGCCACAACCAGGAGAUACGUAUUUCGCCUUCAACAAUUUGGUGCAGCUCUUCUCCAUACGAUAAUCAAAAGACUGCCUCACCGUUGCUCCGUCUAGUAGCAUUUGAGCUGUUUCUUGUCGGCAAAUAUUUGAUCACGAUAGAAAUUGGUUUCGUCGGAGAAGGAAUGUACUGGUUGGGAUCCCGUUCCACAGUCUUAUUCCGUAUCUUGUGAGUCCGAUGAAACGUCUUUCAUACGCACACAGUUAUGGGAUGAUCGUUAUCGCUCUCAUAAUUAUUCAAAUUGUUAUCAACUAUCGGGAUCGAGGUGGGGACAGUGAUGAAUUCAUCGGUCCUUUGAAGGACCCGUCGACUACAUUUAUCCUUAAAAUAGGCCUAAAAUCAUCUGUAUCAACAUUCAUCAUGUAAAGGGACACACGUGCAUCAUUAUUUAUGAUCGUAAGAUUCACCUUUUCCCUCGAAUGCAUUAGAUAACUAAUCACCACAUUGCUCGACGUGCAAUCUAGAUCCCCGCUCUGCUUUACGCUAGCAACCAAUUUGUCGUAUGAACUGUUGCGGCGAACUGCAAUGGACAGUGUCACCUUGGUAAAAGAUCUCCAUUUCCAACCUCUGGGAGUAUUCACCCAUUCUCCCAUGAAAUCACCUGCAACCAGAACAAAUUCUGCAACAGACAUCCUAGAAUUAACCUUUGAUCGAUGGUAGAUUAAGCUUAGGUUCUAUGUCGGGAUGUAUGUACGGUCGAUGAAUGACGAUGACGGAUCGAUGACUGCGCAGAUAUCCGUACAGAAACUUGAAAAUGCAAAUAUUGCUUCUAAUCAAUGGUCGUUGGGUUUAUGGAAUAGAGAAAUGAACUUGGAGUCGCCUCAGUUAUUGUAAUGUACUUCUAAAGAAUUUAUAACUGAUGUGACUGAUUUAAAGCUUUUUAACAGUGGUGGAAAGUGUGAUUAAGAAGAUAACAAACUAAUGGGUACCCAUAUUUUACCCAUUUGUCCAUAUUUGUAUGAGCUUUUAAAAUGAGUUGAAGUUCAUAUUUACCCAUUUGAAAUAUGAGUGAUCCAAUUCACUAAAUAUGAAUAAUAUGGACUCUUUUUACAAAUAUGGGUUGAAAUUGCCACUCCUAAUCACAAUUUUAUUAGGGGAGUGGUUAAUUUUGUUAUUAAGAGAAUAUUGAGGAUUGAGUUUGUCAGGGGUUUGUUAUCUUGUCUUCUAGUGGGAAAAUUAUCACGUAGUUAAGAAUACACGAUAGGAUAAGGUAAAUAGGUGGAAUAUAAUUUUUGAGGGAUAAAAUUACGUGUCUACGACAGAUAAUUGAGUAAAGUGACAGAUAUGAUUAUGGAUAAGAAAGAUUAUAUCAAUAGUACAUGCAUGCAGAAAUUAAGUUAAUAUAUUCGUUCGCUCAACAAAUACAGCCUAUAUCAACUUUGUAUAUUAGGAUUUAAAGUUGCAAAAUUUUAUCCAAACAAAAGACAAAUUCUACAUCUUAUCAUAAUUUUUUUUUGACUUGCACUGGAUGUCCGAGACUCUUCGAGUCCCGACUAAUCUCAACAUUUUAUCAUAAUUUUGUCUGCAAUCAAUCUAUCUGUUUUAAGAUUCCCUUCAAUAUAGUGAGUUGUGAACCACUAAUACAAAGAAAACAUGCAUAUUUAUGUGAUCAUAUCCUAUUUUGAUGUGUAUAUCAAUAAAAGAAAAGGACUAACUUGAUGCAAAUAUCACGCAAUAGGAAUGCCUUUUUGGGAGAUUGCCCAUGCAUUUCCAUAGAAGGGCGUUAUCCUUUUUUAUCAAAUUUGAGUAGACCUAGAGUCACAUAUGGUAGAAGUCACUUUUUGGACAAGUAUGAAACCGUGUGUGAUUCAUCUUACUUGUUUUAUAUACACAUUGUGAGUUAAUUAAGAAUUGGAGAAAUCCAUACCACAUCUCCUGCUUUCCUUAUACUUGACAUCUAAAUUCCAUCGGUGUGAAGGAUGAGAGGAUUGUUUAUCCUAAAAUAGGUACAACUGGAAUUUGUACGCUAUGUUUAGAGGGCACUAGGAUUGAAUUGAUGGACAUGACGAAAUUAAUAAACAAGAAAUAUUAUAAACAAGAGAUGGGCUAAAGCAAUUGGAUGAAUCUAUAAGAUUAAUAAGAUGAGUUAUGUAAGCAACUCUAGGGUCACAUUCUUGAGUGCAAACCUUGGGUUCAAUCCUCUCUCCUUCACAGACAAAUUUACCGUCUAGAUCAAAAUAUUAGCACCCAAUGUAGCCAGUGCAACAAGUGGUGCAUCCGGUUGGAUAAAUUAUCUACUCUCCUUUUGAACGAGGAUAUUUUGUUUGUGGAUCACAAUUAGAAGGGAGAAUAUUUGGAUUUUUGGGUUUUACUACACAAAUGAAAGUUUUGUUAGCACUGUAAUAAUUGCAAUCUUUAUUGCAAAACAACAAUUGGUGCAUAUGGGAUUUUCUGGUAUACAAGCCUUGGCAUUAACAUGUUCCACUAUGCUUACAAGUAGAAGCAUUAAUCGUACAACAAAUAUAUGCUAUAUAUAUAUUAAGGAGAAACAUAACGUAUACUACUUGUGUAUGACAUAUGUAUAAACAACAAAGAAAUAAUUAAAGAGAAAAAGGAGAAAGGAAAAAUCUUACCAAGUCCACUAACUUCUUUCUGAGCAGCAAUUAUGGAUCAGGAGUAUAUAUCUAUCCUCCUCCACUACUUAUUGCAAACAAUGAAAGAGAGUAGCUAACUAAAACUUUUUAUCAAUUGAUAGAAAAGAAAAAAUCCAUGUGUUAAGUUUGGCAUGUUCGCAACAAAUUUUUGUGGAUGCGGAAAAUUAACUACAAGCAAAAAUAAAUAAAAAGAAAUAAUAAUUUUAUAUAAACAAAAUUUAUGGGUAUAAUUCCGUUAUUCUCUCUAUUCUUCUCUCCUAAGUUUAUCCGUGAUUCGAGGGCCUUUGCAGCGUGAUUCUCGAAUGUAGGAUGAUUUAAGCCUCCUAGAAAUGCAUUUGGAUCUCCAGGAAUUGUCUGACAGCACUUCGUCUUGUCGAGUUGACCUUCGGGCAGAACUCCGUUAGUCGAUUCGUUGAAGAGCUGUAUAGUCAAUGCAGAAGCUUCCUCCAAUGCCUGCUGAAUGACCCAUUAAAAUUAUGUAACCCUCCUAUUUAUAGUUGUAGGGGGUAGGCAGUCCAAGAGUAAAUAACCUCUUUUGUCUCAUUCUGAUUGGUCCAUUCAAUUUUCAAGCUUAUCACAAAUGUUAUGUGACAAGGUUGCUUGUGAUUGGCCAAAAACAUGUCAUUUGGGACACUUGGCGUGUUUCAUUGGCUCUUGAAUUUGACUUGGAUUGCCACCUCAUUUGAUCGUGUGGCCUUGCCUCUUUGGUAUUUAAUUUGACUGGGAUGCCAUGUCAUUUGACACGAGCAUAAGUUUGGGCCUCAAGGUGAGAUGGAUCUUGAUGAAGAAUAAAACGGGUUUAUAGCCCAAACUAAUUUUAGACCUAGUAAAAUAUGGAUCAAAUCCAAAUUUUAUAUGAAUUUGAUUCAAUGAAUUUUACGUGUCUACAGAUGCCCCCUACUUCAAGGCUCGUCAAGGUGUUUGAUUUGUCGGACCUGUUAGAGACAACAUUUGAAGUAUUUGUGAAGCCCUAUUUUUUUUUUUAAAGACUUGAGCAUUUUAUCAAUGUCCGACUCCUCAAAGUCAUGAUUAUCCGUGUAGAAUAAUGUGAAUCCAGUAUAAAUUCUGUUUAAGACUAAAUAUAUCCAAAUUAUGUAGGAUUCAACUAUUAGUCCUAUAUCAAAUUUUAAUAGGAUUGAUUAAUGACGUUAUCCCACUCCAAAAAGAAUUAGGAAUUUGACUUAUUUUGGACACUUAAACGUCCCAGUUCUUGUUGAAGACAACUUUGUUCAGUAAAUUCCUUUUUAAAAUCAAAUUGGGGCCUUUUAGAGUCUAUAAAAGGACAUCAACUCCCCCUUUAAUCAUUGUAAUUCAGCCUGAGCAGAAAUUCAACUUCUGUUCUUCUCCUCUUUUUGCUCUUCUUUUCACAAUUGAGCUUUCGACACUUUGGCGCAUCUGUAGAAGAAGCUUCAUAACGCAUCGUGGAGGUGUCUGAAUCACGAACGACUUGUAGUGUUAGAAAGUAGACUCGCAAGACAUGAAAUGAAACACCAAAUCAGUCCACAAAUCACAAGAUCUGAGUACUAAGAUGGAGACCACUCUUGGAUUCAACAAAUACAACAAGAAAAUGAGAUAAAAAGGUGUGUUUCAACACCAAAACAGCUACAAAACAUGAUGAACAAGAUGGAAACAAUGAAUACAAUAUUUGGAUUCAACAAGAACAAAAGAGAACAAGAUACAAACACUUACAAAAUUGCAAGAAAGGUAAAGAUAGAUAGUGUGACAUAGAUUACUACAAUAACUAAGAACCUAAGUGUAGAUCCAACACUAAGACCCUUAAUACAUGUAAUAACAACACCAACACUCUUACGUGGACACAAGAGGGACAUCAACCUUCUCAAGCACCUACGUUUCCAAGCCUUGAAUGCAACACAAGUGAAAUCCACACUUGUAUCACCCUAGUUUCUGGUUGAUGGUCUUCUUUCCUUAGAGAGGAAAUGUUUCAAGUAUUAUACGCUCAUCAUAUUCAUCAAAAUUUUAAAAUGAAACCUUACAUUACUCUAUUUAUAGUGUAUUAAAAAUAAUAGGUAAAAUUACCAAAAGGCUCCUUAAUGAAUGGGCACCCCUCUAGUGUAUGUAGUGGACUGAUUUGACCCUUUUAGUGUAUGUAGUGGACUGUUUUGGUGUCCAUUUAGGUGCACCUUUGCACUUCAUUGCACACACCGAGCCGCGGGUCUAACAUAUACCCUCAAAAGUUUAUCUACGUAAUCGUACUCGUAUUAUCCUCCUCUUCUUGAAAAGGAUUCAACCUCGAAUCCGUACCUUGCAAAAUCAAAGAGAAAACAAACAAGUACAUAUCCUCAUGGUAUAAGGGUUAGGGUUAUAAAAAUAAUAAAUUAGCAUUAUCAUGCCACGGUGGUACACACUUGAAGUACAAGGAUCCUUUGUUUUAGUUAUGGAAAGCUUUUGUACAACAUCACAAAGGAAAGGGCUCGAAUGAACAUCAAGAAUUAAGGGACAAAAACCAAGACUACGCCUCUCAUACGAUGUAUAUCCAAAAACAUCAUGAAUAUCAUCAUAUGCAUAUAGGUAGUGAAGAAAGGCACCAAAGACACAAUUCUCAUCUAAGAUGUAUUCAUAAGUAGGAACACACAAUGAGAGAAAGGGACAUUGCAAGCAUGUAGGACCUCUCUCCUUCCAACCACUUCCCGAGGAAAGGCAUUCCAUCAAGGGAGUCAUACCAAUAGGGAGAAUAGGGAGACAACCAUGCAACAAUCCAAUCCAAGGCAAGUAGUUUUCCAAAGAACUUGGCUUCCCUCUACAAAUUAUGUGAAGCACGCUCCCAAAAGUCGCACAAGAUACUUCAACUUGUCCAACCCCAUGAAGGUGACAAGAAGUCUUUAACAUCCUUGGACCCUUCCACAAACAAGAAUACAACUUGGCAUCCAUAAGUUGUGGUUCACAUAACUUAAGUACAAGUGUGUCAAACAUAGAUGAAAGAAUAUGACCAACACCCCAAAGAGAUAAUGACACAUUUUUCCUAGGGUCCUCCAGUAGACACGAACCAAUAUUAAUAUCAAAGAGAUCACAAUUCAAGUUACCAUAUUUAUCAAGCACAGGUGCGGUGUCAUACAAAGGAGUACAAGCAAAAUCAUUUUUCAAAUAAUAAUCACAAUUCGGGUUUCCCAUGUAAUCAAGCAAAUUAUGGUAGUCUUCACCCGAUUGAUUAUUCCUUUCCAAGACUAUGCAUUCCCUACCCUUAAGAGUACUCUCAUCUUCCAAGAAGAGAUUUCCAUCUUGAGGAGAAAUGUUAUCACACCAUAAUGAGUUAGCAUAUAGGCUAUAGCUUCCAAGACAAGCCAUGUCGUCCACAUCACUUGCACCACUAGGUUCAUUGGGAGUGAAUAAACUAUCUUCAAACAAGACAUUGUACCUAAAGAGUGAAUGAUCUAAACCACAGACAGGUUUGGAACUUUCACUCUCUAAGGAAUCAUUAUCAAGUUUCAAAGAUAUGUCAAGCACAUGAUUAACCCUAUGAGCCAAACAAACAUUAGAAUCUUUACAACAACAUAGGCUCACGGGUUCACUCCCUUUUUCUUGACCAAUAUCUUCAAAUUUUCCACUCACUUGAUAUUCAUUAAUCACAUCACACAUAUCCUCAAGUGGUGGGCAAUUUUUAAUCACAAGUUAGGCAAUACAAAUAUCACACGAUGAUAUACUUUCAUUCAACACAAUAGCUUCAACACUAGGUGGACACAAAUCGAUCUUACUAGAAGAGUCGAUUUGGUCAUCUAUAGGAUCAACUAGUGUAUCCACUCGCAUAAUAUGUACAUCAUCCACUAGUGGUAGGGAAUCAAUAGACUCAUAUGUAGGUAAGCUACUACUCACACUCAACGGCUUAUUAGCCUCGCGGUCAUCAUUCAUAUGCACCAAAGUGUAAGAGUUAGAUAUUUUACCUUGACUUUCAUGAGUAUGUUCAUCUUUACCUUGGCGUAAUAGUCCUUCACAAGCUUGGGAAACAACUUUCUCCGAAAAAUUCUCAUCGCAAGGUGCUUGCACAAUUGAAUUUUGUGGGAAGAGUUUGGGUAGAAAUUGACAUAUAAUUUCAAUGUGCCAUUUCAUAUCUUCAAUAUUGUCAUCUAUGCGAUCAAAUGUGGCAUUGAAAUUAUGGGAAGCCAUUGUACCUACCAAAAAUACACAACAAACAAGGAAAACAAACAAAUUUGUUAGAUAAAAAAUGCCUCACCACACUCUUACUCUCAGUUUUACCUUGCACUUGGUUUCACAAGUGUUCAAAGUCGGCUUGUACUUCGUGAGUGAUUGAGGGUCGGGCUGACGCUUUUUCGGAAUGGAUUUUUGUUUGAAACUCAAACGAAAUCUUGUAGGACUUGAGUCAAGAACUAACAAUGAAUUCAAAAUGAGAAAAGCACACAACAAACGUAAACAUGAACAAAUGAAUACAAAACUAACUUACAAGCUAGUAGGAGAUUACUAAAUUGUCAAUUAGUGCACGAGCCAAAAAAUGAAACUAAGAGACAAUAAAAUGAAACUAAGAAAUCUAAAAUUUGAGCUUAAUUAUGUUGCGGUGAACAGUAAAAUAUGAUGAUGAGGCAGCUACGUAAUUGGUCACGGUCCCCGCACAAUUUUUUUUGUCCAAUUUUAAGUCUUGGUCAAUUUUUCAAUUUGGACUUUGGUGGAAUUUAUUUAAGGAGGGAAAUUCAAACAAGUCUUUGAGCCCCUUUUCAAUUUCAAGUUUUCAAGACUUGAAUUUCUUGUCUUUUCUCCUCAAAAUAUGGAAUUUGGUUUCCCUUAAAUCAUGGAAAGUUGGUGAGAAGUGAUGUAAAGCUUUUUUGGUGGCUGGGGGUCUUUCAAGACUAACAAUUACUUACACCUUUUUGGAUCAAAUAAGCACUUUUUUUUAACAAGGUAUGAAGAUAGUGAUGAACAUCAAGAACAAGAACAACAUUCACCAAGAAUAACAACAAUAAUUCCAAGAACCACAAUAAUCUUCCAAGGACACUAACAAUUUCUCUUUCACGUCCCACUCUAAAUCCACAACAAUAUUAUCUUCAACACUUGGCCAAGACAACUACAACUGCAAUUAAAUGGUUCUUAGGCUACCAAUUAACAACAAAAUCAUGUAGUCAAGCUAAGAACAACAACAAGGUGAAUACCAUACACCCAAAGUGGAGCCACAACAACAAAAACGUCCAGAACACUUUCAAGUCACCACAACAAUGGUCAAAAUUAUAAGCAAAACUUUAGAUCUAGUCACUUUUAGUGUUGGUGAGAAAGGAAUCAACACUAGAAACAAACUAAACAAGUAAAAGACUACUAGAUAUAGUCACAAAACUAACAAAUCUUGGCCAACACACAACAAGAAUGCAAUUUUGGCCAAGAACACAACCACGGACAGAUUUGCUUUUUUUCAGCUUUUCAACAACUAUUUUUUUGAAUUUUCUAACAACCAAGCCCAAGAUUGAUCUUGUAGGAACAAGAUCUAGCCAUGAUUUGAUACCAAAUGAUACAAGAAUAACAAGAGGAACAUGAAAUCAAACACCAAAUUAGUCCACAAAUCACAAGAUCUGAGGACUAAGAUGGAGACCACUCUCGAAUUCAACAAAUACAACAAGAAAACGAGAUAAAAAGUUGUGUUUGAACACCAAAAUAGCUACAAAGCAUGAUGAAAAAGAUGGACACAAGAUUUGGAUUCAAAAAGAACAAAAGAGAACAAGAUACAAACACUUACAAAAUUGCAAGAAAGGUAAAGAUAGAUAGUGUGACAUGGAUUACUACAAUAACUAAGAACCUAAGUGUAGAUCCAACACUAAGACCCUUAAUACAUGUAAUAACAAUACCAACACUCUUACGUGGACACAAGAGGGGCUUCAACCUCCCCAAGCACCUACGUUUCCAAGCCUUGAAUGCAACACAGGUGAAAUCCACACUUGUAUCACCCUAGUUUCGGGUUGGUAGUCUUCUUUCCUUAGAGAGGAAAUGUUUCAAGUAUUAUACACUCAUCAUAUUCAUCAAAAUUUGAAAAUUAAACCUUACAUUACUCUAUUUAUAGUGUAUUAUAAAUAAUAGGUAAAAUGACCACAAGGCCCCUUAAUGAAUGGGCACCCCUCUAAUGUAUGCAGUGGACUGAUUUGGCCCUUUUAGUGUAUGUAGUAGACUAUUUUGGUGUCCAUUUAAGUGCACCUUUGCACUUCAUUGCACACACCAAGUCACGGGUCUAACAUAUGCCCUCAAAAGUCCAUCUACGUAAUCGUACUCAUAUCAGUUCUACGCAAAAACCACGCUCAUCUUAUCACCAGAUCUGCCGAGGUAUCAUUUUAAAAUCAGACCUUCAGUUCUGUUUUAUCACUGUUUACUUGUUUUGUGCAGUCUCACAAAAACUCUCAUAUCUUGACUUAGGAGCAUCAAAAUUAGGAGCCAUUUUUUCGUGUUGGAAACUAGACUCAUAGAAAUACGUCUCACACAGAAACCACAAUUAGAUUGAAUUUGAAUCGUCCCAGAUAUUGCUCCAAAUACGGCUUUGUAAUCUUGGUUUGCUUGUUAUUUCAUCUUUGCGCAGAGUCACAAGAAAUUUCAUAUCUCAAUGCGGAUGUUUCGAAAUCAGGUGCCAUUUUUUGCAUUGAAAAGUAGAUUCAUAGAGCUACAUCUCACCUAGAAACCACAAUCAUAUUGCAUUCGAAUCAUCCCAGAUAUUGCUCUGAAAACAACCUUCUAUUCCUGGUUUGCUUGUUAUUUUAGCUUUGCGUAGCGUCAUGAGAAAUUUCAUAUCUCAACGUGAAAGUAUCGGAAUUAGGUGUCGUUUUUUGCAUUGGAAAGUAGAAUUGUAUAUAUACGUUACACGUGAAAUCCAUCAGCAUAAAACCUAUAUAUUUUCUCAGGUAAAUUCUUGAAGUUUCAUCCUAAAUCUUGUGACACUCCUUUUUCUUUUAGCAGACUUACAGUUUAAUUUGAUAUCUUUGGCAGGCCUUCAAACAUAUAGAGGCUAUCUUCAGUUCUUUGAAAUUAUGAUGAACUUCCGAGACCAAACGACACCAUAUCCUCUACUUGAAAUAGCAAAUGAUGAACGAUAUUCUCCUGCUAGCAUCCUUACCUUGAAAGUUAAUCCUCCGGUCAUAAGUGUCUUCCCGCUUGACAGAGGAUUUCCUGACAUGUAUCUUCAUCUAGACAAAUGAUCGACAAAAGAAGAAAUUGACGUCCUUGACUCUAAAAAGGUCAUUAAUACUACUGCUUUUGUGCUGCAUUCAUCUACACAUGACAAGGAGUCUACUGCUACAUAUCCCAAAGGGUUGAAUAAGGGUCUUGCUACAUAGAAUUAUCCCCAAUUAGGCUUUGGAGAUUUUCGUUAUGUUACUUGCUAUUGGGAGUGGGUAGAGGAUGUCCUUAGCCACAGCAAGGAGGCACUAGAGUGAACUAAGAUUUAUGUUGUUUUCGCUUUUUUAUUCACUUACGACGUCAACGAGAAUGUUUUGCAAGCCUUUUGUGAACUUUGGCAUUCCUCGACCAAUACAAUUUGUGUCAGCAUCGAUGAGCUUUCUAUUUCAUUAUGGGACAUGCGUAUGAUUGGGGGCCUUCCAGUACACGAAACUUUCUUUGAUGAAGUCGUCCCUUCGGUCAAAGAAUUGUCACAAGUAGAUGAGCAAGGGAAGCCCUUUUUGCCUAAAACUUGUGCUUACUUAUUUUCAGCAUUCUAUAAGCUUUCAAAUGGUGCGUCGUCUAAGGAGGUUUCUAUCCAUGAUUGGGUGAAUUUUUGGUUCAAAGGACCGGAGCAGUAAAAGGAUCCUUCACCAUGAGGCCCUAAAUAGCCAGCUAAACCAAAGUCAAAUCACAGUCCGAAUGGCUACAUUGAUAUGUCGUUUUUACCACAAACAGAAGAAGAGAACGUCUCUUUCGUCGAGUUAGGUAUGGAAGGGUCUCUUAGAGAAGAGACAAACUUGGCUAUUUUUCUUGCUUGCUGGAUUUGCAAGUUCGUUCUUCCAAUUAAGAAACUUGACGACAUCCGUCCUAGCAUCUUUAAAAUUGCAAGUCUAAUGGCUCAUGGGGAGAGGUUUGCACUAGCAAUUCCCGUUUUAGCUAGUAUCUAUAGAGGCUUGACACCGAUCACAACUUCAACAAACUUAGGUGCAGGCGACAUAAUUUUUCCUAUACAAUAUGUCUAUGGAUGGAUUGGUGCGCAUUUUAACUCCUAUUAUCAAGCACGUCAUUACAAUGGUGCUCGCAUGUGUAGGAUUGCUGGGGAAAGGAUGGCUAGAAGCUUUGAUCUUUAUGGUGCAAGACGAUUAUUUCAAAAUAUAGAUAUCUGCAGUCUUCCCACCUAGUCCAUGCUACAACCCAAGGAGUUGUUUAUAGCAGACAAUGGAGAAUUGUCUAGUCCUUGGAACGAUUAUUUCAUUAGUUUUCGUUCGAGCUACGUUACUCUGCGGUGUGAUGAUCACUUUGUCAUAGAGCCUUACAGUCCCCAUAGAUUCAGCCGACAGUUUGGAUUUGUUCAAGACCUGCCUGGAAACUUCAUCAAAUGACCGUUUAACGACAAACUUGAAGAAUUGGUACGACUUUGGGACUCUUGCACCCGUCUUAGUAGUUCUUCAACCAUUAGUAUACCACCAUAUCCCGAAAGGACUCUAAAAACCAAUAGGUAUGCAAAUUAGUGGUAUAUUGGUCAACCAAACCUUGUUGGGAAAAAUAAAAUUGUCUUGAAAAUUCUCCUUCGUCCAUCGGAACAAGGUAAGUCUUCUACUUCCUCCCUUGUUAAGUCAAAGACGAGGUCGUUGUCUUCUAAGUCUUCCCCUUCUAGGGGUAAGUUGGUGAAAACUGGAAAACGAUCAAGUCGUCCUUCAUUGAAAUUGAAUGACACUCCUUAUAUGGCUUUGAAUAAGACUCGCAAGCGAAACAACGAUUAUUCUUUACUUGAGACUAAUAGUGGAAAGAUGCCAACCAAAAUUCCACUCGACGAUAAGAUUCCGCCUAUCCGCAUAGUUAAUGAAGUCGUAGAUACUAAUGAUGACACAAGCUCAAUGGAAGGAGACCAAGACCAACAUUGGAAGCGCAAAAUAAAAAAGGCAAAAGAACAAUCUAGUGAGUUUGUUGAUUUGGACAAUGCUACCAUAGAUAGCGAGGUAUUUUCUGUUAGUGACCCUAGCUACACUAUACCAUUGACUGAACUCGCAGAACAAGUAACAUUACUUCCUUCUCUCUCUUUUUUUAUUUAAGAAAAAUAAUAAAACCCAGCUAACGUUUUAUUUUUUGAAGCUGAAUCUCCAAGGCAUCUUUACCGAUACGCUUAAUGGCAUUUUUGAUGGCAUUACGAGUCCAAGUUACCUUGAUACAUCUUCUCUUCUUGUCACAGAUAUUUUGACAAACAACAUGGAGGUUGUGGUUUCCCAAGCUAAGUCGCCUAAAGUUCAUGCGCCUUCAUUGUGUUUAUCGUCAUUUGUGGCCCCAAAUUUUGAACCACAAGAGACGAUCUCUACUUUCAAGAAGUCUUACAUUCUUCAGAUGUGUGGUGCAUUUCAUAAAUGGCUAACCAUGUUCUCUGUUGAAUCUUCGAAUGACUUUUCAAAGUUGAAAAAUGGUGUGAACAUGCUUAUGGAGGAGCUCAAAGGAAUUAACGCCAUCAAUAUCUCUAUUCUAGAGGGCUCUGUUAAUACUUUCAUAAAAACAUAUGAGGAGUACGACGCUAUGAAGUCAUCUUCAUCCCUGAAAAUAACUAAAGAGCACCAUCAAAAAUUGCUCUCUGACGUGCAACAAAGCCUUGUUAAUGCAAAAGAGGAAAACACUAAGUAGAGAGGGCGCAUGGAGGAUCUCCAAUCAAAUCUUGCUAAGUUUGAUGAAGAAAUGAAGCUCUUAUCUGCGAAGAGGGAGAAGACUAUUUCAUGCAUAAAAGAGAAGAAAUAACGGUUGUCUAAAUGCCAAGAGAAGAUCAUCACUUUUGAGGGCGAGCUUCAUGCGAUUAGGGAGAAACAUCCAUUAUCCGAAGAUGAAGUGGAGACACUAUCCAAACUGAAAGAGACGGUUGACGAGAGUCGUCAGCAAAUUCUGGAAUUUCAACCUUUUCCAUAGUUUAGAUACUUGCUUAGGAUUUUUUUUUUUAAUUGCUUAUUAUGAUGUAGUGACAUUUUUCCUUUGGUGCAAUAAAAGUGACCUUUAGCUUUCAUUCAAUUAUUGUUUCGUCUAUUUCUUUUUUUUUUUAAAUGAUCAAGGUAGAUGAAUUUGCUCCCAAUCAUGAAUAAACUUUGAGCUCUGUUGACAACAUGUAUCAAAAUCAAACUCCUUUCCAAUUAACCGAAAUUAAUAUUUUUUUUUAAGUUAACCAUAAAUCUGUCAGAUUUUAUAGUUUUGCGUGGCUAUGGUAGAAAAUUCAUAAUUCGACGUACAAGCCUUUGAAUUAUAAACCGUCUUUUUUGUUCUGAAGAUAACACCAAGAGUUAAAACAUAGGUAAAAAUCAUGACCAUAUCCUUUACGGAUUUGUACAAUUUGUCCUUGAAGUCAGCUCAGUUCGAAACAUGAGGGUCUCUUUCGCAGCUUUGAGUGGCUACGGUAGAAAAUUCAUAACUCAAUGCAAAAGUCCUUGAAUUACGAACCAUCUUUUUUGUUGCAAAUAUAACACCAAAAUAUACAACAUAAGUAAAAAUCAUGACCAUAUCCUUUACGGAUUUGUACAGAUUCGUCAUUGAAGUCAGCUUAGAUCAAAACGUGAGGGUAUCUUUCGCAGCUUCAAGUGGCUAUGGUAGAAAAUUCAUAACUCGAUGCAGAAGUCCUUGAAUUACGAGUCGUAUUUUUGGUUGAAAAUAUAAAACCAAGAGAUACAAAAUAUGUAAAAAUCAUGACCAUAUCCUUUACGGAUUUGUACAGAUUCGUCAUUGAAGUCAGCUUAGUUCGAAACGUGAGGGUAUCUUUCGCAGCUUUGAGUGGCUAUGGUAGAAAAUUCAUAAUUCGACGUACAAGCCUUUGAAUUAUAAACCGUCUUUUUGUUGCAAAUAUAACACCAAUAGAUACAAUAUAUAUAAAAAUCAUGACCAUAUCCUUUACGGAUUUGUACAGAUUCAUCAUUGAAGUCUGUUUUACUUUACUUGUUUCUUCAUUUUUGCUCAUCUGUUGUAAACUAAGCGAAGAAACGUUCAAUUCAUGUGACAUCUAUGUCCUCUACAAGUAUUAUUGUCAUGCUCAAUUAAUGAUGAAUCCUUUUCCUUUACUCUUUUUUUAACUCAUAUGAUUGAACUUAGAGUAAAAGCAUACUCUAAGCUGCCUACGUACCUCGGGAGGAUCAAGUCAUAACGUAGUUCAGGAUGAUGAGUUAAUUUUUUUUAGAGUUGUUCACAGUUUAGACUUAUGUGGGCCAGGAGUAGACAUGCAGUUUAUACUCGUGCCUUAAGGAGUGUAAACGACCUUCAUGGAAAGUACUGCUUCAGGAACUUGCCGUUGAUGGGACCAACUCUUACACCAUCCUGAUCGACGAUCUUAUAAGAGCCACUUGAAUAUACUUCUUUCACAACAUAUGGACCAUCCCACUUAGAUGUAAACUUGUCACCUAUGCGUUUGUUGAGGAUUAUGGGUCUUCGAACUGCUAAGAUCAAGUCUCCUACUUGAAAUGAUCGCGGUCACACUCUCUUGUUGAAAGCUCUAGCAAGUCAAGCUUGAUAACACUCCAACUUUUGUUGGGCUUCUAAUCUCUUCUUGUCCAAUGCCUCUAACUCUGCCAAACGAAGUUGAGCAUUACUUUCAGUUGUAAGACCUUCUUGGAUCUCUAUUCGUAGUGAUGGAAUUUGUUGUUCUAGUGGAAGGACUUUCUACGCCAUACACCAACGAAUACGGAGUCGGUUGGUUAGCAAUUCUAUAGGUCAUACGAUAUGCCCACAAAGCUUCACCGAUCCUCUCAUGCCAAUCUCUUUUAUUUUUGGCAACCACUUUCUUCAAGAUGUUACCAAGUGUUUUAUUAAAAGCUUCAGCAAGACCAUUGGCAGCGCAUUGUACAGUGAAGACUUAUGUUGCCUAAAAUUAAACUUUUCGCACAAAGUCCUCAUGAGCUUAUUAUUGAAGGGCGUUCCAUUAUCAGUAACUAUGUAUCUUGGUACGCCAUACCUGAAGAUGAUGUUUGACUUGAUAAAAUCAACAACAUUUUUCUUUUUCACCUCUUUUAGCGGCACGGAUUCAACCCAUCUCGAUAAAUAAUCGAUAGCAGUAAGAUGUACAUAUGACCUUUUGACGUCUUUGGGAGAGGUCCAACAACAUCAAGUCCCCGCGCAUCGAAAGGCCAUAAUGCUAUAGUUGGAUGAAGAUGCUCUGAAGCCUGAUGUAUAUAAUUAGCAUGAAAUUGACAUGCUUGACACCUUUUGGCAUGCUCUAGACAGUCCAUCACCAUUGUUGGUCAGUAGUAGCCCAUCCUUUUGAUGCGAAAAUAAAGUUUAGGCCCUGAUUGGUGUGCUACACAUAUGCCAGAAUGUGAUUCCUCCAUUGUUUGUUGAGCUUCUUCUUUGUUAAGACACCGUAAGAGUAACCCCUCGUAGGAACAACGAAAUAAAAUCCUUCAUUAAAGAUGAAUCGUGGUGCCCUUCUCCUAAUGUCUGCUCUUUUUCGUGGAUCCUCGGUCAGCCUUCCAUGUUCAAGAUACUCAAUUAGUUAUUUUCUCCAAUCUUCUUCUUCAAUGACUCGGACAGAUGUAUGGAGGCUUUCGUCUAAUUGAAGGUCAAGGCAACCGGGAAUAGCCCAUCGAUGACUUACUUGAACCUUUGUUGACUCAUUUUCUCUGAGUGCCAUCGUCGUAGCUAAGUUUGCCAGAGAAUCCGCCAUGCGAUUUUCUUCUCUUGGGACGUGGUUUAAGAACACUUUACCAACCUUUCAAGCAAACGCGUAGUAUAUCGAUGAUAUGGUAUAAGGUCUUCUUUCUUCACCUUGUAAUUGCCUAAGAGUUGAUUUAUGAUCAACUUAGAGUCACCAUAGAUAUCCAAUUGCGGAAUCUUCAUAUCUGAUGCCAUUUCAAGUCUAAUAAUUAAAGCUUGGUGCUCUGUUGCGUUAUUGGAACAUGUUUCACCCAGAACAAAUGAAAAUGUCAAGAUUAUUCUUUCUGGUGAUAUCAACAUGACACCUGACCCUGCACCAUCUUGACGUGCUGAUCCAUCAAAGAGCAUUGUCCAUGUCGGCAUUUCUUAAGUAAAUAAUACAUCUUCAUCAGGAAACUUAUCCCAAAUCUCCCAUUCUGACGGCAGGGGGUGAUCAGCUAAGAAAUUAACAAGUGCUUUUCCUUUUACAACCUUUUGAGGCAUGUAUAUGAUCUCAUAUUAGUUAAACAAUAUAGAGCAUCUGGCUAGACGUCCUGAGAGAACUGGCCGAGUCCUCACGAACUUCACAGGAUCAGCUCGAGAAAUUAGCUUGAUGGUGUAUGCUUCAAAAUAAUGCCUUAAUUUCUUUAUCGCAUAAAGCAAAUCCAAACACAUCUUUUCAAUGGGCGUAUAAUUUAACUCAGCUCCUAUCUAAGUUUGACUUAGAUAGUACAGUGCUUGUUCCCUCUUGGCUUCAUUAUCUUGAGCCAGAACUGCUCCAAGUGAUCACUCUUGUGAUGCAAUGUAAAGUAUCAAUGGCCUACCAGGAGUUGGUGCCCCCAAUACAGGUGGAUUCAAUAAGUAUCUUUUGAUAAGUAUUUCGACAUGAUUGAUCCCAGUGGAAUGGGGCAUCUUUCUUCAUCAGAUGGCUGAAGGGUUGACAACGUCCAGCCAAGUUAGAGAUGAACCUCCGAAUGAAUGCCAAAUUUCCUUGCAGACUGCGGAGGUCUCUUAAGUUCCUUGGCUCCGGCAUUUUCCAAAAUGGCACCAAUCUUUGUGGGAUCAACUUAAAUUCCACAGUGACGCACAAUAAAGCCAAGAAACUUUCCCGAAGGAACUCCAAAUGCGCAUUUGAGUGGAUUCAUUUUCAAGUCAAAUUUUCUUAACCUCUCAAAAAUAAUACGAAGAUCAUCAAGAUGGUCGUCCCUACAUUUUAUCUUUACCACUAAGUCGUCGACGUAGCAUUCCACCUUCUUAUGCAACAUGUCAUCAAAAAUAUUUUACAUUGCACGUUGGUAGGUGGCACCCAUAUUCUUUAGACCAAAUGGCAUCACCUUGUUGUAGUAUAUCCCUUUUGGAGUUUGAAAAGUAGUGCAUUCUUUGUCUCUUGGGGAUAUUCUGAUUUGGUUAUAUCCGGAAGAUCCAUCCAUAAAUGACAUAGCUUCAUGUCCAAUCAUCACAUCAACCAUGAGCUCUAUGAUUGGUAUCGGAAAAUCAUCCUUCGGACACGCUUUGUUCAAGUCUCAAAAAUCAACGCACACACGUAUUUGGCAUUUUUCUUUUUGACAGGUACAAUAUUUGAGAUCCAUGAUGGCUAUUUCACCUCUCAAAUAAAUCCGGCUUCGAUGAGCUUAUUAACCUCUACUUCAAUUUGUGUUACUAGCUCAAGGCGAAACACUCGUUGUGACUGCUUUACAGGACGUGCCCCUUUUUUGAUCCCAAAAUAAUUAAUAGCUACCUUAGGACUAAGGCAAGACAUUUCUUUGUAUGACUAGGUGAAGACAUCUUUGUACUCAACUAAUAACUUGAAGUAGUUCUGCUCUUCUUGCGGUGUAAGAAGUGUACUAACAAAGGUUGGGUGCGGAUUCUCCAAUGUACCGAGGUUUAUCUCCUUAAGUUCAUCUACAGUCGAUUGUACUCCAUCCUCUAGUUGAGGGGGUGCUUCUUGAGCAUCAUCAUCCAUUUUAUCAUGGCACAGAUUGUCCUCCACUAUUAUAUGAUAUGAUACACUGGCUUCCUCUAGAUCCUCUUUUGUUUCUCUAAGUUGUUGGUUGGUAAAAACAAUAGUUCUUUUUCUUACCUUUAACUAGACAUCUGUGGUAAUUGACAAAAUAGACUUUCUUUUCAUGCGCGAUGGGAAAGCACUAUGAAUUUCCUUAUCAUCAAUGUCCUCAGAGAAAUAUUGUUGUUCGUGCCCCAAUAAUGUCUUUCUAGAUUAUGGCUUUUCUGUGGCUCCCAAGAGAAGAAAAAUAGAGGCAUCCGCAGUGGUGACACGUCCUUCUACACAGUUAGAAGCUCCACUUCCAUCUUUACCUCCUAAUCUAUCAAAUACAGAGACACGAGGUGUUGAUUUUCCUAUGCGAUUUAACACUAAGUUCCAUUAUGGUAUUUUCUCGUCCCCACCCUUCUUUUUCCCUUCUACUAAGAUAUGGUGAGAUGAAGUCAUUUCCUUCACCUUCCUAGCUGAAAUUCGAAGAGGCUCUGGCAAUUUUGAAUCCUAGCCCAAACUUAGGAGUGGUGACGUAAUGUCCUUGCUUUCACAACUUUAUUUGGGAUGUUGUAAGGCCGUGUAUUUUUUCGCCAGUGACUUCAUCCUUGAGCUCUCCUAGUCUUAUCGGAUUGGAGAAGUCAUAACCUGAUUUUUCAAGUAAUGUGAAAGCCUUUUGAUUAAAGUGACCUUUUAUCUUUUCAACUAAGGUGUCAUUUCUUGAGGACACAAGAGUAUUAGCUUGGAUUUGUACGAUUGGUACUGUCAUACUCUUCUUCAAAUCUUGCAACAUUUCAUGGCUUAUUUCUUUUCUUGGAUGGAGAACUUAUUGAGUACAUGCUUCUAGCAAGGGUUGUCCUUCUCUUCGACGCUCACGUGGAAUGUAGCUAAAUAUUAAAUGCUCAUCAUCUGUCUUUGCUUUUAUGUCUCCUUCAGAUGAUGAGAACUUAAUGGCGAUUACUUCAGUACUUUCCUUAGACAUCUUAGCAACACCCGCCUGCACUCCUACCUUUUCUUUUGAAUUAACCCCAGUUGGGUUAGAGGGUGUUGGUUUCUUCAUGUCUAACUCACAAGGGUCCAAAUAGAAUUUCACAUCUGCAAAGUACGACUCUGUUUCUGUGAAAGGAUGAAUAUCUGCAUCAACUUUAACUACCUCACCAUCCUUCAUAUACUUCAUGCACUGAUGUAAAGUAGAUGUCACCACUCCAUUUUCAUGCAACCAGGGGCGUCCAAGAACCAAGUUGUUUGAUGUCUUGGCGUCUAUGACGUGAACCAAAAUAUUUGAUUUCAUAUUGCCAAUGGAUAAUUCUACGGAUAUUUUUCCCAUGGCUCGCUGCCCUCCUUGAUUGAAGCCUUGAAUUGUUAUAUUUCUUUUGGACAGUUCAUCAAUAGAGAUUCCAAGACUUUUGAGCACUGUCCUUGGCAUGAUAUCAGUAUAUGAUUGAGAUGUUGUUCUCGAAUAACUCCUACAACAAACAAAGGCCUGUUAUGCAAUUUGGACCCUAACAACAAGUCAUCAUCGGUGAAGAAAAUUACAGCAAAACACUGUGCAACUGCUGGCUUAACAUGACAUUCUUGUGCUAUUGUUAGAUGCUACUCUUGUUUACUUCCCUUGGGUUCUUCUAUGCUGGAAAUUACAUGCAUCACCCUAACUUGGCUAUCUUGAAGGAAUUUUUUCAGAAAAAAUUCAUGCAACAUGAUAGGCCUUCGGGCCUUCUAUGACAAGAAACCACUAAUCUUCUUUCUAGCAUUAAACUUGACACUUUUUGAUGGUCGCAGUUGAUCCACAUUAUGCCCCAUCACUUUCAUCUUAGGAAGUCGUAUUCUUGGAACUACUCGAUGUCUUCUUUUCUUAUGAGAUACAAGAGUCCAGCCGUUAUCCUUAUUAUUCUCAGAAUUGUCAUCUACCUCUAUUGCAGCUUUAGAAGUUCUUCUUGGGGCAUCAACUUCAACCGGCCUGAAGCUUCCAAAAUGCAAUAAGAUGGUGCUUCUCAUAGUCUGCGGCAUGGAGCAUUUUUGUUGAUCGACAACGCUAUCAUGAUUUGCAUCCAUGGUUUCAUCCAUGUUGAUGAUGAUUUUUCCUUUACUUACUAGUGUCAUGAUUUUCUUCUUCAAAACGAAGCAUUUUCCUGUCGGGUAGCCAAUGACGCGAUGAAAUUUGCAGUACUUAGGAUCAUUAACCCUAUUAAUUUCCUCAGGCCUCUUUGAUUCCAGAAGAUCAAUGGCUUUUUUGGCCAACAAUUCAUCAAGGAUCGUAGGUACGUCUGAAGCUGGAAAUGGGUAAAAUUUUGCUUCCAACUCUUUCAAAGUUGGACGACGUUUUCCCUCCCUUGGCUGUUGCUUUAAUGUUUCAUAUUCCUUCACUUUUUUCUUCAUCGUGACCUUUACGGAAGUUUUUUUCACCUCCAUGGAUUCUUUAGUAUGGAUCUUUGGGGUCGUAGCCUUCUUGAACUCUUUUUUUUCUGUAGUAAGAUCAACAAAAAGAGACGUCUUCCCAUGACUUGCGAUACUUAACUCCAUGUCAUGUGCUCAUAUAGCAAGUUCUUCAAAUGUUUAUGGUUUGAUUCCUUGUAGUAUGUAUAGAAGGCCCCAAUGCAUUCUUUGAGGGCACAUUUCUACAGCGGAUAUUUCAGAAAGGAAAUUUUUGCAGUCCAAACUCAAUGACCUCCAACAAUUGAUGUAAUCCACCACAGGUUCAUCUUUUCUUUGCUUAGUGCCAGUCAACUCUAUCAUACUCACAGUUUAUCGAGUGUUGUAAAACUGGUUGAGAAAUUCCAUCUCGAGCUACUCCCAACUAUCAAUUGACUCAUGCUCUAAGUCGAUAUACCAGUCAAAUGCAUUCCCUUUUAAUGAACGAGCCAACUGUUUCACCAGGAAAUCGCCGUUUGUUCUAGCAUUACUGCAAGUUUUGACAAAGUGAGCUCUUUAGUGGUUGAUAGUUCGUUGGCAUGGAUAGACAGUCAAUUUGCCUUUUGUAAGGCUCGGAGUAAUACAAUGAACUUUGUAGUGCUCUGCCAUAUUGAGCCCUGAUAGAGUUAGUUAUCAUGUCUUGCAACUGCUGAACAGAUAGAGCCCCAACCAAAGUAAACUGUUUCUCUUUUUGAGAUUUAGUGUUUCUAGGAGACUCAUCAACACUCUUAUUUUGCUGAGUAAAGCCGGAUGGAUAAGCAAGGUCGUGGCUUGAUUCUCCAGGGGCAAAGGACUCCAACUUGUUCAUCAGUUGAGCGAUUUGAAGAUCUUUAUCCUCAACAGAUUUCUGUAAAACUUCAAUGGUUUGUUCCAUUAUUGUGAACUUCUCAUCCAUAUCAGUUACGUCAGCCAUCAAGGCAUUGACCUUUAUUGAAACCGGAGCAUCAAUCGAAUCUUCUGAUCCACUAAAAUUGACGCCAGUCUGAGAAAGUUCAUCACAUAGCAAGGAUGUCAAGUUACCCCCCAGGAGUUGUGAUUCCAUCCGCCAUAUGAGAUUUGCUCUUUUUUGCCUUCUUCAAAGAAAUAAAGUAUUCACAUCUGUCCCAACCACUAGUCUUCAACUUGCGCCGAGUGAGUGGACCAACAUGGAUGAGCUCAUCAGAUGUGGCAGUAGCAGAGUUCUUGCAUGAGACAACUUUAGUAUUUUUGAAGUCCAUAGCAGUGGUUGAAUUUGAUCUCGCAGGAAGAAGAGAUGGAGAGUAAAACUGGUCCCACUAGGCGUGCCAAUUUGUUUGCAACAUAAUUUAAAUUCAUGGAAAAUAAAUUUUAACCACAAACAAAAAUAUGAAGCAACAAGAAUUUUAUAUUGAUAAACGAUUGUGGUUACAAAUCUGUUCCUCCCUUGAUUCUUCUCUCUUGAUUUUCUGCGUAAUUGAGGGUCGUUAGUGACUUAUUCUCGAAUAUAGGAUGAUCUUUUUAUAAAUAUCCCAUGAUUUUUUGUGGGAUAUUGAGAUCCCGAUCUUUUUACGACUACAUAUUCAAGAUGCCUGUUUCAGAGAACAUGUUACCUUUUAAAUACGCAAGAUUUAGGGUAAAGUAGACUUCUAGAACUCUAACAGAAUUUGAAUUGUCCACAACUUUUAGAUGUCUACAAAUAACCUCUACUUCAAGGCUUGUCGAAGUGUAGACUUGAUGACGAGUCUUGAAGUACACAUAGAGGGCUACAGAUAUGCAGAAUUUAUGAGAGAAGAGAUGAAGGACAAAUUUGGUCCCACUGGGCAUGCCAAAAUUUGUUCACAACAAAUUUUUGUGGAUGCGGAAAAUUAACUGCAAGCAAAAAUAAAUAAAAAGAAAUAAUGAUUUUAUAUAAACAAAAUUUGUGGGUACAAUUCCGUUAUUCUCUAGAUUCUUCUCUUCUAAGUUUUUUCGUGAUUCGAGGACCUUUGCAGCGUGAUUCUCGAAUGUAGGAUGAUUUAAGCCUCCUAGAAAUGCGUUUGGAUCUCCAGAAAUUGUCUGACAACACUUCGUCGUGUCGAGUUGACCUUCGGGCAGAACUCCGUUGGUCGAUUCUUUGAAGAGCUAUGUAGUCAAUGCAGAAGCUUCCUCCUAUGCUUGUUGAAUGACCCUUUAAAAUUAUGUAACCCUCCUAUUUAUAGUUGGAGGGGGUAGGCAGUCCAAGUGUAAAUAACCUCUUCUGCCUCAUUCUGAUUGGUCCAUUCAAUUAUCAAGCAUAUCACAAAUGUUAUGUGACAAGGUUGCUUGUGAUUGGCCAAAAACAUAUUAUUUGGGACACUUGGCGAUGUUUCAUUGACUCUUGAAUUUGACUUGGAUUGUCACCUCAUUUGAUUGUGUGGCCUUGUCUCAUUUGUUUUUAAUUUAACUGGGAUGCCAUGUCAUUUGACACAUGACAUGAGUUUGGGCCUCAAGGUGAGAUGGACCUUGAUGAAGAAUAAAACGGGUUUAUAGCCCAAAAUAAUUUUAGAUCCAAUAAAAUAUGGAUCAAAUCCAAAUUUUAUAUGAAUUUGAUUCAAUAAAUUUUACGUGUCUACAACAAGAUACGUACGAUUGCUUCUUUAUUAGAGAGCUUAACUUUUCAAAAUAACUAAACAUUUGGAGACUUGAACACAUAUCAUUUAUGUCCAAAAGAGCUCCAACACCCAUAUUACCUAGAUUAGCAUGACACUGUUCAUGCUUUUAUUUCAUAUAGUAGCAACCUUUGUAUCCCGUGCAACAGGUGGUGCAUCCAGUGGGGUAAUGUAUCGUCUUUCCUUGUGAAAGUGGAUAUUUUUCAUAGAGACAUAGCGAAUAGGCAAUAUUUGGAUCACAAUUCUUAGGGCAAUCUUUUGGGUUGUUGGGUUCAGACUCUCCUUCACAAAUAAAAGUCCCAUCAGCACUGUAAUAGUUGCAACCCUUACUGCCUGCACAACAAUUGAUGCAUAUGCGAUUUUCUGCACUUCCUUAGAAACGUGGACACUUUGAAUAGGCAAUUCUUGUAUCACAAUUUUCAGGGCAAGCUUUUGGGUUGUUGGGGUCAGACUCUCCUUCACAAAUAAAAGUCCCGUCAGCACUGUAAUAGUUACAACCCUUGUAGCCUGCUCAACAAUUGGUGCAUAUGCGAUUUUCUGCACUUCCUUCUGAACGUGGACAUAUCCCAAACCCAAGAUUACCACAUUCUUUGGUACAAGCCUUGGCAUCAACAUGUAGAAGCAAUAUUCCUACAAUAAAUAUAUAAGAUAUACAUAAAUAUUAAGGAAAAACAUAACACCACUUGUGUGGAUCACUACUACAAAAUCAAUAUUUUCCAACUAAAAUUUCCCGCUGAAAAGGUGCAUAAUAGUUAAAAAUGUAUAAAUAACAUAAAUACCAAUCAUUUUGAAAGUAAUUACACUUUCUCCCACUUUUUUAAUUACUUUACUCUCUCUCCCUAUUAAUAUACAUAACAUAACCGACAUAUACAUAGCUUUCUGUGUAUAUGUUGGGAUUUUUGUAAUAUGUUUAGGGAGCUGAGUUUUUUGUAAUAUUGAAAACAUAAGUUGUGUAUUUGUGCAAUUUUUAGUUUAAAAAUUAGGAAGCUUUCUAGUGUUCUAAUGAGAAUCAUUUUUUCACCAUGCAUUUUCUAGUUAUCCAGAAAUUAGGUGGGAAAUGGGAUCGAAAAAUCCUUUUUUAUAACGCAUAUUUUCUAUUGCUUCGCGGUGGGAAAACCUUUGUCUCUAACUGCAUAUAUAUCAAUGAAGAAAUUAAAGAGAAAAAGGAGAAAGGAAAAUCUUACCAAGAACAAGUAGGUAAGCAAGGAAACUAACUUCUUUGUGAACAACCAUAUUAUGAAUCGAUGGUGAUUAUUUACCUUGUUUUUGUUAUGGAUGAGGAAGUCUACCCAUCACCACCUAUUUAUAGCAAACAAAUAAAAUAUACGUGGCUAACUAAAAUUUUUAUUUCACAUUAAUAAAAGAUUGGAAAUUAGGUACUUACGCUUGAUUCUUUGUUAGAAAGCUUAUUUUUUCUUACUUGUUAUAUUCCUUCUAAUAAUUAAGCAAGUUGUACUGAGUACUGACCCCGACUUGCUUGUUUUUGAAAUAUUUUUCAUCUUGCAAUAAUUUUUCAUAUCCAUGAACCAUGAUACUGUAUGUAGUAUUCUAGUUGAUGGACAAUAAUGGAUUAUUGUGCAGACAAGGGAGUAGUCAUAUCCAUUUACUACAUAGUUGAUGGACAAUAAUGGAUUAUUGUGCAGACAAGGGAGUAGUCAUAUCCAUAACUAAAACCUGCGAACGAUGUACAAUGAUUGAUUGGCACUCCUUCCGUCUUCAUAACCUAUAUGUUUGUUUUCAAGUUGAAGUGUUUUUUAAAGAAAAAUAUCAUUGCUGAAAGGGGUAAUUAUGUAUUAUCUCAUAACUAAAACAUGCCAAUGGAGUACAGUGGCUACUGGUUUUGCAUAUUUUAAAAAUAUAUUUAUUCUUUUCGCAAUUAAUUAUUUAAUUACGUUAAAUUGAUGAAUAUCACUAAGCAUUGAGCAAUAAAAUUGUAAAGACAUAUUUAUGUUGAAUAUUAGCGAUGGAAAUCUCACAGUUAAAGAGAAUAUUUGAAAAUGAAUAAUUUUACAAACAUGAAUAUGAAAUAAUGUAAUGGUGAUUGAAACUGAACCAAUUAAAGCUAGGAAUCAAAAGGCAACAACUUAGCCUCUAAGUGAUUUGUAUGUUACCUCGCAAACAAUCUUCCUUCCCCUAAUAAUUAAGACUACGACUUGCUUAGCUUGUUUUUGAAAUUCUGUCAUCUAGCAAUAAUUUUUCAUAUCCAUGAUGUUGUAUCAAAUAUUCUAGUUGAUGGACAAUAAUGGAUUAUUCUGCUGACAAGGGACUAAUCAUAUCCACGACUAAAACGUUUUAACUUUUAACAAUGUACAAUGGUAAAAUUUCAUUUUUACGCUAUCUAAAAUAAAAUAUUAGUACCACGUCUUUUAAUAUUCAGAAUUUUUAUUUUAUUUAUUAAUAAGAUAAUUUAUAAUCUUAUUUAAGCUCAAAUUCCAUAAUGUAUAUAUAUUUUUGUUUCUUGAAUUCCAUAUGCUGUCAAACAAUACUAUAUAUAUUCAGCCAUUAUGGAUGCUUUAAUUUGUCAAAAUUAAUUUAUUUAUAGCUAACGAGUGAUCAACUAACAAAAAGAUAAGCCAGGAUCCAUCAAUUGAUAGAAAUUUGUUUUCUUUUUGUUUCUACUAGCUAGUGCAUUAAGUUUGGCAGGGUCGUAGGUGCAUACUUUAAAAAAAAAAAAAAAAAAAAAAAUUAAAAAAACGGACAUAACACACUUGCUUCACUAUUGAAUUAUUCAUAAGCGGUUUUUAAUUAUGGUUCACGAGGUACUACUAUUAGAACGCGAAAACAUUUUUUCUGCCAAACUUUUAUUAAAUAAUUUAAGUUCUAUGUAAAAAUAUAUUUUAUAAUUAUAUCAUUUUUAAGGUACUUACAUAUGUAUGUGUCAUGAUUCAAGCCGAAUUCUGGUCUUAAUGGGCACCCCGAACCAUGGAGAUCCAAGAAGAACCCUUAACAUACUAACAAAAACAUAAUUCAUGUAAAUUGCAAAUAUAAGGAAACUAAAGGAAAUCUUAAUAACAAUCUUCAGAUCCAACAUUCAUAACAAAACAUCUAUCUAAUCCAGUGUAUGAAACCUCUACUAACGAUUAACUAUCUAGUUCGGGACAAGGCCCUGAUCGGACCAUAAAAUUGAAUAUCUAAUUUAUACACCUUUCGAAAGAUGGAUGAUGACUUACCAAACAUGACACUUCGGAAAAUUCUACUGCUGUGUUGGACCGUGAGAUUGUGUCUCAGAACCUACAUUAUAAGAUAAUGUAACCGCCUGAGGACGGUCAAUACUUGAAAUUUAUUGACAUGAAGAACGACCAAAUAAAAUAACAUUUAAAUAGCAUUAGCAGUAACGUUAUACAAAACAUAAUAUGGGGUUACAAAAUAUCAAAACGACAUGUAAACAUAAAUUUCAGUUCAAAAGCUAAUUUCUGAAACUAAAUUAUGAUGUUUGAUAAUUCUGACUAGGCGGCGUACCCGACAUGGCCUAAAAACCCCAUGGCCUAUGCAGAGUUCGACUUUGACUCGUCGGUCAGGCCCCCAAUCCAAGUUUUUCACAAGGAUUGAAGUGUCUGCGUCUGGUAUUCCAAAGUAAGAAGCGAGUAUACAAUGAUCAUCUGUAUUUUAGGACAGGAUAAAUUUCGCAUCGGUGAAACACGAUUUUGAAAUAUGGCCGUCUUCUCAAUUAGCUACCUAAUUCUCUUUAAACCCAUAUUUUAGCCUUUUAAAACAUGAAUCUCUCGUAAGACUUGCAAGCUCAAAAUUAAAAGCCAUUUUUCAUGUUCCGGUUAAUCUCUACAUGUCAUGAAUCAUUUACCAUCAUAAGGUAUUUCAAAGUUCAAUUAAUAAAGCUCUUCAAAUCAAUGUGAUAGUUUAGUCAAAGAGAUUUCUCAUUCAUGUUUCUUGUAAAAAUCUUAGGGAACUCGCCCCAUUCAAUCGUAUUCAAAUAAACACCAUAAGUAGUAAGUGUAACACCCCAUAUUUUUGGGCUAAAAUUCAAGCCAUUGUUUCGAAGCGUAUAGAUCCGAACCCAAUGAUUCCUUGUUAAUAUAUGUUUGAUGAUCAAUUCUAUAGUGUGGGAAUACCUUUGAAUGUGAAUUGAGGUCACAAAAAUCCCCUCACUCAUAGACGAGUUGAGAACUUUUCUAUCGAUUAAGUUUUAGUGAACGUUUCAACUUGGGUCAACUUUCAAUGACCAUUACUCCUAGUAUAUAAUGAGUUACGUGACCUACUAUAUACCAAAUGAAAUAUCUUCGAGUUUUAUUUCCAACGCAACUAGUUUCACUUUAAUCCGAUAUCGGAGUAAAAAAGUUACGCUCGUUUUACUAAAAGGUAUCUGUCAGCCAAAGCGCGAUGGCCAGGGUGAUGGCCCAUCGCACUAGUGACGGCCCAUCGCACCAGUGAUGGCCCGUUGCACCAAACCAUCACCCUUAAGCAGAAAGACUAAAAAUUGGUCAUUUUGUGAUGGUUGGAGUGACGGUCCAUUAUCCAAACCUUCAGUAGGGACCGCUCUGCACUGUUAUAACGUUUUUAAAGGGGUAUUUUGAUAUUUUCCUCACCUCAAACGUUAUCCCCACGACUUAAAUCACACUUUAAACCCUUUUUACUAAUAAAAUUUCAGUUUCUCAUCACUCAUUCCCCUCUCCUCCCUCAAAGAGAGAAAAAUUAGGAUUUCCUCCCAAGACUCAUACUUCUAAGGCUUAGAUUCAAGACGUCUCAAAUUUUGUUCAUCAAAAAGGUAUGUGGGACUAUCCUAAAUCUCAUGGGCAUAAAUUUUUAUGUUUCUAACAAGUUUUAAAGAUAGAUACGUAUGUAUAUGAAAAGUGUUUUGGAAAUUAUUUGAAGAGCAUACAUCAUGAACCCAUUUUGAUUAAAGAGUGAAUUUAUCAUGGGGUUCUUCCAUAAACUUGAGUUGUAAUCAUGUGCAUAUAUGAUAUGAGUUUCGAAGAGUGUUUUAUGAGUAUGAUUUGUGAAAUUCCCUUUUUACAUGAUGAAAUUAUGAUCUUAACAUGUUAUGUAUUGUAAAUUUGGUUUGAGAGCAUGAGCUAUAAGUCCCCUUUUUUAUCAUGAGAUUUAUGUGUGUCAAAUGUUGAGGUUGUUUUAUGAUUGAUGAUAGUUCUUGGAUUUUAAAUCCAUCUUGAUUAUUAUACAUGGUUGUUUUACAUGUUUUCAAAGAGGUGAUUUCUAUUCUAAAUGCUAUAAUUUUCCAAUGAAGAAACUGUAUGUGAUUAAUGAAAGAAUUGACCACCAGGUGUUAAAGUCUUGAAAAGAUAGUGUGUUUGCAUAAGUUUCAUCUGCUUUUGAAAAUAAGAACUCUCAUGUGAUUUGAUAAAUCUUUUGGUGGUCAUCUGGAUUAUGUUGAAUAAAAAGGGCUAUGGAUAUAAUGUGAUAUGAUAUGAAUGACUUGCAAGUCUGGGUAUGAUGAUACCCUGUUAUGAUAUGCCCUUAAAAGAAUUAGAAAUUAACUUUUAUAAUCAUGAAGCAUGGUUUUAAAGAAUUAAAAUUGGGGCUAAAGAGAGUUAGAUGGUUACCCAAAGAAGGCACGAGUUUAGAUAACUCACAGCCCUAAACUGUAUUUUGUCGAUGCGGUUUUUUUUUUUAUAGAAAGGUAUGUCAUGCAAUAGGCAUAUCCUUUUCUGUGACAUGAUAUGUCAUGCAAGAGGCAUACUUAGUGAUUAUUAUGUACUCCAAUCCUAGCAGCAAACUUGGAUUGGUGGCUUGGACGCCGAGUUAAGGGUGGAUUCCAUAUAAUCCAUGAGAUUGUAGAAAUGUAGGUUGUACCAUCUAGCUCAGAAGUAAAGCAAAAAGUUGAGUCAUGAUUACAAGAAAAUAUUUUGAAGCUCAUCAAAUUAUGCACAUGUGUUUUCGUAAAGCAUAUGCUACAUUGCUUUAUGAAAUGCUCUCACUUAUGUUGUAUAAAAAUAUAUGUUAUAUUUUUAGAUUGUUCUACAUGCCAGUACUUUCAAGUAUUGACCCCAUGUAUUUUAGGUUCUGAGGCACAGUCCUGUGGUCCCAUCAACCAGUAGUUUAUUUUCAGAUAUUCAGAGUUAGUGAGUCUCCCUUACUUCAGAAGGCAUAUCUUUUAUGUGUGGUUUCCUUUUUAAUUUUAUGGUCCGUCCGGGGGCCUUGUCCCAGCUUAGACAAACUAGUACGCUCAAUUCAGUAGAGGCUUCAUAAUACAUGUUAGAUUGGAUUUGGGUUUUUCUUAUGGUUUGAUUUCAUGAAAUUUUAAGUUUGGUUUGGGACUACCAUGUUUCAGGUUAUCUUCUGCACUUUUACACCAUAUGAGUUAUGAUUAUGAUUACAUGCUAAGGGGUUUCUCGGGCCUUCAUGGUUUAGGAUGUCUGUCAUGGCCAGGGCCUUGGUUUGGAUCGUGACAGUAAGUAAUUUACAACACAAUUCAUGCAUGUUCUUCACAACCAUAUGCAUAUGGAUCGAUAAAUCAAGUGAAGGAAAUAUUCAGAACCCUAUUCGUUUUAUCAAUCACAAUAUAAUAUAUAUAUAAGUUUAACAAAAUACAUGAGUGCAAAUUUGAAACAUGCUUGCAUAGUUAAAUGGAAUUUCAUACUUAAAUCACUAAAAGAAUUUAAGAGAAUAAUAAUUAAACCCCCAUAGAUUUUAGGUCGUUCUACAUACCUUUGAUGAUAGAGAGAAAUUCAAUAAAAGUUAACCUUGGGGCUCUUCUACAUAACUUCCCAAUCUCUUGACUUAGAUGGGGAGAAGAGAAUGUUUUGGUGUUGAUUUAGGGUCAAUCCCAAUUUGGGAAAACAUAUUAGAAUAUUAGGGGAUGAUUUUUAGGCGUAUAAGGACCAAAAUACUCCAUAGACAUUUAAGAACCUUGGAAAAAUGACAUAGGGGGAGGGGUGUAUGCAGCGUGACCCCCAUUGGGUAACGGAGGCCUCAAGGCGAGACCAUCAUCGCACGACAGAGGCCUCGCGGCGCGACACCUAGCAUGAGUUAGCCCUCUUGCGGCGCGGGCCCUCUGCAUGGGUGAGGCAGCGGCACUCUGCGGUGGCCCUCAUGAUGUGGGGCUAUCGGCGGGGUCUUCUUCGAGAUGCACGACCUAUUUUUUCAUCUAAAGAUGCCCCCAACCCAUCCGAACCCAUCCUUAAGUGGUUUAUUCUCUAUAUAGAGGUCACAUGGACUCGUUCUUAGCUCUAAUCACAUGUAAAAACACUCGGGUUGUUAAAAUAUGAUAGUUAUUAAUAAUUGAUAACCUGUAGAAAAAGUAAUUGUCCUGUUCUAGAACAUUAGUAGAUCAUUAACAUAGAAGUGCAAGUAAACAUCAAAACCGUUGACCUAUAGCCUUUAUUAUAUUGUAAAAACUAUUUGAAAAUUAAAAGACUACAGAACAAAAUAUGAACGGUUCAGAAAGUUAUAAAGGAAUUUCGAACAUCACUGCAUACAUGACAUUUGGAUAAUACAUAAGGAAUUGGUAGUGACCUUAAGAUAGAUAAAAAAGAGCAUAAUUUUAUAUUUCUUCUUAAUUACUUCAACUGUUGGGUUUGAUUAUAGGUACCAUCCAUUUUGAACUUGCCAAAACCUUCAUCCAUCAUGUAUAGGUCGAACCAAGCCUGAUAUAAGGGCAAGUCAAUAGAAAAUAACCUUUUCUUUCCUGCCUCCUUGACCUAUAUUUUACAUUACCAUUGUAUAUAAACCAAAUCAAAUAAUUAACUCACCUUUGCACUUGAUAAUUGAGCAAAGUGAUAAGUGUGAUUAUGGAUUAAAAAAAGAUUAAAUCAAUAACACAUGUAGAAGUUAAGUUAAUGUAUUUGUUCGCGCAACAAAUACAGUCUAUAUCAACUUUAUAUAUUUUUAGACUUGAAGUUACAAAAUUAUGUCCAAACAAAAUAUAAAUUCUACAUUUCAUCAUAAUUUUGUUCGCAAUCAAUCGAUCUGUUCUGAAAUUUCCUUCAAAAUAGCGAGCUGUGAACCACUAAUACAAAACAUGUAUAUUUAUGUGAUUGCAUCCUGUAUUUGGGUGUGUAUUUGGGGUGUAUUGUUAUCUUUUAUGUAUUCGAGUAAAAGAAUCUGUAUAUAAGAAACACAAACUUCGACACUAGUUCAAGUCCAAGACAAGAACAUUUAUGAAGUUCUGUAACACCUUCAACACUAGAUUACGAAUAAUUUAUCUAAGAAGUGUGUUCAGAUUCAUAAAAGAGAUGAAACAGAAUGUAAGACCAAGUCCUCCGAAUUCACAGAGUGUCCUUAAGGAAUAAUUUCCCUCACAGUACCCGAGGUUUAGGAAUCUCACUCCCAGGAUAAAAUGUCCUUCAAUCUAAACAAUAGCGGUAACUCAAAUUGUUGGAUUCAGCGAACUCACUCAACAGUUUGAUAGAUCACACAGAAAAUUUUUCAAGACAAGAAGAGAGUUUGUAUUUUAGAAAAUUCAUACCUAAACCUGUGGAUGAAAGCAGGUUUAUAUAGCCAACAUGUGCCUCUUCUGAAAAGUGGCAAAGGUUCACUUAAAAGGUGUGACCUUUCUGGAAAAUCCAUGUCUAUUCGUCCAAAGAAUGUGUCUUUUUCGAACAGGCAAACCAUUUCAUGAAUCAGUGUGUCAUUUCAUUGAAGGGUUGCAUCCCUUCAUUUCAGCACUGCACUAUUUCAGAAUAUGCAUGCAUGCAUAUAAAUGGAGUAUCAAAACACAGAAAAAAGUUGUGUUUUUCUCUUUGAUAUUUUCGAACUGAAUUUCUGAAUUCUGAAUUUCUGUCAAAUAAACUUUAUCCAAAAAGAUAGAUCUCAUUGAUCAUUAUCCAAAUUCGAACCCAAAGCUAAAACCAAAGCCAAAGCUAAAGCCGAGCCGAGCGAGUGACGACGACAAUGACGUGAGGCAUCUCUUAUUUCUUACCUCACUUACCAUGUGGAGUAAUUGUUCCUUAUUUUAAACACUCACAAGUUCUCUUCUUUCACCAAUGUGGGAGAAAGAGUGAACUUUCCAAUUUGGGAGUACACUUUCUAAAUUAGUGUCUCCCUUCUGUCCACUAUUUUUUUUUCCAUUUUUCAUUCACACUUUUCAUAUACUUUGAACCCAACAAUCCCCCACAUGAAUGGGAAAUGACUAUUUUUUUGUAAAAAUUUUACGGACAAGUAUGUGAUCAUCAAGCAAAGACUGAUUGCAUCUGGAUAAGUGUGUUUCCUUUUGAACUUUCCAUAGUGAACAUGAAUCAGAUGCACUCGGUCAAUCGGUAGAUUUGAUAUCUUUGAAUCGUUGAGCUUUAGAGUACACCUAGACAACACAUGUCACACAACCAGUCUUUUACUGUUUAUGGUUCUCACAAUUUUGUUCUUUUCAGCCAUGAACACGUCUCAGUUUUGUGAGAGCUUAGAGAAUAGGCCUUUACUAACAUUCUCCUUGAAGCGGCUUCCACUUUGCCCUCACAUAGGGGAUUUCUAAACGUUCAAUCCUAUAGAUUAAAUUAUUUGGCCAAAUCUUCCAAAUUUAGAUAAUCAUUAAAAGACUUUUCACCUUAAGUCUUAUCCUUGUUUACUGAACAUUGUCUACUUCAUGAGAAUGAGUUGUUUAAUUGACAAUGUUGAACCUGUCAUACACAACUUUGUUUGAUCUCCUUGAACCUAGCUCUUGGGAUCUCCAGUCUGCUAGGUAGAGUUACCACAAUGCUGACUUGUCCUAGGCCGUAAACCCAUUUCCUUGGAUGUCCUUUCCACUUUUUCUCUAGAUAGUCCUUUUAAAAGUUGAUCCGACACAUUAUCCUUUGACUUUACAUAGUCAACAGUGAUAAUUCCACUAUAUAGAAGUUCCCUAACGGUAUUAUGUCUCCGUCGUAUGUGACAAGAUUUACCGUUGUACAUCAUGCUCCCUGCCAUACCUAUUGCCGCUUGGCUAUCACAGUGUAUACAUACUGGUGUCACUGGUUUGGGCCAAUAAGGAAUAUCUUCCAAGAAAUUUCAGAGUCAUUCUGCUUCUUCACCGGCUUUAUCUAAUGCGAUAAAUUCAGAUUUCAUUGUAGAGCGAACAAUGCAAGUCUGUUUGGAUGAUCUCCAAGAGACUGCUCCUCCACCGAUAGUAAGUACAUAUCCACUUUUGAAUUUUACUUCAUUCGAUCCGGUGGUCCAAUUUGCAUCACUAUAUCCUUCAAGUACCGCAGGAUAUUUAUUCUAAUGCAAAGCAUAGUCUUAAGUGUAUUUAAGAUACCCCAAAACUCUUUUCAUUGUCAUCCAAUGAGUUUUGUUGGGAUUACUUGUGUACCAACUCAAUUUACUAAUAGUGCAUGCUAUAUCUUGUCAUGUACAGUUCAUUAUAUUUAUUAAACGUCCCAAUACUCUUGCUUACUCCAAUUGUUAGUCACUUUCACCUUCAUUUUUUUGAAGAGAAAAGCUUACAUCCAAAAGAGUCUUGACAAUACCAAAUUUCAUAUUCUUGAAUUUGUCAAGUACCUUUUCGAUAUAAUGAGACUGUGACAAUACCAACCCUUGUGGAGGUCUAUGGAUUCUUAUACCUAAGAUCACAUCCGCAACUCCAAGGUCUUUCAUAUCGAACUUGCUUUCGAAUAUUCAUUUUGUUGCAUUUAUGUCUGAAAUAUCUCUACUGAUGAUCAACAUAUCAUCCGCAUAUAAACAAACAAUGACUUGGUGAUUCGGAGUGUCUUUAAUGUAAACACAUUUAUCAUAUUCAUUUAUCUUGAACUCGACAUGGUUUGGUAAAACUUCCCAUUCCAUUAUUUAGGUGCUUGCUUUAGUCCAUACAACGAGUUAAUAAGUUUACACACCUUAUUCUCCUUUCCUGGAACCACAAAACCCUCAGGUUGUUUCAUGUAAAUUUCUUCCUCCAAUUCUCCAUUUAGAAAUGUAGUUUUCACAUCCAUUUGAUGGAUCUCAAGAGCAUAUACUACCGCCAAGGCAAUUAACAUUCGAAUCGAUGUUAUCCUUGUUACUAGCGAGUAUGUAUCAAAGUAAUCAAGGCCUUAUUUUUGCUUGAAGCCUUUUACUACUAGUUUUGUCUUGUAUUUGUCAAUAGUACCAUCCGCUUUCAUUUUCCUUUUAAAGAUCUAUUUAGAACCUAAAGAUUUAUUUCCUGGAGGAAGAUCAACCAAUUCCCACGUAUGGUUGCUUAAGAUUGAAACAAUCUCACUAUUGACUGCCUUUUUAUAAAAGGACGAGUCUGAUGGCGACAUCGCUUCUUUAAAUGUUUGAGGCUCAUUUUCUAAAAGAAAUGUUACAAAAUCUAAUCCAAAUGUAGUAGAAGUUCUUUGAUGUGUACUAGUCUUGGAUUCUCUUCAUUAUGCACAUUCUAACUUGGUUUAUCUCGAGGUCGUUUAGACCUUCCACUAGACUGUUCAUGUCUAGUUUUAUGCGGGUAAAUGUUUUCAAAGAAUUCAGCAUUAUCUGAUUCAAUUGCCAUAUUUUUAUUUAUAUUCGGAUGUUCAGAUUUAUGAACCAAAAACUGACACGCUUUACUACUUUUAGCAUAUCCUAUGAACACGCAAUCCACAGUCUUAGGUCCUAUCUUAACCCUCAUAGGCAUAAGAACUUGGACCUUUGCCAGACACCCCCAAACUUUGAAAUAUUUAAAGUUGGAUUUCCUUCCUUUUCAUUUUUCAUAAGUAAUUGAUUGUGUCUUACUAUAGAGAACUUUAUUGAGUAUACGAUUGGCUGUAAGGAUAGCCUCCCCACACAAGUUUUGCAGUAAAUCGAAACUUAUAAGCAAGGCAUUCAUAUUUCCUUCAAAGUUCGGUUUUUCCUUUCCACAAUUCCGUUAGAUUUAGGUGAAUACGGGGCCGUAGUUUGAUGGACAAUUCCAUUCUCUACACUUAUUUUGGCAAAGGGAGAUUCAUAUUCUCCGCCCCUAUCACUUCUUAUCAUUUUUAUCUUUUUCUCUAACUGAUUUUCUACUUUAGUUUUGUAUGGUCUAAACACAUCUAUUGCUUCAUCCUUACUAUUUAGCAAGUAGACAUAACAAUAUCUAGUGCAAUCGUCAAUAAAAGUUAUGAAGUAUUUUUUCCCACCAAGUGAUGGUGUUGAAUUCAUAUCACUAAUAUCAGUGUGUACUAGUCUAAAGGAUUGGAAUUCCUUUCAACGGACUUAUAAGAAUGCUUUUCAUACUUUGAUUCCACACAUGUUUGACAGUUUGAUUUAUUGCAUUCAAAGUUUGGCAAAACUUCUAAGUUAAUCAAUUUUCGUAACAUUUUGUAAUUAACAUGGCCUAAACAUUCAUGCCAUAAAUUAUAAAACUCAAACAAGUAAGAAGAAUUUGAACUUUUAUUUAUUUCAACAUUCAUUACAUUCAUCUUAUAAAGACCCUCGAUGAGAUAGACUUUUCCUACAUACACUUCUCCUUUGCUAAUUACAAUUUUUCCAGAAGCGAUUACACAUUUGAAUUCGUUCUUGUCUAGAAGUGAAAUAUAAAUCAAGUUCCUACGUAAUUCCGAAACGUACAAGACAUUGUUAAGUGUCAAGACCUUUCCUGAAGUCAUUUUCAAGCCCACUUUUUUCUGUUUCUUCUACCUUAGCCAUAGCAGAGUUAUCCAUGUAGAUCAUUUCUUCCACUUGAGCCAGAGCGAAUGACGAAAAUAACUCUUUGUUGGAACAAAAUGGAGGGUGACACUAGAAUCCAUCCACCACUCGUGAGGAUUCCCCACCAAGUUGCAUUCUGUAAACAUAGCACACAGAUCAUCACAUUCUUUGUUAGACUCAAUCAUAUUUGCUUGGUCCUUUUUCUUGCCUUUCUUAGGGGCACGACAAUCCGUGGACUUAUGGCCAAUCUUGCCAUAAUUGAAGCACUUUCCCUUGAAUUUCUUCUUGGGUUGAUGGCUUCUUUGUUCAGCUUUCUUCCUUUUCUUAAAAUUAUUUUAGUCAUCUUCUACAAUAUGUGCUCCAUUAAUUGUAGAAUUCCCUUUUGACCUUCUUUCGGCAGCCUUAUUAUCCUCUUUAAUACGUAGUCGGAUAAUAAGAUCUUCGACAGUCAUCUCUUUGCGUUUGUUCUUCAAGUAGUUUUUAAAGUCUUUCCACAUAGGUGGUAACUUCUCAAUAAUCGUUGCUACUUGAAAUGCUUCAUUCACAAUCAAACCUACAAAACAGUUUAUGUGAGAACAUUUUCAAUUUGUUCAGCUAAGGUAUUUUUCAAAGAUAUACCUUCUGCUAGGAGAUCGUGAAUGAUUACUUGCAAUUCCUGCACUUGAGAGAACCAAUUUGCUAUCUAUCAUUUUAAAGUCCAAGAACCUUGCAACAAAGAAUUUCUUGAUUCCCGCAUCCUCUGUCUUGUAUUUUCGUUCUAGCGCCCCCCCCCCCCACAAUUUCUUCGAUGUCUUAGUUCCACUGUAAAUAUUGUAGAGGUCGUCUUGGAUACCACUCAAUAUAUAAUUCCUGCAAAGGAAGUCCGAGUGUUUCCAAGCUUCUACAAUCAUGAAAUGUUCUUUGUCCGAGGUUCCCUCGGGCACCUCAGGAGCAUCCUCAGUAGUGAACCUUUGAAGGCGUAGAGUGGUGAGGUAAAAGAACAUCUUUUGCUGCCAUCUCUUAAAGUCAAUGCCCAUAAAAUUUUUGGGCUUCUCCGUAGGUGCCAUUGGUUGCGGAGCAUUUGCUCGUCUUGUUGAAGCAAUGCUAGUUUCCCCCAUAGUCGUAGCCGCAUCUUGCAUUUGACUUUCGUUAGUCAUUUUUCUUGUCACCACAAGACAAUAAAUUUAGUAUUUUCAUAAUACUAUUUAUAAAGUUAAGCAACUUUAAACUCUUUCCAUCCACAUUUAUUCAGCGCCUCAUAGUAUGUCCAUCCUCUAUCGCGUAUAAAAUCUGCGCCCCCAGUGCAUAUCAGAAUUUUGGAGCAGACAAGCUUGGAUAGCAAAUUCGGAUGUAUCAUCAGAUUUGGGAUUUUCAGGGCAACAAUAUGUUAUCUUUUAUGUAUUCGGGUACAAGAAUCUGUAUAUAAGAAACACAAACUUCAAAACUAGUUCAAGUCCAAGACAAGAAUACUUAUGAAGUUCUGUAACACCUUCAACACUAGAUUAUAAAUAAUUUAUCUAAGAAGUGUGUUGAGAUUCAAAAAAGAGAUGAAACAGAAUUUAAGACCAAGUCCUCCGAAUUCAAGGAGUGUCCUUAAGGAAUAAUUCUCCUCACUGUACCCGAGGUUUUGGAAUCUUCCUCCCAGGAUAAAAUGGCCUUCAGUCCGAACAAUAGCGGUACCUCAAAUUAUUGGAUUCAACGAACUCACUCAACGGUUUGAUAGAUCACACAGAAAGUUUUUCAAGACAAAAAGAGAGUUUGCAUUUCAGAAAAUUCGUACCUAAACCUGUGGAUGAAAGCAGGUUUAUAUAGCCAACAUGUGCCUCUUCUGAAAAGUGGCAAUGGUUCACUUAAAAGGUGUGACCUUUAUGGAAAAGCCAUGUCUGUUCGUCCAAAGAAUGUGUCUUUUUCGAACAGGCAAACCAUUUCAUGAAUCAGUUUGUCAUUUCAUUGAAGGGUUGCAUCCCUUCGUUUCAGCACUGCACUGUUUCGAAACACUGUUUUGCAAUCUAUAUGCGUGCAUAUAAAUGGAGUAUCAAAACACAGAAAAAAGUUGUGUUUUUUCCUUUGGUAUUUUCAAACUGAAGUUCUGAAUUUCUGUCAAAGAAACUUUGUCCGAAAAAGUAGAUCUAAUCGAUCAUUAUUCGAAGCAGAAGCCAAGCGAGCGACGACAACAACAGCGUGAGGCAUCUCUUAUUUCUUGCCUCACUUACCAUGUGGAGUAAGUGUUCCUUAUUUUAAACACUCACAAGUUCUCUUCUUCCACCAAUGUAGGAGAAAGAGUGAACUUUCUAAUUUGGGAGUACACUUUCUAAAUUAGUGUCUCCCUUCUCUCCACCAUUUUUCCUCCAUUUUUCAUUCACGCUUUUUCAUAUACUUUGAACCCAACAUGUAUAUCAAUUAAAAAAAAAAAAAGGACAGCUCGAUGUAUGAAUAUCAUGCGUUAAAGAUGUACCUUUUGAUAGAUUAACUAUGCAUUUUCAAAGAAGGGCGUUAUCCCUUUAUACAAGUAUGAGUCAUUCAUCUUACUUGUUUUAUAGUCACAUUGAUGGUUUAGAAUUGGAAAGGGUUGGUGAAGUCCAUGCCAGAUCACUGAUUUUUGUCCUGACAACUGCACCUGUCCCUGCUUUCCGUAUACUUGACAUAGAAUUGGCUGAAUGAUCCAGGUAGCGACCGGCUACAACUUCCAUCGGUGUGAAGGAUAAGAGAGUUGUUUACCCUAAAAUAGGUACAACUGAAUUUGUAUGCGAGGUUUAAAGGACACAUGGAUUGAGUUGAUGGAGAUGACGAAUAUAAUAAACAACAAAAUACUAUGAAUAAGAGAUGAGCUAAAGCAAUUGGAUGUAUAUAUAUAUGAUGUAUAGUAUUAUGUAUCUGAAAUGUAUAUGCAUCUAUGUGACUGUUUAUAUAAUAUUUAUACAUUGCUGCAUUUCAUCUUUCUCAACAAGCAGACUUGUUUUUUAAAACAACUACAGCAAUUGGAUAUUUGCUUGAUUUCUGAUAAGAUUUUAGAUGAAUGAUCAAGAUGGAAUUUGUGAACCGUAUUUUGGUUUUUUUACUUCUUCUCUUGAACCUGCUGCGAUUAUGUUAGUAGAUUCUAAUUUACACUUUGAAUGUGAAAUGGAACAAAGUGCGUGAAGAGAAGAAGAAAAGCAGCGCGUAAUGCACUUCGCUUACAAUGAUAAGAGCCGAAAGCUUUUGUUUCAUACACUGAUAAGCUAGCUAAAACAUAUCAUCGAUCAGAAAUAAGCACUUGUCUUAUUCUGCAGAUAUAUAGAUCUGAGUCUUCCCAGUACAAUAAAGAUCCAUGCAUCACGACUAUAGAGUUUACAUCUAUCUCCUGAGGGGCAACAGUUAACGCAAACUUGACUAAUCUUGGCUCAUCCAGAAGACGGAUAAGUCAUGUAACUUUAAUUAGGGUCACAUUAUUGAGUACAAACCUUGGGUUCAAUACUCACUCCUUCACAGACAAAUUUAACGUCUAGAUCGAAAGUAUAGCACCCAAUGUAGCCCGUGCAUGCAACAAGUGGUGUAUCCGGUAGGAAAAAUUAUCAACUCUCUUUGUGAAUGGGGACAUCUCGAAUAGGCAAUUUGUGGAUCACAAUUAAAAGGGCAAAAUCUAGGUUCUUGGGGCCAAACGUUCCUUCACAAAUAUAAGUUCCGUUAGCACUGUAAUAAUUGCAACCGUUAUUGUCAAAACAACAAUUGGUGCAUAUGGGGUUUUCUGAACGUGGGAAGCUUGCAUGCAUAGCCAAGAUUACCACAUUCUUUGGUAUAUAAGCCUUGGCAUCAACAUGUUCCACCGUACUUAAAAGUAGAAACAUUAACAUAAUCCUACAACAAAUAUAAGAUAUAUAUAUUAAGGAAAAACAUAACGUACACUACUUGUGCAUGACAUGUAUAAACAGCAAAGAAAUAAUUAAACAGAAAAGGAGAAAGGAAAAUCUAACCAAGGACAAUAAGUAGGUAAGCAAGUCCACUAUCUUCUUUCUGAACAGCCAUUAUGGAUAAAUUACUGUUUUUUUGGGUUAUUAGGGGUGUCUAUCCUCCACCUAUUUGUUACAAAUAAUGAAAGAGACUAGCUAACUAAAACUUUUUAUCAGUUGAUAAAAAAGAAAAAUUCCAUGGGUUAUGUUUGGCAAGGUACGUACUGUUGCUUAUUUAUUAGAGAGCUUAACUUUUCAGAAUAACUUUCAGAAUAACUAACAUUUGGAGACUCGAACACAUAUUAUUCAUGUCCAAGUACAGCUCCAACGCCCAUAUUACAUAGAUUAGCAUGACACUGUUCAUGCUUUUAUUUCAUAUAGACACCCAUGCAUAUUACAGAGAUUAGCAUGACUCCGUUCAUGCUUUUAUUUCAUAUACAUUAAUAAACUACUAAAAUAUAUCAUCAUUGAUUAGAAAUAAGCAGCUGCCCCAUGCUGCGGAUAUGCUCUUAGGAUCUCCAGUACAAAGUAAUGAUCCAUCAUGACCAUAGAGUUUGCAACCCUCUCUUAGAGUGCAACAAUUAACACAAACUCUGGUACAACAAUUGAAGCCCGUGCAACAGGCAAUAUUUGGAUCACAAUUCAGAGGGCAAGCUUUUGGGCUUUUCUUGGGGUCAAACUCUCCUUCACAAAUGAAAGUUCCAUCAGCACUGUAAUAGUUACAACCCUUGUAGCCUGAAUAACAAUUGAUGCAUAUGGGUUCUUCUGCACUUCCUUCUGACAUAUCCCAUACGCAAAAUUUCCACAUUCUCUGGUACAAGCCUUGGCAUCAGCAUGUAGUAGAGAUAUUCCUACAAUAAAUAUAUAAGCUAUAUAUAAAUAUUAACGAAAAAAAUAACACCAGGUGUGUAUCACUACUACAAAAUCAAUAUUUUCGGCUGAAAAAUGUGCUUAGUAUUUAAAAUUAGGAAGCUUCUUAGUGUUUCAAUGAAAAUUUAUUUUUCACCAUGCAUUUUUCAGUUAUUAUUAAAAUGAUUAGUUUUAAUCUAUAAAUGAUGAUUAGUUGGUGUAUUUUAGCUAGCUAAUGUUAGUUAGUUAGUGGAGUCCAGCUGUCAUUAGUGUGGCAAAGAAUAGAUGAGUCAGUUACUUGUGUCGAUAUAUACAUAUCACAUGAUGCAGUUGUAAAAUAACAUACUUCAAUACAACCCUACAAAAUUCUCCUCUUCCUUUCUUAGCUCCUGUAGGUUCAUCAAUGGCGGACGUUUACCAUCUGCACUCCAAGAAUUCUCUCAAAUUUCACAUGGUAUCAAAGCAUACGAUCUUAUCUUUAGCUACGCUUCAAAUUUUUGAUCAGUUCAGCCAUUAGUUUUGCCAAUGGACAAGAGCAAUCUCACGCAACGACAGGUGUUCCUACUGUCGUAACACUCGACCAUCAUCAUCCUCUGUAUCUCCAUGCUUCCGACUCUCCGGGAUUAGUGUUGAUUCCAAUAAAGCUCACAUGACCAGAAAAUUACUCCUUGUGGAGCAGAUCUAUGCCACUAGAACUGCGAGGAAAAAGUAAGCUUAGAUUUGUAGAUGGAACUUGCACUAAAAACACGUAUAGAGGGGAAUUAGAGGAAUUAUGGGAGAAAUGUAAUGCUAUAGUCUUAUUGUGGAUAGGUAGCACCAUUUCUACUGAAUUAGUUCCGAGCAUUGUGUAUGCUUUGAAUGCUCGAAAAGUUUGGACUGAGUUCAAGGAACAAUUUGAUAGAUCAAAUUUGACUAGAAUUUACUAUUUGUGGUCUGAAAUUGCAAAUUUGAAGCAGGGCACUGACUCUGUGACAAGUUAUUACUCAAAAAUGAGGGAUUUUUGGAGUGAACUUGAUGUGAUAGUGCCAUUACCCUCUUGUGACUGUGAAGAAUCCAAUGCCUACGUAGAACACUUAAAAUCGCAGUGAUUGUUGCAAUUUAUCAUGGGACUCAAUGAGAGUUACAGUAGUUUAAGGAGUAGCAUUUUGUCUCGAAGCCCCGUUCUUACUAUGAAUAAGGCAUAUGCAACUAUUACUCAAGAAGAGAGUCAGCUGUCAUUGGGGGUGAUUGAUGUACACAAUAAUCCCUUGACUAUGCUAGCUAGUCGAUCUCAAGGAUUUCGACCAAAGAAGCCUGGGCAUUAUGGUGGAGGAUACAAAGGAUCUGGAGGAUUAGGAAAUUUAGGAUUUGGAGAAUCUGGCAGUCCUUGUAUACAUUGUGGAUAUAAAGGACAUGUUAGCGAUAACUGCUUCAGGAUUAUUGGCUAUCCUCCUGAUUUCAAAAGCAGAAAAAAGGCGCAAUAGCAAGCACAACAAGGUCCAAGUAACCACUUUAAUACAUCUACAAAUGCCACUACUAAUGCCACACCUACACCUCUUGCUCACUAUUCACCAGGUUCGAGCGCAAGCUAUUUCCCUACUGAGAAGCAGUAUCAACACAUACUGGACAAGCAGAGUUCAGCUAAAGUAUUAGCGAGUGUGUAUCUAACAUGGCAGGUAUACAUUCCUCACUGUCUAAUAUAUUUGCUUGCGAAUGGAUUGUUGAUUCUGGGGCAUCAUACCAUAUUACUCUUUGUAAAGAGUUACUAUGUGAGAUUAAAGGCUUAGAAGAGGACUUAAGUGAUAAGGUUCAAGCCCCAAUUGGUGGAAGGUCCCAAAUACCUAGUGCAGGUAGUACAACAAUUUUUGGUUUAUCAAAAAUGAAGAAUGUGUUAUAUGUUCCUGACUUCAAGUUCAAUCUUAUGCCAGUAUCUAAGAUAACCAAGGACUUGUCAUAUGUUGUUCUAUUUUUCCCUGAUUUCUAUGUAUUUCAGGGACUUUACAAUGGCAAGGUCUUGUGGAUUGGUAGAGAAAAGGAGGAGCUAUAUCUUUUAUGGGAGAAAGUUAAUCCUCAGGCGAAUGCUGCACAUUCUCACAACAAUGCCCAAUCUGAUAUUUGGUAUCUCAGAUUGGGACAUCCUUCAUCACAUGUGAUGCAUCAGAUAACAUCUCUUAAAAUAUUGCUGCACACUAAUAUCUAAGAUAGGUAUCAUAUCUGUCAUCUAGCUAAACAUCACAGAUUAUAAUUUCCCACUAGCUACAAUAAGGCUUCUGCUUAUUUUGAUUUGAUUCAUAUAGAUGUAUGGGACCUUAUAGGAAGCCUAUAUAUGAUAAAAAAUAUUACUUUGUUACUAUAGUGGAUGAUCACAGCAGGUACACCUGGAUUUGUUUGAUACAGUCUAAAUGUGAAGUUGUUGUUGUCUUGAAAGAUUUUCUAUAUCUUGUUAAGACUCAAUUUGAUGUUAUUGUAAAAAAUUUGAGAUCUGAUAAUGGGACUGAGUUUUUCAACUCUCAUUGCACUCAAUUGUUUGCUUCGUAUGGGAUAAUCCAUAAAAGUAGUUGUCCCCACACUCCCCAACAAAAUGGUACAGUUGAACGAAAGCAUAAGCAUAUUUUAAAAGUGGCUAGAGCACUCAAAUUUCAGAGUGAAGUGCCCAUCAAUUUUGGGAAGAUUGUGUCAGCACUUCUGUUUACUUGAUUAACAGACUAGCUUCAAAGGUAUUGGAAGGUAAAUCACCUUAUGCCUUAUUGUAUGGCAAGGAUCCUUCACUUAAUCAUCUCAGAGUAUUUGGAUGCCUUUGUUAUGCUAGCAGAUUACCUAGAGGUGACAAGUUCUCUGCGAGAGCUAGGAAGGCUGUUUUGGUAAGUUAUUCUUCAACACAGAUAGGCUACAAAUUGUAUGAUUUUGAAGACAAGACUUUCUUUGUUAACAGGGAUGUUAGUUUCAGAGAAGCUUUCUCUAGGUUCCCUUUCAAAUCAAGUCAACCAACUGACUUGGUCGAUCUUGACUUCUUCUCUUCUACUGAAUUUCUUGUUUCCUUAGACGAUGAUGAUUAAUAUCAUCUUUCUUCUACACUAUCCGUUGUUACACCUGUUGAUGCUGAUAUUCUACUUGGUGAUGAUGUUGGAGUCUUAACCCUUCCUUCCGACUUCUCUUCUAACUCAGAAGUUGUUUUACCUGGUAGUGAUAAUCCUGCAGAGGUUGUUGAAACUACUGCUAUAGUUCCUGAUGUUAUUGCUGGGUAUAUUCCUCACAUUAUUGAGCCCGCAGUAUCUGUUCCUGCUAGACCUACCAGAACAUGAAGACCUCUCAUCUGGAUAAGUGAUUAUGCUUCAAAUGGCAAAGGCAAAAGGCUUCCUACUCAUCCCAUAUCUAAUAAUUUGUCUUAUACUCACCUUUUCUCAGCUUAUCAAGUGUAUCUGCUAAAUUUCUCCAGUGUGACUGAACCAAGUUCAUUCCACGAGGCUUCACAAGACCCUCAAUUAGAGCUGUCGAAAUGGGCCUGGCCCGUGAGGUCGGCCCAACCCAACCCUUUAAUUUAGUGGGGUUGGGUUACUUUUUUCCGGCCCUUUUAGCAACGAGGCUUUUAAGCCUAUCCCCACUUGACCCGUCGGCCUCAAAGGCCUAGCCCGUCGGCCCCAGAGGCCAGCCCAUGGGCUACAAAUUUAAAAAUAAUUAUAAUAUAUUUUAAAUUAGUUUCUUAUUUAUCAAAUUUUAAAGUAUUCACUGACCACUGUCCAUGUCCAACUACAAGGCCCAACCGGGCAACCCAAAAAGCCAAGCCCAACCUAUUACCCAAGUAUCCAACUUACAUAGUUAUUAGUUACCCUACAUUCUAGAAAGCUGAACGUGCAUACUACAUAUAAAUAUAAUAACAUAUACUCCACUUACAUAGUUAUAUAAACUGAUAAACAUUAGAGAAUUAGGGCUUACACUUUACAAUUCUAUCAUUUAUUUUCUUUGAGUUCUCCGGUUUCAUAGUUGCAACUUGCGACGGCUGUGCAGUUUCACAAAACUCACUACGGCUGACGGCUCUCCAAAUGAAUAUGGGUAAAAAUAUGAAAAAAUUAUCUUCCCUCUCUCCUAUUUAAUCACCAUUUUUUUUAUUUUGGGAGUUUGAUGACAUUUUUUGAUUUUGGGAUCUGAUUUUGACACUAAAAUGGCCUCUCCGAGGAUCUACUCGCGAUGGUCAUCGCAUCGGUACCAUAAACUGACCUCUCCGAAGCCAAAUUUGGUCGAUUUGGGUACCAACAAUUUGGGUACUACCAUACCGAGGAUUUGGGGGUUUCAAUUUUGUUCUUUUUUUCUCAUGCAGUAGCAUUUUCAAAAUUUUGUAUUACUUGUUACUUCUUAUUUAAUUUUUCAUUACUUGUAUUGUAUUACUUGUUACUUCUUAUUUAAUUUUUCAUUACUUGUAUUACUUGUAAAAUUUCUUAUUGAUAGGUGUUUCUAUGUUUAGAAAAUAUAUAUUUUAGUUCAAAUUUGAAACUUUGAAUUUUUCAGUUCAUUUUCAGUUUUUGAAGUCUAAAAUUAUCUUUUGAAAUAUUUAUCUUAUUACAGGAGAAUCAAUGGAGGAUGUUGCUGAACAUAGUGCACAUCAGAAUAAUGUAGAAGUGAAUGAAUUUGAAGAACCUGAGAAGAAGAAAAUAAAGAAAUUAAAAUCAGAUGUCUGGACAUAUAUGAAAAAUAUUGGUGGAGGUUAUGAUGCAGUGGAAAGGGCAGAAUGCAGAGGACGUAAGGAAGUAUACAAGGUUGGUUCUACUCCGGGACCAAAUGGUAAGAAUUACGGAACAUCACAUUUAAAACGACACAUACCUAAAUGCAAAAAGCUCAAAUACCAUGAUUUGGGUCAGAUGUAUAUGGAUCACCAAGGUAACAUACAGUCGAGAAACAUAGAUCAAAUGAUUUCACGUGAAAAGCUUGUUGAAGCUAUUAUUAAGCAUGAUUUGUCGUAUUCUUUUGUUGAAUAUAAAAAAAUUAGAGCUUGGCUAGAUUAUGUAAAUCCUGAAGUAAUAAUGCCGUAAAGAAACACUUCUGUUGUGGAUGUUCAAAAAGUGUAUUUCAAAGAGAAAGAAAAGUUAAGACAAGCCUUGGCCAAGAUUCCUAAUCGGGUUUUCUUAACUUCUGAUUGCUGGACAGCAGGUACGUCUGAGGGUUAUCUUUGUUUAACUGCUCAAUAUAUUGAUGAUAAUUGGAAGUUAGUUUCUAAAAUUUUAAACUUUUGUCUUAUGAUUCCUUCUCAUACUGGAGUUGAAUUGGCUGCAACCAUAUAUGAUUGUUUGAAGAAAUGGGGAAUUGAUAGGAAGGUUUUCUCUAUCACUUUGGAUAAUGCCACUAAUAAUGAUAGCCUGCUUGCAAAAGAGUUUAUUAUGUGAUGGUGAAUUUUUUCAUGUGCGUUGUUCUGCUCAUAUUCUUAAUUUGAUUGUCCAAGAAGGUUUAAAAACAGCUACUGAUGUCUUGUUUAGAAUUAGAGAAAGUGUGAAGUAUGUAAAAGGAUCUGAUGGUAGAAUGAGAAAAUUUGAACAAUGUGUUAAGCAAGUAGGGAUUAGUACAAAAUUGGGUUUACGUUUGGAUGUGACAACUAGAUGGAACUCAACGUACUUGAUGCUUGAGAGUGCACUAUAAUAUGAAAAAGAUUUUUCUAGUCUACAGUUGAUCGAUAGAAAUUACUCUGUUUGUCCUACAUUUGAUCAUUGGAGAAGGGCAGAAAAAAUAUUUGAAUUCUUGGAACUUUUUUAUGAAAUAACCACUCUGAUUUCUGGUUCAAGUUAUCCGACUUCCAAUUUGUACUUUAUGCAAGUUUGGAGAAUUGAAUACUUGUUGAAGGAGAAUUUAAGUAGUUUUGAUGAAGUUAUUAAGGAAAUGGCUGCAAGGAUGUUCAAAAAGUUUCAGAAAUAUUGAAAUAGAUUUAGUCUAGUCCUCUCAUUUAGAGCUAUUCUUGAUCCUCACUUGAAGACACAACUUUUAGAAUUUUGUUUCUCAAAGGUGGAUGCUUCUUUGGCAAAAGAAAAUGUUGCAACUAUUGAGAAAAAAAUGCACAAACUCUAUGAACAAUAUGGAAAUAAUCAAAAUGGGCCAGGGCCAGCUAUUACUGUUCAAUGUAAACCAGUUGAAGAAGAAAGUCGAUCCAAACAAAAGAAGUCCAUUUUAUUUGCUGUAAGUAUCAAUUUCUUUUUCUUGUAUCUAUUCUUUCUCUUUUUUAUCUAUUAUUUUUCUGGAAACUUAUAUAAUGUACAGUACAUAUAAGAUGAAUCACUUUUAGAUCCUCGAGCCCACUAUCAUAUGUUUUACAGUUUUGCUAUUCUAUUUAUAUCAAACUUAGUUUUGCUAUUCUGUUUUAAUUUUGGUUGACGUCAGUUAGUUUGAAAAUGGUUGAUAUAAGGAAGUUAGUUUCUAUGUUUCAACCAUAUAUGAUUGUUUGAAAAUGCCGUCAAUUAGUUUGCUAUUUUGUUUAUAUCAAACUUACUAAAAUUGUUUGCAGUUUUUUUUUACAUCUUUGCUAAUUCUAUUAUUUUUAUAUUUUAUGUUUUAAAUUAAUAGGAGUUUAAAGUGUUUGAGAAUACAUCUAUUUGCAAUGCUGGAAAUUCAGAAUUGACUCUUUAUUUGGAGGAACAAAAGCUUGAUUAUGAAUCUUUUCAAGAGAUGGAUGUUAUCAAGUAUUGGAAGGAUAAUGAAAAAAAUCUCCUAAUCUUUCUGUGGUGGCACGUGAUGUAUUGAGUAUUCCAAUUACUUCAGUAGCAUCAGAAUCAGCAUUUAGUAUUGGUGGUCGUGUUGUUACCAAGUAUAGAAGUUGUAUCCAUCAUGAAAAUGUCCAAACUCUUGUUUCUACAAGAAAUUGGUUGCAUGGAUUGACCCAAUCUAAUACAGGUAAUAUUUUUUAUUUUUCUUAAAGUAUUUAUUAAUGGUUAUAUAACUAAUAUCUUGUUUGAUGUGAAUUAUUUAUGGUUAUCUAACUAAUAUCUUGUUUAAUGUGAAUUAUUUGUAGAUGAAGAUGAACUUCUUAAGGAAACUAUGUCAAAUGUUGAUUCAAAUGUGAUUGAUGGUACAAGUGCAAGUGAAAGUGGAGUUGGUAACCUUUAAUUGAUUGGUUUAGUAAUAUUUAAAAUUUAGAUUUAUUUUGUAUCUGGGCAAUAUUUUAGUCCAGCUAAGACUUGUAAGUUUUUGAAUUUAAUUUUUGUUCAUUUUUUUAUGAUUGGCAUUUUUUUUUUUUGGGGAAUGGGAUGACUCUGAAUCUCUUAUUAAUAUUGUUUUUGACUUGAUCUUUCUAAUCACGUUAUUCAUACUAUUAGGACAUGCGAUAAAGUGAUUUUUAAAUGGGCAAUAUAUUUUUGUUUAUUAUGUUUUACAGUUUUAGGUUAUUUUUAUUUUUUUAAAGGGCCAACCCGUCCUAACCCGUGGCUCGCUUAGGGUUGGGCUGAGCUGCAUUUUCAUUGGCCCUUUAGUUAAAAGGGUCAGCCCGUCCUAACCUAUUUAUCUCUCUAUCCCGUUAGGGUUGGGUUGGGUUGGGCUAGCCCAUAUUAACAGCUCUACCCUCAAUAGGUGUAACACCCCGUAUUCAAGUACAUGUAUUGGCGUAUUCAAGUACGUGUAUUGGUCUUAUUUAUAUGAAAUUAAUUUUUUAUUUUAUUUAUACCGGAAUUUGCCCGUCGAUGGUUCCAUACGAAGGUUAUUGAAUAAGCUUUCUAACGAUAUAAAUAUUUCCAAAAACGGAUAAGUUUCGAAUAUAAUCGAGCACGUUCGAAACUACAAAACGGUGGCCGGGAUAUGGUGAAUAGUAAAUGUGCAGGAAAAUUUCCUGCAUACAAACUACUGAGGCCUGCCAGUUUUUUGGGUCAACUUUGAAUGCUCAUAACUCCCUUAAUAUAAUGAACUGGGAGAGGUACGACCUAUCAAAAGAAAGAUCUUUGAGUCUUCUUUCCAAUUCAAUUGNNNNNNNNNNNNNNNNNNNNNNNNNNNNNNNNNNNNNNNNNNNNNNNNNNNNNNNNNNNNNNNNNNNNNNNNNNNNNNNNNNNNNNNNNNNNNNNNNNNNNNNNNNNNNNNNNNNNNNNNNUUUAUAUGAAAUGAAAUCCCUUUGAAUUAUGUUUCCAACGAUACCAAUCCAUCAUGGACAGAUUCGGAUUUACUUAAAAUUUUAAGGGCAAUAUGGUCAUUUUUCAUCACCUCAUGAACGAAAAUUGGUCAUUAUAUACAUAUAAUUAGUGUCAUAUCCAUCAAUUAUCAUCAAAUUAUUGAAAAUAAGAAACCCUAGCCUAAUUUCAACUCCAAUUAUCUUGUGAUUCAACCGUAGAAAAUCCAAAUUGAUUUCGUAGUUGUGUUCACCGUCUCGAGGGCUUCGAGAAGCACCCCUUAUUUGUGCCAACAGGACUUCGAAAUCAAAAGGGCCAUUUUAUGGUAAGGAUGUAAAUUAUGUUGGUGUUAUUUAUAUGGAUAUGUAUAUAUAUAUAUGCAUGUGAGCAUAAGAAGUAUGUUAUUUGAUUGUUGUUGAAAGAUGAUUGGGAAAUGAUGUUGGAUUAUGUUGAAUGGUGAAGGAAUUUGGUGUGAUGAUGUGGUAUUGAAAUGAUGAUUAUAUAUAUAUAUACACAUAAACCUAUUGUUCAAGUUGAUUUUUGGAAUGUUUUGCAAAUAUUGGUAGUAUGGAAUUAUGGAAGAGAAUUGUGGUGUUGGGUUGCUAAUACUAGAUGCCAAACAUUUCAUUGUAGAUAAGUGAUUUGUAAAGGCGGGAAGUUGUGUUGAAUUGGUAUCCGAAUCUACAACGAGGUAUGUAAAGCAUACUCUAACAAUGUUCUUUGGCAUGAAAACACCAAUGUUCCAUCAAGUAAGAUUCCGAGGUUGUCCAAAAACAUGUAUUGUUCUACGUUACCAACGAAGUUGUUUCCAUCCUAUAAAGUGUCAAAAUGUUUCAUUGAUAUACCAAAAGGCUCCUAUUUCAUUGUUGUGAUAUUGAUGAUUCUGAAACACAUUGUUGAUGUACCAAUGAGUCUUUAUUACAUCGUUAUUGUAUAGAAGGUCUAUUACUUGGUUCCUAUUGAUGUAUCAUUGUUUCAAAGUAUCAAAAAUGUGGUGGCGACCGAAAUAACAAUCUCAAAGAUUAAUUGAACUAAGUGAUGGAAGUUCUCUCUUAUCGGGUGGUAUCCCAGGGGCAUAAGCCUAGCAUGGGUCGAUCCCUAUUUAUGUGUUUAUGGGUGGUAUCCCAGGGGCAUAAGCCUAGCAUGGGUCGAUCCCAGUUGAUAUGUACUGGAGGCAGCCUAAUGGUCACAGUACAGUACAGUAAUGAUUACAAAGACGAUAAGAACGAAGGUAAAGUGAUUGAAUAAAUACAAUGUACAGGUUGUCACAAGUUCUAGUAAGUGUGGUCCACUCCUAUUACGACUUAUUCACUUGUUUCUGAUUUCUAUUGAGCUCCUAUAUCAUAUGUGAUUAUUUACAGCUUUACAUACUCAGUACAUAUUUCGUACUGACGUCCCUCACGGGGGACCUGCAUUUCAUGCUGCAGGCACAGGUACCUCAGCUCAUACACCGCACAAGUAGGAGCCAGGUCAUACAGCUAUUGUUGGUGAGCUCCAGUUUGCUUCGGAGCUUUCCGAGUCGGUUCCUUAUGUUUUGUUAUUGUACAUGAGUCAUGUGUGGGCGGGGGUUUGUCCCGACCCUAGUUAUGUCAUGUAUAUCCUAGAGGCUUUGUAGACAUAAGGAAGGGUAAAGUCAUGGAAGUUUAUAUAGUAACGUUAUAUUUGUAUAUGUGGUGGCCCCGACGGCCAAGUAUUAUAUAAAGUUAGUUAUAUGGCGGGGGGUGUCCCGACCUUAGUUAAACUCUGUGUAUUGUCUAGAGGCUUUGUAGACCUAAUGUACAGUCAAGGUGGUGUUUUGUUAAUAGACGUGAUGGCUCCAACGGCCAAGUAUUGUAUAUACAUAUAUAUUUGUGCGUGUUGUGCUGAUACAAGUAAUUAGACCCUUCUAUAUGCAACGAAGUGCUGUCCAAAUUUUUGGUGACAUAUAAGUGAAAGUACAGGUAUUUGAACGGGUUCUCCCGGGCCUUCUCGGCUUCGGGUGCCAGUCCGGCCCGAUGGAAUUUUGGGGCGUGACAAUAGGUCCAUGCAAUGCAACAGGAAAUCAAUGCCUUGGUAGCUAAUUACACAUGGGAGUUAACUCCUCUACCUGCUGGACAGGAUACUUUAGGUGCAAAAUGGAUUUACAAGAUUAAACACAAAGCCAAUGGAGAAGUAAACAAGUACAAAUCUAAACUAGCUAGUGGAUAAAAGCUACACUCAAGUGGGAACGGUAGAUGAUGAUCCCUUAUUAGAAGACACAAUUGCUUAUCAAAGACUAGUUGGAAAAUUGAUUUAUCUGACAAUCACAAGGCCAGACAUUUGUUUUGCUAUAUAAUUUCUUAGCCAGUUCAUGCAACAACCCAAGAGGUCUCACUGGGAUGCAUCUCUAAGAGUGGUAAGAUACAUCAAACAUUCACCUGGAUUACGGGUCUUUAUGAAAAAAGGAGCUGAGCUGAAGUUAAGAGCUUACUGUGACUCUGAUUGGGCAGCUUAUCCUAACACUAGAAGGUUAGUAAUAGGUUUUAUCAUUUAAUUUGGAGGUUCGUUGAUCUCAUGGAAGUCAAAGAAGUAGCACACUGUCAGUCGUAGCUCAGCAGAAUCAAAGUACAUAAGCAUGGCUUUAGCUGUCUCUGAAAUAAUCUGGCUAGUUGGCUUGUUGAAGGACACUAGAAUUCAGGUGCCUACUCUAGUAGAGUUGUUUUGUUAUAAUAAGGUUGCAAUUCAAAUAGCCUCAAAUCCUAUAUUUCAUUAACGCACUAAACACAUUGAGAUUGACUGUCAUUUUGUGAGAGAAAAGCUUCAAGCAGGACUGAUCAAACCAGCGCAUCUGUCUACUACCCUGCAACUAGCAGAUUUACUUACUAAAGGUCUUGGUGUGGCUAAACACCAUUUUAUCUUGUCCAAGCUUGAGUUUUUAGACAUAUUUCACCCUGUAGCUUGAGGGGGUGUAUUAAAAUGAUUAGUUUUAAUCUGUAAAUGAUGAUUAGUUGGUGUAUUUUAGCUAGCUAAUGUUAGUUAGUUAGUGGAGUCCAGCUGUCAUUAGUGCGGCAAAGAAUAGAUGAGUCGGUUACUUGUGUCUAUAUAUACAUAUCACAUGAUGCAGUUGUAAAAUAACAUAUACUUCAACACAACACUACAAAAUUCUCCUCUUCCUUUCUUAGCUCCUGUAGGUUCAUCAAUGGCGGACGUUUACUAUCUGCACUUCUAGAAUUCUCUCAAAUUUCAUAGUUAUCCAGGUGGGAAAUGGAUGAAAAAAAUCAUAUUUUAUAACACAUAUUUUCCAUUGCUUCGUGGUGAAAAAACCUCUGUCUCUAACUGUGUAUAUAUGAAUGAAGAAAUUAAAUAGAAAGAGGUGAAAGGAAAAUCUUACCAAGAACAAAUAAAAGAUACGCAGCUAACUAAAACUUUUGUUUCGUAUACAGAAAAUGGCCUAAAAUGCCCUUAAACUAUGUGAAAUGGUGCAAAAAUACUCUCCGUCUACCUGUUGCGCCUAAAAUGUCCUUCCUGUUUACCUAUUGGGCCUAAAAUGCCCUUUUUGUCUACCUAUUAGGGCUAUUUUGUCUUUUAUUAAAAAAAAAAUAUAAUACCAUAACUUAUCUUUAUUAAACUACAUAAAAUUUCUAUCAUUUUUAUUAAUAUUAACCAAAUAAAUAGCGCACAAUAUCAAUUUUUCGUCAUUCUAAAUUGAUCUGAUAAAUAAAAAGAAAAACAACAUAAAUAGCCAUUUUAAAAAAUUAUUACAUAUAUAUAUAGCCGUAUUAGUUGGUUGUCAGAUAUAGCAUAUAAACUAUUUAUAUAGCAUAUAAAAUAUUUACUUUUAUAACAGAUUCUAAUAUAUAGAAAAACAGUUAUAUAUUAAAUUUCCACAUUUCUUAUAAUACCUUAUUUUUAUGGAAGUCUUUGUUCAUUCAUUUUUUUAUAUGUUAUAUCAAAAUUUUAUGUUUUUUAUUUUUAUUGUUUGCUUUCAUGUUGCCUCCAUAAAAAUAUAUGGUAUAUUUAUAUAUUAUAUAAAUUAUAUUUAUAUCAUAAAAAUACAUGAUAUAUUUAUACCAUACAAAUUAUAUUUAUACCAUAUAAAUUAUAUUUAUACCAUAAGCAAAUAUUUUAUAUUUUAGAUAUAAAAAGUUUAUACCAUGUAAUACUGGAAAUAUAUAUUUAUAUUUAAUAAAUAAUUUUUUAAUAAGAAAAGUACUUCCGAAAAUAAAAAUAUAUGGUAUAUCUAUACUUCCAACAUAAUGAUUUUUAUUUCAUAAAUAUUUAUCCAUAAAAAAUUAUGGUUAACUCAUUUUAUUAGAAUUAAAAAUACGUGAUAAUGAAAUAAUACUAGAUUAUUAACAUACAUGAAAAUAAAAUGAAACAUACAUGAGCAAAUAAUGGAAUACUUAGUUCAUUUAAAAAUAUUUGAAUUUUGAAUAUAAGAGAGAGAAAUAUUUGAAAGCACGAAUUAUCUUUUCCACUUUUAAUUUAAAAAUUGAAAAUAUAUUUCUUAAAUUAAGGUGAAUUGAUAAUUAGUUAUAUCAUUAAAUUAGAAAUUAUAAUUAUCUUUUCUAAUUUUUUUAAAUGACGAUAUAUAUAAAAAUAAAAAUAUUUUUAUAAUAUUGAAAAGGUAUUAUUAUUUAUGUAAUUAAAUUUUAAAGAUGGCCUUUUCAUGUAAUUUGCCUAAAUAAAAGGGCAAAAUAGGUCAAUAGGUAGACGGAAAGGAAAUUUUAGGCUCAAUAGGUAGAUGAAGGAUAUUUUAGACCCAAUAGGUAGACGGAAAGGAUAUUUUAGGCCCAAUAGAUAGACGGCGGACAUUUUUGCACCAUUUUACACAGUUGAAAGGCAUUUUAAGCCCUUUUCCAUUUCACAUAAAUGUAAGAUUGGAAAUUAGGUAUUUACACUUGAUUUUUUAUUAGUUAUAUUCUUUCCCCAAAUAAUUAAGCAAGUUGUACUAACCCCGACUUGCUUGUUUUUGAAAUACUAGUUAAAUCGCACGUGCCUCGCACGUGUAACUUUUGAUUAUUUAAAAUUAGAUAAUUUCGUCUAUUGCGAAGUUUUUAAUAAAGUGCAAAAAGUUUAAAUCACUUCUAAAAGAUCCUUUACACUUUAAUAUAAUAAUGUAAAAAUAACAUAUAUUUUUAUUGAAAGCUCAUAGAUAUUUUACCACCAAAAGUUUCAAGUGGUUAAUGAAUCAUCAAUUUUGUGUUUGUCAUGUGAUACCUCUUUUUCUUACUGCUAGAGGCUAAGAGAGACGCAUCAAUUUGAACUAUAUUUGUAGUACGAUUAUUUUAUUUUCUUUUUCCUAUUUUAAAAAUAUCUCCUUAUUUUGAAAGUUAAAUCUUUAAAAAAUCUUUGAUUACUUAUUCUAACACUUUCAUAUUUAUUUCUUGAUUUUUUGAAUCUUCUUAAAAGUUGAUUUAGAAUUCUUAAACUAAUAAAAAAGGUAUUCGUUGUCAUUAAUUCUGAUGACUUUUAAUAAGAAAAUGGUUUUACUAUAAAUAUUUAAUUAAUUUUCAAAUCUUAAAUAUUAGAAAAAUAGUGAAAAGACUAUUUUGUCUAAAGUAAAAACUUUUAAUGAGGCGCAAAAUUUUUUGUAAAGCUCUUCACACUUUUAAUAUAUAUAUAUAUAUAUAUAUAUAUAUAUUGCACGUUUAUCCUUAAUUAUUUAAUAUAAAACUCGAAUUUCCAACGAUAGAUAUUUGCUUGGUGAUGAAAUCAUACCGCAACUAAAUAUCAUUAUAUAUUUCAAACAUACAAAUAUAUUAUAGCAGUAUCAAGAAACAAAAUAUAAUAUCACAAAUGAUAAGAUACUUAUGCAAGUUUUUUUCAUCCUACAAAGCACAAAAUAUAAAAAGUUUAUUAACAGAUAUAUAAUCGUAGCUAAGACAGUGUUUAUAUACAAAGCUCAAUAAUUUCUCGCUAUGUUCCUAUUAUAACAUAAAGGCAAGUCAAAUUUGAGCAUUGCAAGUUCUUAUUCUUCCAAAUCAAGUAGAUUUGGUCAACAUUUCGAGUGACUCGUGCUUUAUAAUCUCUUAAUCUUCAUCUACUUCCGAAUCCUUUCAGCUUCACCCCUCGCACUAUGACAUAUAACCUGCAAAUUGCAUAUGAAUUUAAGAAAAAAAAAUAAUAGUAUAUGACAGACUUUGUCAAUGCCAUUUCAAUUUCUAACGUGUAAUAAAAAAAUAGUAAAGAUAACAUAAUUUUUUAAGAGUACACGAUAAUAAUUUAUUAUUGUAAAUAUUAAAAACAAACUAUAAUUUAAAAACUUACCUCAAAUCAAUUUGAUUUACCAAUUAAUAAUUAAUAAUUAUACGAUAUUUAGUACGAUCAAACUAAUAUAUCUUUUCAUGAAAACAAACGUCUCUAUUAAUAAAUGUCUUCAAAAAUACAUGAUAUAGUAGAUCAUAUUGUUAUGUAAAGACUUAAAUUCUUCUGAAAGACCCAUCAGUAUGAAAUCUAGAAGGCAUGACCUAAAGAUAAAUUUCUCAACAUAUGCAAAAUAUUUUCUUAUACUUCUAAUGAUCACACUUAUACAUGUUUUAACUUUUAAUUGAUAUAACAUAUUUCAUUUGAAAUGUUUUGCUAGAAAGGAAACAAAAAAUCUCAACAUUUCGACCCAGUUGUGAGCUAAUCGUAAAAUAGUAUUGAUAAUAUAAUCUCAAGAAUAGCCUUUUUCAAAAGGUAAAAAAUUAUCUAUACCCGGUGUUUACAUCAAACCAAUACAUACAUGUCAUGUGUUUAAAUUUAGAGUACAUUUUACUUAACCAUAAUUAAUUAGCUUGUAUUUUAUAUUAUUAAAUUAUUUAAUCAUUAUAAAUUAUAUUAAUUUAAUGUAAACUCUAAGUGUGGACAUAUUUUUACCUUUUCAAAAUAGUUUCAAAAAUUUUAUUGAAUAUUUCAGAAUAAAGAGAACAUAUGAAUGCAUAUAUAUGGAUCAAUUUGGAAGUAGAAGAGAACAAACCUCAUGAGGUAGACAUCUAUAAUCAUUAGUCUCAUAGUCCAUUCCCCCCUCAAUACUCCGGCAAGCAUCUACUAUCACCCAAGCAAAUUCCCCUCAAAAUGUCUCAAACUUCAUGUUAUUCCUGUCAACUGUUCGAUUGGUGCUUUCCCAAAAAUCAUCUAAAAAACAUAGUCAAAUCAAACAAUGAUCGAUCUAGGUUCUUCACUAAAGAAAGAAAAAAAUAUAAAUAAAAUAUGCACAAAUUAAACAAAUUUAGUUUUUAAUUAUGAGAAAAAAAGUCAGUCAAAAGAUGAACAAUAAAAUUGACCCUAAUAACUAAGAGUUUAAAAUCAAACUAACUUAUUAUCAGGAAAAACCUAUUAUAAAUUUAUUUAAAUUCUUUUCUUAAAAAAAUAACAUUUCAAAUUUUUAUUUUUAUUUUUAUUUUUAAAAGAAAACUAUGCUAUAUACUCUAUUCUCACACACCCAAUCUUUCCCUUUCUUCUAAAUAUAUUAGAGGAAUAGAAAGCCAAGACUUAGGGAAUGAAGAGAAAGCCAAGAAGAAUAUUAAAAAGGUUAAGUGUAGGUUAAGGAAUACCUAAUUUUGCUAAUGUUUUUCAAACAAUGAGGAAGUUCAUAGACAAAUUGGCUGUCAAUUUGCUUAGUUGUUGUAUCUGAAGUGCUUAAACCUUGUAUUGAUGAAAUCACAUAAUAUUCAAUGGUGAAUUUAAAAUUUUCACUAAGGAGGUUUGAAAACUAAAAAUAUAGUGAUUGAGAUAUGAACUUGAACUUAAAGGUGAAUAUUGAACCUCCUCAAUUACUGACCCAACCUCUAAUCUUACAUUCUAAAGGUUCAAAAUCAAUAAAUACACAUAGAAAUUAAAAAAAAAAAAUCUAUUGAAUACGUGCCAUGAACCUAGCCAAAAAUUUAUUGGACAACAUUUCAAUAAUUUCAAUCAAAUAAUCACAAAAUAGAAACAAAUUAAAUCAGAAGAUGAAAAAAAAAUUCACAACAAUUGAAAUAUAAAAACAAUUAAAAUAGUACAUGAAAAUUAGUUUCUUACUUCAUUACUUAAUACUUUUUCUAUGAAAUCAAGAGACACUAAUAAUGCCACGAAGAAAAUUUAUUAUCAUAUAUUGACCAUGAGAAAAAAAAAAAAAACACAAACGAUUAUUAUGACCAUUACGGUAUUAUAUUGAAAGUCCAAAAUAUAACACUAUCAAUUAGGAUUUCUAUUUAAAAUAUACAAUUAAUUUCUUUUCAUAAUUUUAUUUUACAAGGUUGUUCUCAUAUAUUGUAGGAGUCCUUACUCUUUUUAUUUUAGUUGUAAUAUUUAAUUCAAAUAAGGAAAGAAUUUGUAUAAAACAUAAGUUUAAAUUGAAAAAAAUCCUAUUCAAGUAAGGAAAGAAAUUCUAAAUUGAUUAAAAUUCUAAAAUUCAGAAUUAAUUUAUAUAAGGAAAAAAUUUUAAACUAAAAUUUAUUAGGACAAGAAUUUAAAUAAAAAUUCAUUUGAUAUAAAUAAGUUUCCCAACAUACCCUAAUUUUUUUUUUAUGGGAGAAAAACAGAAAUCAAAGUAAAAAAUUCAAUUGAGUUAAAAGUGUUAAAUAAUGAUUUAUUUUUGGAACUAAAAUCAUAAUAAACGUACAAUAGUUUUUUCAAAACUUUAAGUGAGAUUUUAUUUUUCUUUUUUACUUAAAGUUUUCUAUUAAAUCAUUUUUUUGUUCUUUUAUCAUAUAUUUUAGGACUUUUUUCUUAUCAUAUAUUUCGAGACUUCUUUUCCACGUAUAAAAGGAAACAAAAAAUUUACUAAUAUUAAUUCUCUAUAUAUUUUUAUUUUAUCAUAUAAUAAUUUAGCACACCUUGCUUUUAAAUAUUAAAAGAAUAAUUAUAUAAUAAUUUAAGAAAAAUAGUGAAAAAAUAAUUUUAUCUAUUGCAUAGUGUUUUAAGGAAGGACAAAAAGUUCAAAUCAAGGCCUUCACAUUUUUAAUAUAUUAUAGAUUAUAGAUAUAGAUUUGUCAUCUUGCAAUAAUUUUUCUUCUCCACGUGAUAAGUUGGAAAUCAAUUGCACAUCGCUCCAAUUAGUGAAUAGAAUUAUUUUUGCAUUAAAUAUUACUACCUCCGUCCUAUUUUAUGUAUCAUUAUUUUUUUUAUUUGUUUCGAAACAAUAUCAUCUUUCCUUAUUUGAUAACUAUUUAAUGACAUAAUCUCUAUUUUAUUCUUAGUGGAUCCCACUUUAAAAGAAAAAACAAUAAAAAGUAAACUUUGAGGGUGUUUGGAAGAGAUUAUAAGUUGGUCAAUGGAAGAGAUUCUAAAAGUGAUUUUGACCUUUUAGAAGUGUUUGACAAUUUUGAAAAUUGCUUAAAAAAAGUCACUUUUAACUUUAAAAAAGUUAAAAAAAGAAGAAGUUGGUAUUUCCUACUUAUUUUUUCUAACUUAUAAUCUAUUUACAAUUGACCAAGUAAAUGACUUUUUUGCCCUUAUAAUUUUCGCUUAUUCCAAAACUGUCCUCUUGUUGCAAUUUUGGAAUAAGUAUACAGCUAAAAAGGCAAAAUUACAAAAUUAGUAUACAACUAGAAAGCCAAAAAUAGCUUAUAUUUCAAAAUUGCACACUUUUAUUACUCGCAAAAAUAACCAAUCGAUGCCUCUCAAUCUUCACAUUUCUCUUGCCCAUCUUUACUGAUUUCAAACUCCAAUUUACACAAAUACUUAUAACGUUUGGAUAGAUGUGUCAUUUUCUACUACUAUUAUAUAAUGUCAAAUAUAAAAUAUUUCAUCCUUCUUAUAUCAUGAUAAAUUCAACAAUGCAAUAUAAGAAAAUUAAAAUAAUAUUUGAAAUAAAUAUUAUUAACAUAACAAUGAAGAAACAUAUUAUCUUUUAAUUGCACCUUAAUGAUACGAAAUCUUAACAUAACCAUGAAGAAACAAAUAAUCUUUUAAUAUAUAACUAUCUUUUUCAAACACAAAUAUUCAACACUUAAACUCUUAAAAAAAAAGGUUUUUUAGCGUACAAAUUAAUAGUCAUUCAUGAAAAUAUUUUUAAAAUAUAUAUAUUAAUUUUAAUUUAAAUUAUUUUAGCAAUAAAAAUUAAUAAUAAUCAACUCUAUAUAUUAUUAACAGCUAUAAGGGUAUUUUAGAUAUUUUGACCAAAAAAAGUGCUUAAAAGCAUUAUUUACCAAACACAUCAAUAACUUUUUUUCAGUUUCAGCACUUUUAUCCAAACACUUUUUAAGUGAAAUUAAUUCCCCUGGACUUUUUUAAAGUGAAAUUAAUUGCCCCUGGGACUUUUUUAAAGUGGAAUUAAUUGCCCCCCUCCCCCCGCAAAGUUAUACUCAGUUUUAACGUCGGAAGUAUAGUACACGCGCUUUGUCUUCUCCAUUUUAUCACUUUUCAACAUUUUUUCACCAUUAUAACCAUAUUAAAGAUUCCACAACUCAAAUUCCUUCUACAAAUCAAAUUCCAAAUGAUUUCAUUGAGUCAAUUACAAAUUUCAAGUCCAAAAAAUUGGAAAUUCAAAUUUCAAUUUUUGACUAUUGAACACAACCUGUGGCACAUUGAACGCAAUGAAACUGGAAAUUGGAAACUGGAAAUUGAAUUUGAAUUCAAGUAUGAAAUUGAAUUUGAAUUUGAAAUUAUUCAAAGUUUCAAAUUGAAAACUUUCUUCAAGAAUUAUUCAAAUUUGUUUCUAGUUUCGACGAAUAAUUUUUUUCCCUCUCUUGGUGAAUUUUUUAUUUUUAUUUUUUCCCUUAGUUGGUGGCUGAACAAUGUUGGUUGGUUGGUGGUGGCAAUGGUGGGUUAAAUUUUGUCAUUUUGAUGGAAUUGAAGAUGACCCAUUUGGGGUGUGUGUUGAAAUUGAAUUAAAUUGAUGUAAUUGAAUUGGGUGUGUUGAAUAUGACUCAUUUGGGUGUGUAUGUAUGUGAUGAAAUUGUGCUCAAUUUCAAUUCAACAAUAGAGCAAUCAUUGUUGAAGACUCAAUUGUUGGAGAGAUUAAAGAAAGAAGAUAGAAGAGAAGAGAGAAGAAAGAAAAAUAAAUAAAAAAUCUAAAAGUUUAAAAAAUUAGAAAAUUUGGGGGUUAUUUGGUAAAAAAAAUAGGAGUUUUUAACGUUUUUUAACAGUUUCACGCGCUCAAUGCGCGUGACUAACAUGUAAUGGACCAAGUGACAGAUAUAUGUCAUUAAAAUACGAAAAAAAAAGUCUGGGGGGUAAUAGGACCCCCGCAAAGUUCAGUAUACUCAACUGGUAAUCCGGUCAAACUUCAUGUAUUUUUGUGAGUAUUCUCCCUACUUUUAAAGAACUUUUUUUCAGCCUAUCCAACCGGGCUUUUUAAAAGGGACAGUUUUAUAAACUUUACAAAGUUAUCAUUUAUUUUUUAAAUUUCGUAUCUGGUCAAAUGGCGACACAUAAAAUAAGACGGGGGAGUAUGUGAAUUAAGUGUUUCUGAUACAACUAAAACGUGCCAAUGAUCUAUGGUGAUUAAUUGUUACCUCCUCUAGUUAUUAGGUACGAUCUAAAGGUGUCAAAUGGGUCGGGCCGGGCCAACCCGAAACUGGUCCUUCCAUUUUAAUCGGGUUGAGGGCCGGUUAAGGGCCGGUUUUGACGUUAACUAGGCCGGGCCGGGCCAAACAGUAAAAAAAUUAAAACCCACCCUAACCCGGCCCACUUAACCCAACCCGGUCAAAUCGAUCAAAACCCAGUCAAAUCCAUUUCAAAAAUAAAUAAAAAAUCCAAUAUACACUCCAAUAUACAAUAUAUAUUCUUAAAAAAAUAUAUAAACCGGGCCGGGCCAAACAGUAAAAAAAUUAAAACCCACCCUAACCCGGCCCACUUAACCCAACCCGGUCAAAUCGAUCAAAACCCAGUCAAAUCCAUUUCAAAAAUAAAUAAAAAAUCCAAUAUACACUCCAAUAUACAAUAUAUAUUCUUAAAAAAAUAUAUAAACAAUUACAUAUAUAUACGUACCAUUCAAUAUAUAAUUAUAUAUGACUAUAUGUACUACUUUAAAUAAAACAUAUGCUAUAAUAGUAUAAUAUAUAUAUAUACACACUACAAUAUAUAUAUAUAUACUAAUUUAUAAAACAUAUACACAUGUAUACGUUAAAUAUAUACUACUUUAGAAGAUAUAUACACAUAUAUAUGCACCAUUCAAUAUAUAUGUACUACUUUAAAUAAAAUAUAUACUACAAUAUACAUAUAUAUAUANNNNNNNNNNNNNNNNNNNNNNNNNNNNNNNNNNNNNNNNNNNNNNNNNNNNNNNNNNNNNNNNNNNNNNNNNNNNNNNNNNNNNNNNNNNNNNNNNNNNNNNNNNNNNNNNNNNNNNNNNNNNNNNNNNNNNNNNNNNNNNNNNNNNNNNNNNNNNNNNNNNNNNNNNNNNNNNNNNNNNNNNNNNNNNNNNNNNNNNNNNNNNNNNNNNNNNNNNNNNNNNNNNNNNNNNNNNNNNNNNNNNNNNNNNNNNNNNNNNNNNNNNNNNNNNNNNNNNNNNNNNNNNNNNNNNNNNNNNNNNNNNNNNNNNNNNNNNNNNNNNNNNNNNNNNNNNNNNNNNNNNNNNNNNNNNNNNNNNNNNNNNNNNNNNNNNNNNNNNNNNNNNNNNNNNNNNNNNNNNNNNNNNNNNNNNNNNNNNNNNNNNNNNNNNNNNNNNNNNNNNNNNNNNNNNNNNNNNNNNNNNNNNNNNNNNNNNNNNNNNNNNNNNNNNNNNNNNNNNNNNNNNNNNNNNNNNNNNNNNNNNNNNNNNNNNNNNNNNNNNNNNNNNNNNNNNNNNNNNNNNNNNNNNNNNNNNNNNNNNNNNNNNNNNNNNNNNNNNNNNNNNNNNNNNNNNNNNNNNNNNNNNNNNNNNNNNNNNNNNNNNNNNNNNNNNNNNNNNNNNNNNNNNNNNNNNNNNNNNNNNNNNNNNNNNNNNNNNNNNNNNNNNNNNNNNNNNNNNNNNNNNNNNNNNNNNNNNNNNNNNNNNNNNNNNNNNNNNNNNNNNNNNNNNNNNNNNNNNNNNNNNNNNNNNNNNNNNNNNNNNNNNNNNNNNNNNNNNNNNNNNNNNNNNNNNNNNNNNNNNNNNNNNNNNNNNNNNNNNNNNNNNNNNNNNNNNNNNNNNNNNNNNNNNNNNNNNNNNNNNNNNNNNNNNNNNNNNNNNNNNNNNNNNNNNNNNNNNNNNNNNNNNNNNNNNNNNNNNNNNNNNNNNNNNNNNNNNNNNNNNNNNNNNNNNNNNNNNNNNNNNNNNNNNNNNNNNNNNNNNNNNNNNNNNNNNNNNNNNNNNNNNNNNNNNNNNNNNNNNNNNNNNNNNNNNNNNNNNNNNNNNNNNNNNNNNNNNNNNNNNNNNNNNNNNNNNNNNNNNNNNNNNNNNNNNNNNNNNNNNNNNNNNNNNNNNNNNNNNNNNNNNNNNNNNNNNNNNNNNNNNNNNNNNNNNNNNNNNNNNNNNNNNNNNNNNNNNNNNNNNNNNNNNNNNNNNNNNNNNNNNNNNNNNNNNNNNNNNNNNNNNNNNNNNNNNNNNNNNNNNNNNNNNNNNNNNNNNNNNNNNNNNNNNNNNNNNNNNNNNNNNNNNNNNNNNNNNNNNNNNNNNNNNNNNNNNNNNNNNNNNNNNNNNNNNNNNNNNNNNNNNNNNNNNNNNNNNNNNNNNNNNNNNNNNNNNNNNNNNNNNNNNNNNNNNNNNNNNNNNNNNNNNNNNNNNNNNNNNNNNNNNNNNNNNNNNNNNNNNNNNNNNNNNNNNNNNNNNNNNNNNNNNNNNNNNNNNNNNNNNNNNNNNNNNNNNNNNNNNNNNNNNNNNNNNNNNNNNNNNNNNNNNNNNNNNNNNNNNNNNNNNNNNNNNNNNNNNNNNNNNNNNNNNNNNNNNNNNNNNNNNNNNNNNNNNNNNNNNNNNNNNNNNNNNNNNNNNNNNNNNNNNNNNNNNNNNNNNNNNNNNNNNNNNNNNNNNNNNNNNNNNNNNNNNNNNNNNNNNNNNNNNNNNNNNNNNNNNNNNNNNNNNNNNNNNNNNNNNNNNNNNNNNNNNNNNNNNNNNNNNNNNNNNNNNNNNNNNNNNNNNNNNNNNNNNNNNNNNNNNNNNNNNNNNNNNNNNNNNNNNNNNNNNNNNNNNNNNNNNNNNNNNNNNNNNNNNNNNNNNNNNNNNNNNNNNNNNNNNNNNNNNNNNNNNNNNNNNNNNNNNNNNNNNNNNNNNNNNNNNNNNNNNNNNNNNNNNNNNNNNNNNNNNNNNNNNNNNNNNNNNNNNNNNNNNNNNNNNNNNNNNNNNNNNNNNNNNNNNNNNNNNNNNNNNNNNNNNNNNNNNNNNNNNNNNNNNNNNNNNNNNNNNNNNNNNNNNNNNNNNNNNNNNNNNNNNNNNNNNNNNNNNNNNNNNNNNNNNNNNNNNNNNNNNNNNNNNNNNNNNNNNNNNNNNNNNNNNNNNNNNNNNNNNNNNNNNNNNNNNNNNNNNNNNNNNNNNNNNNNNNNNNNNNNNNNNNNNNNNNNNNNNNNNNNNNNNNNNNNNNNNNNNNNNNNNNNNNNNNNNNNNNNNNNNNNNNNNNNNNNNNNNNNNNNNNNNNNNNNNNNNNNNNNNNNNNNNNNNNNNNNNNNNNNNNNNNNNNNNNNNNNNNNNNNNNNNNNNNNNNNNNNNNNNNNNNNNNNNNNNNNNNNNNNNNNNNNNNNNNNNNNNNNNNNNNNNNNNNNNNNNNNNNNNNNNNNNNNNNNNNNNNNNNNNNNNNNNNNNNNNNNNNNNNNNNNNNNNNNNNNNNNNNNNNNNNNNNNNNNNNNNNNNNNNNNNNNNNNNNNNNNNNNNNNNNNNNNNNNNNNNNNNNNNNNNNNNNNNNNNNNNNNNNNNNNNNNNNNNNNNNNNNNNNNNNNNNNNNNNNNNNNNNNNNNNNNNNNNNNNNNNNNNNNNNNNNNNNNNNNNNNNNNNNNNNNNNNNNNNNNNNNNNNNNNNNNNNNNNNNNNNNNNNNNNNNNNNNNNNNNNNNNNNNNNNNNNNNNNNNNNNNNNNNNNNNNNNNNNNNNNNNNNNNNNNNNNNNNNNNNNNNNNNNNNNNNNNNNNNNNNNNNNNNNNNNNNNNNNNNNNNNNNNNNNNNNNNNNNNNNNNNNNNNNNNNNNNNNNNUUUUUAACAAUGUUGAUAAAUAAAAACAAUAUUGUGAAUGGAGUCUAAAAAUAUCAGACCGACAAGUAGUUCUAGGAAUACCAUUAAACAUAGGAUUAUAAAUUGCUUGUAUAUAACGAAUAAAGGCAUCAGAAGAAGGAAAACUAAAAGGCAAACAACCCACAACUACCUUUUUAGCUAUUUCUUCCAUGUCCCUCAAUUUAUUAUACUUAUUCGCUACGUGACCGGUUGCUGGGUCCAUUUUAGUUUGCGUUGACCCACCAACAUCCCCACCACCUUUUGCAAUAUUUAACUCUCUUUUGUGAUCUUCAGCUACAUGUCUCAUUAACGUACCCGUACCCCCUUGCUUGCCUCCACUUCUAUGCUUAUAUAUUUGUUGACAAAUAUUGCAUUGCACCUCAAUAUCUGAUAUACGUUCAAAAAAUUGNNNNNNNNNNNNNNNNNNNNNNNNNNNNNNNNNNNNNNNNNNNNNNNNNNNNNNNNNNNNNNNNNNNNNNNNNNNNNNNNNNNNCUGAGCUUCUACAUAAUCCAUAUCGUGAGCACCUAUACCUAUUUCUUCCUCAAAAGGUGUACCAAGCGGUACCGGAGGUGAAGGCACAGGGUAUAUCUACUAUUUGAACUACCUCUACAGCGAGUAAUUCUCUUUUUACUACCACUACCGCUUCCGGGACAAAAAAUUUUAACAUCUUUAGUAGCGAGGUUUCUUAAUUUAUCCAUAAUAUAAAUUAAAUUAAACUAAAAAUAUUCAAAAUACACAAAUAUAAUAAAAUUAAAUAUUAAACAAUUAAUACAAUAAAUAAAAAUUAAACGUAAGAGAUGGAACGACAAUACCAAAUUUUGGAAGUAUCCGAAGGUUGCGACUUUAGAAACUUCCGCUCGUACUUUGUAAACGAAAAAUUAAAAAAUUAAAGUGAACACUUUAAGAAAUUAAAUAUAUUGAAUAUUUGAGAAUUGAGAAUUGAGAUUUGAGAGAGAAUGAGAUUUGAGAGAGUGAAAAAUUGUGUGAAAAAUGAUUUAAAGUUGUAGGGUAUUUAUAGAUUUUUUUUUGAGAUUAAAAAAUAUUUUUUAAAGUUUUUUUUUUUUCUUAAUAAAUGGGCCCAAACUAGCCGUUUGGACCCAAAAACGGCUAUAUAGCCGUUGGGCCAACGGCUAGUUUGGCCCAAAAUCCAAAAUAUCUUUUUUUAAAAAAAAAAAAAAAAUUCUGGGCUGGGCCAGCCCGGUUAACCGGCGAGUCUGAACCGGGCUUGGUCCGGGCCGGGUUAGCCAGGCCCAUUUUAACAAAAUAACCGGCCCGGGACACAAAACCCUAAAGUCCUAGGGCUUACCGGGCCGGGUCAAACCGCGCUGGGUUAGGUAGUCGGGCCGGGUCGGACCGGAUCACUUGACACCCCUACCUUCAAUUGCUAGAAAUUUGUUUUCUUUUGUUUCUACUUGCUAGUGCAUUAAUUUUGGCAAGGUCAAAUGUACGUACAUGUAUAUAUAUAUAUGUGUGUAAGUUUGCCAGUGCAUUUUAAAAAAAUUAAAAUGUACGUACAUACGAUAACUUCGCUAAAAUCUUCAUCCAUCAUGUAUAGGGCUAUAGGCCAUACCAAGGCCUAAUAUAAGGGUAAGUCAAUAGCGAAUAAUCUUUUCUUCUUGCGGCCUCCUCGGCCUAUAUUUACGAAUAUAAAUAAAUCAAAUAAUUAAGUGGUCCUUGCACUUGCAGAUAAUUAAUAUUGAGCAAAGAGAUAGGUACGGUUAUGGAUAAAAAAGAGAUUAUAUCAAUUUAUGGCACAUGCAGAAAUUAAGUUAAUGUAUUCCUUCGCGCAAUAAAUACCGUCUGUAUCAACAUUAGAUAUUUGGACUUGAAGUUGCAAAAUUUUGUCCAAACAAAAGACAAAUUCUACAGUUCAUCAUAAUUUUUCCUGCAAUCAAUCGAUCUGUUUUGAGAUUUCCUUCAAUAUAGUGAGUUGUGAACCACUAAUACAAAGAGGACAUGCAUAUUUAUGUGUGCAUCCUGUUUUGAUGUGUAUAUCAAUUAAAGAAAAGGACAGCUUGAUGCACAAAAUAUCUGACAAUAAGAAUGUUGUUUGAGAGAUUGCCCAUGCAUUUUCAAAGAAGGGCCUUAUCCUUUUUGUCAAAUUUCAGUAGACCUAGAAUCACAUAUGAUAGAAGUCACUUUUUGGACAAGUAUGAGACCGUGCGUCAUUCAUCUUACUUGUUUUAUAUACACAUUGUAAGUUAAGAAUUGGAGAAACCCAUACCACAUCUCCUGUUUUCCUUAUACUUGACUUCUAACUUCCAUCAGUGUGAAGGAUGAGACCAUUGUUUAUUCUAAAAUAGGUUCAAUUAAAUUUGUACACGAGGUUUAGAGGGCACUUGGAUUGAAUUGAUGGAGAUGAAGAAAUUAAGAGACAACAAAUACUACAAACAAGAGAUGAGAGGUCAGAUAAAGCAAUUGGAUGUAUUUAAAUAAAUAAGAUCAAGUAUGUAAAGCUUAUUUAGCCUGAUUGGAUGGUAUCCUCAAUCGGACUUCAGGGAGAUUAUGUUAGUACAUUCUCCUUGCGAACGAGGACAUUUCAAAUAGGCAAUUUGUGGAUCACAAUUAGAAGGGCAAAAAUUUGGGUUCUUGGGAUCUGAUGUUCCUUCACAAAUGAAAGUUUCGUUAGCGCUGUAAUAAUUGCAUCCGUUAUUGCCAAAACAACAAUUGGUGCAUAUGGGGAUUUUCUGGACAUCCUUCCGAACGUGGGAAGCUUGCAUAGCCAAGAUUACCGCAUUCUUUAAUUUGGUAUACAAGCCUUGGCAUCAACAUGUUCCACCGUGCUUACAAGUAGAAACACUAAUCCUACAACAAAUAGAAGCUGUAUAUAUUAAGGAAAAACAUAACGUGUACUACUUGUGUAUGACAAUAAGUAAAAACAACAAAGAAAUAAUUAAAGAGUAAAAGGAGAAAGGAAAAUCUUAUAUACCAAGAACAAUAAGUAGGUAAGUAAGUUCACUAACUUCUUUCUGAACAGACAUUAUGGAUAAAUUAUUGUUUUGGGGGGUUAUUAAUUAGGAGUGUCUAUCCUCCACCUAUUUCUUUCAAACAAUGAACGAGAGGGAAAGGGAGGAGCUAACUAAAACUUCUUUCAAAUUUGAAAUAAAAGAAAAUAUCUGUGUGAAGGUACGUACGGUUGCUUCUUUAUUAGAGAGCUUAACACACUUGAACACAUAUUAUUUAAGUCCAAAAGGGCUCCAACGCCCAUAUUACAUAGAUUAGCAUGACACCGUUACGUUCAUGCUUUUAUUUUUCAUAUAGACGCCCAUGCGUAUUACGGAGAUUAGCAUGACACUGUUCAUGCUUUUACUUUUCAUACAGACAUAGUGAAUAGGCAAUAUUAGGAUCACAAUUCUUGGGGCAAGCUUUUGGGUGGUUGGGGUCAGACUCUCCCUCACAAAUGAAAGUCCCGUCAGCAUUGUAAUAGUUGCAACCCUUGAGGCCUGCACAACAAUUGGUGCAUAUGGGUUGUUCUGCACUUGCUUCGGAACGUGGACACUUUGAAUAGAAAAUUCUUGGAUCACAGUUCAGAGUGCAAGGUUUUGGGUUGUUGGGGUCAGACUCUCCUUCACAAAUGAAGGUCCCGUCAGCACUGUAAUAGUUGCAACCCUUACGACCUGCACAGCAAUUGGUGCAUAUGCGAUUUUCUGCGUUUCCUUCGGAACGUGGACACUUUGAAUAGAAAAUUCUUGGAUCACAGUUCAAAGUACAAGGUUUUGGGUUGUUGGGGUCAGACUCUCCUUCACAAAUGAAGGUCCCGUCAGCACUGUAAUAGUUGCAACCCUUACGACCUGCACAGCAAUUGGUGCAUAUGCGAUUUUCUGCGUUUCCUUCGGAACGUGGACACUUUGAAUAGAAAAUUCUUGGAUCACAGUUCAAAGUACAAGGUUUUGGGUUGUUGGGGUCAGACUCUCCUUCACAAAUGAAAGUCCCAUCAGCACUGUAAUAGUUGCAACCCUUACGGCCUGCACAACAAUUGGUGCAUAUGGGUUCUUUUGCGUUUCUUUGUGAACAAGCCUUGGCAUCAACAUGUAGAAGCAAUAUUCCUACA